rnacentral:lncRNA from 1 species
CCCCACCUCCCGCUUCCUCCUCCUCCGGCUUCUGGGGUUUCUACGGGCUUAGGGCUACCGCGAACCCUAGGACGAAGGGGAAGGACCAGGCCGGCCUCGUGCGUUUCCUCCUCCUCCGCGAGAGAAGCCGACGAGGAAUGGGGAAGAGAGAGAGAGAGAGAGAGAGAGAGAAGCCGGUGGCGAGUUUGGAAUGGUGGUGGUGGCGGUGGAGGAGGAGGAGGAGGAGGAGACGGGGGCUUUGGGUUGUUUUGGAGGGCGAACGCCUCGGGGCUCACGUGCUUUUAUAAAGGCGAACGGGGGAAAGGUGGCUGGGCGAGGCCGCGAGGGGAGGGGAAGUGGGUGGGCUGGAUUCUUCUGGGCUCCCUUUCCCGCAAAUGCUACAUGCACGGGUAAAGCUGUACCCCACAUUGUGUUGAUCCCGGUAUGUAAGUUUUUCUUCUUUUUCAUUUAUUUCCUUUUGAGACGAUCCCUCCAUGAAAAGUUGGCAUUUUCGCCAAAACGCCAAUAAGAAUGCCUUUUCUGUGGUGGUGGUAGUUGAUUUUUGUUAAAAAUGUCUAGCGACAGCUGGAAAUUGAUUUUUGUUUUUUUUUCCUGGGGGUGGUUUUUUUUUAUCAUGUCUCGAAGGAAAUUGAGGUUGAUGGCUUAUCAAUGUCAUUGCAAUUGCCGUGAUGGUAUCCUAGUGGUAAUUUUUGUGGUAUCUUUUGUAUUCUAAAGAAUUAUGGGGUGCUUUGAUAUGUCCCUAUACUCGCCGGUAGCUAUCAAGGGAAAUAAUGCAGAAUUGUGAUAACUUUUUUUCAUAAUCACCAAGUGCUACUUAUGGAUUUGUGUUAUUUUAUAAACAUGUCAGCUUUGGAUACUUUAGUGAUGUGAUUGAAAUUAUUCCUUUAUGAGAUACUAGAAGAGAUCAUUCGAUCAUUCCGGAUCCUAUGCAAUUGCUAGAUAGUGUGAGAAGUGAUGAGCCUGAGGUCGCAUGAAACGCUCUAUCAACAUCGUACAAUAAAAUCGGGUAGUACAAAUGGUGGAAUCAUUUGAAACUAUUGGAUAGAAAAUAAAUGGUCAUAACUAUAUGGAAUUGCUAUUAUAUACUCCCUACACCGGAUCUCCAUUUCAAAAAAGAUUACCGUGUACUUUGACAAUAUUUACUAUGGUUGUUGAAGUGUAUAUUGUGGCUGCGCAUCCACAAGUUAGAGGAUAUGAGGAUCAUCAAACUUUUCUAUAGCCCUUAAUCAUUUGUCAUCUUCAUUGCCAUUGCCGUGAUAGCAUGUUAAUGUUGUGUAUCACAUAAGUUAUUGAAAAAACUAUUUCGACGAUAAUACCAUAAAGACGACUCGAUUGUUUUUUUAGAAUAAAGUACUCCUAUUAAGCGAAAGUAUUUCUAUGAACUACUUCCGCUCAAUAAGUACUCCUACAGAGUACUCCUUACAACUAUUUUAGCGACAUGGCAUAAAGUACUCCUACAAAGUAUCAUUUCAAAAUGUAUUAAAGGACUAUCUCAAUUUUAGGUUAUAAGACUUUCUAGCAUUGCACACAUUUAUAUAGAUGUUAAUGCAUUUAGUCACACAUAUAUGUCUAGAUUCAUUAACAUAUAUAUAUGAAUGUGGACGAUGUUAGAAAGUCUUAUAAUAUGAAACGGAGGAAGUAGGAUUUAUCACCUUUAGGAAGAUAUUUGGGGAUUUGCCGCCUAUAUAUCUGUGGUAUAUUAAUAUGUGAUCUCAAAACAUUGCAGAUCUUGAAUAAAUAAUAGAACCUUACCUUUUUGAAACAGCUCAUAAAAAUCACAAGAGAGCGUGACAAUAAAUAAUGAGUGAAAAUACUUAAUUGGUCUCUCAAAUUAAUUAAAAAAACCGGCAACUAGGUAGAACUGGUCAUAUUCAUGCGCCAGAAAGCACUUUUGUCUGCGCUGCUUGUCAUGUAUCCCAAGAGGAAUAUUGCAGCAUGGCGAACGCAGACACCGCAACCUAAUCCUAACCCGUUAAAGUGCUGAGUGCUUUUGCUUCACGAGAUUACUGCAUCGAUCGAUCCCGUUAAUUACAUACUCCUUGUAUACUAAAUUAAAAAGGUUAAUUGGGUGUGCACCUGACAGGGUACGUGUGAGUACGUGAGCCGUGAGGCGCGAGAGCACAAGCAUGCGCACCGAGCUCCGAUGACAAGGACGGGAGAUGAAGGCGUUCUUAUCAUCUGAGCCGGAAGCAAAACGAAUCAGGAUGCUCGAGCCCUUCUCACGUUGGCAUGCAUUACUCAGCGUAGUACUCCAGCUAGGUGCCGAGCGGAUAUUUUGUAAUGCGGGCUGAUUAGGAUCGACUAGCAAAAAUUACUACGUCGACAUUACUUCACGACGAAAAUUUUUGUGAUUAAUUUAUCAGGUGCCAGCACCGUAUCAAUCAAAGACUGAAUCCCAGGGGAGAAGUAUGCUGUGGUACGGGUGAGAAUUACCAAGUAUCCACAUGCCAACCAGCGGCGGAUCUAAAAAUUUUCUUGAGCCUCGGCAAACCUAUCAACGGGUGAAGCAUGCACAUAAAACCUUGACCAUUAAUCACAAACACAAGUAGAUUUGGCAUGUAAAAUCUUGCUUUGUGCUGGUUGAUCAUGCGUGUUGGGCUCUAUUAGAUUGAACGAAGCAAGGUAAUAGCCAAUUAGGUAUGUACUUAACGAGCAAUAUGUUGUAGGCCAUGGAGUAAUACGCUGUCGCAGGUCUAGGAGCCUGGGCACCCGCCCAUGCUGGCCGGGCCCUGGCUCCACCACUGAUGCCAACUACUAUAGUUGAUACGGAGUAUGAUAAUUUAGUGGGACUAUCAAUAUGGUAUUUGACAGAACACACAUCCAUUAAAUGUAAAUUAUGGAUCGUUGAAUUGCUUUUAGAUUUAUGCAGCAAUGCCUAACCCUAAUACUUUAUUCUCAUUCCCUCAGUCCCAACUCACACCAUUGUCGCUUCUCCUUUUCCUCGUGUGCACACUCCACUCGCCACCGCACCAAGCCACUGCCUUGCCUAGUUGACUGGGCGGAAGGCUUCAAUGGUGUCGGUGAGGCCCCUCCUUUCCCCCUCCCUCUUCUUUCUGGCGUGAGCUGUUCGCAUGUCAUCGUCUUCCAUGUCUCUGGCAGCUCCCCACCAAUACCAUUGGAUCCACCACCACCGGUCAUCACCACUUAACCAAUCUUUCUGCUUUGUCCCCACCGUCAACACCAGGUCCCCACUCUGCUUCUAACCUCGCGGCUUCGGUAGCACCAUUACCAUCUCAUCGCUCGCCCAAUCCACCGCCCACCGUGGGGCUAUCACCUCCCAUUGCCAUCUCCCUAGAGCUAACGAACUCCUUCAUCUUUUCUCGUUCCCCUUCCUCCACCCCUGAUCCCAACAUGGGACCUAAAAGUGUAGGUCCCCUACUGAAGUUUGGAGUACCACCGAUGCCGAAAAAGAUCAGGAGAUUGUCGGACCCGAAGGAGAAGGGCAAGAGCAUGAAUCACGAAGAUGGACUUUAUGACGAAUGAUAUAUUAGCAAUUUUGUGAUUUAAUUUAGCAAUUUAUUUUUCUUAUAACAAUCUUGUUUGUAUAGGUGGACCAAAGCCCGAGCAUCAUGGAGCCACAUGUAAUGGCUCACUGUUGCGGGUAAGAGGACACUAGCAUGUCUAAUGCACCUUUCAGUCGAUUGAUGCUGACAGCUAGUAGUUGUAGCGAGGUUUGUUUGUACUCCUAUUCAUAAAUAUAUUCCAAACGUACUAGAUACAUUUUGUUACCAAACGUUGAAAAUGGUUUAUAAGAAGGCAAUAUCAUUUUGUAUUGUACUUCCUCCAUUUCACAAUUUAAGAUUUUCUAGCAUUGCCCAUAUUCAUAUAGGUGCUUACAUUAUGAAACGGAGGAAGUAGCAUAUGUGAUGUGAAUAGAUGCUUGCACAUUGGAAUAUAUGAAAAGAAAAAAAGAGACCGCCCACCAACCGAUUACACUAUCCCAACUUAAAAUGAGUGUGCUAACUUAACUCGUAGCGCAAUUGAAAGAGUUUAUUUCAAAAUGUUUACUAGAUAUUUUUUUGAAAAUAUAAAAUUAUAUUUUGUCCGCUUAAAUUCCUGCAGUAAUUAUGCGGGAGGGAUGGCGAGGUUUGAUGGCUACGCGUCUAUGAAUUUUGAAACCAUAUGGUGUAUUGUCAACAGGGGUGAGAUGAACACCAUGGGUUGGAAUUUUGGAUAACGAUAAGAGAGCUGUCUGAUAGGAGUGGGUGUGUAUGAUAGGAGCACGCACUACUCGAUCACCUGCUACAACCUCUCAACAGCUCAGUGUUACUGGAGCACUCAGCUUGAGGAGACUGCCACCUCCAUCGUUUGUUUAUUUUUUAUUAUCAGCCAUAACCAUAAAAUUAAUUCAAAAGUUAAAUUCUGGUUAAGUAGUAUAGUAGAUAACAAUACAUAUAUAAAAAUUUUACUUAUAAACUAUUAUUUUUCUCAACUUACAAUCAGCUAUAGACAAAAUGAUGUGCUCACCCACAACAACUAUUUUUCACAGCUGCCGUAAAUAUUUUGGUGACUGGAUGGCUCCACGUCACCAUGGGCCCACAUGUCUGCUGCCUUUUCCGCUCACGGGCCACAUCACCAGGGUCCACCAGGGCUUUUGAGAAAAGCGUGGGCUCCAGCCUCCAUGUCGGUCGCUUUUAGCAGCAGCAGCGCGCCAGCGCACUCCGGUGGCUUUGGCUUCGCGCGAGCGAGGAGAGGUGCAGCGGUGUACACUGUACAGUGCGCUACAGGUUAACGCAGCAGAAGUGCAGGCGAGGCAGGGCAGGUGCGGCCGCCGUGGUGGUGGUAUCCAGCGGUGGAGCAACCGGCGGCGGCGGCCGAUUAUUGGUUCCUCGGUUCACGGGAGUGGUGAAGCGCAGCGUGGCCACCGGCCACGUACUCGCGUACGUACUCACGCCCGCACGCACGCACGCCUGCGUGCGCUUGUGCCACUUUGGCGACGAGUUGACAACUGUGAGUCCGCGACAGCGAUCACCCUUCGAGUGUGUUGGGUGGUGCACCGACGUUGCUGUCCAUUAUAUCGGCCACCAUUUGCCAAUUUGCUGAUUGCCGAUUGCUACGGAUACGGCACUGGCUUUUCGGCUGGUUAAUCGAGAUGCUCUCCUUUAAUUUGUGAUUCGCUAAAAAAGAUGAAGAAAAAGAUAUGCUUAUUCUGAUCCAUGAUUAGGAUGCACGAACGCUUAACAAAUGCUACUGAUCACUUGUGUGUAGUGCGGUACAGCGGUAACACCCUUGCCGUGAUGAGGAGGAGUUCAGGGAGGAUCUACGGCUCAUACGUACGGUCGUGGUACAUCGUGAGGUGAAGUCAUCCGCUCAGGCCAAAUCUGCGUGCCCGGGCAGCUGCAACUGCAAUAUAUGAUCACUCAAAAAACUUUCCAACAAUGUCAGCUCGUGGAAGCUGACGUGUCCAGGCGUCAAAUUGAUGGAAUUCCAUUUCCGGAGAGACCAAAGCGAGAUCCCCAUAAAAAACGUCUCAUCAUGCGUCCACGCUUGCAUCGACGUACAGUACUACGAUCGUAAAAUAUUAUGCUUCUUUUUCGAAAGGGCCCGGCUAAUGUCACCAGUUCAAGUAUCCUAUCCAACUCCAAGUCAUCCAACCUUGCUAGGAUGAGAACGACACGGAUUAGUGCACUCAGCAUGGCAUGAUUAUGUAGGAAUCCAAUGCUAACUAUACUCGUCUGUUUUAUGAUGCCAUCGAGCCUAGCUUGCUUGAUUGAUUUCGAUCAGGAUGAUAUGCCCCUUCAACCACUCUAUCCUGCAUGCUUAGUUUGCCCACACUCCACCCUCCACAGUGGCAAAGAAAGCUGCGUGAGCGUGACGGCCUGAAUAUUCCUUUUUAAUUUGGCCAAAUGAAAGCUCAGAUUCGCGAUAUACGUAGACACGUAGUGCGCCUCAUCAUGCACGAUUAAGAAAAGGAAAACGCCGAGGGCUGGUGGUCUCAAACAAAACGGUGUGCGUGAUGGAACACGCAUACGUACGUACUACUACAUUAUACUCGCUUGCUCCAGCUUUAGGGCCUCUUUAAAUCACAGAAUAAACAAACAGAGAAAUAGAAAAAACAUAGGAUUUUGACAGGAAUAAAAGUGUAAAAUAGAGGAUUGCAAAACACAGGAAAAACAUAGGAAUGACCGUUUGAUUGAACCAUAGAAAAAACACAGGAAUUUAGGGAGAGAUAAAGACUCAAAAGAUUUCUUCCAUGAGGUUCUAGCUCUUGUUAAAAUUCCUCCAAAACUUAUAUGGGAAGAGGCAUUCCAUAGGAAUUUUAUGGGAUUCCAUAGGGUUCAUUCCUUUGAGUCAAAAGGCUUUAUAGGAAAAAUUCCUAUAGAAAUAAAAUCCUCUAAAAUUUCUAUAAAUUUCCAUUGAAUCAAAUUGCCUUAAUUUAGUCCCAUCGAUAUCCAAAACCAUGCGUACGUGUGCAUCCUGCCAUCAGCCCAUUCUGAUGCACGGCGCACCGUCGUCCGUCGUCGCGACAAGCCAAUAUGCACAUAUAAACGAAUCCACCGAGCAAGCCGGAGCACGACGUCGUGCUGCAUAGCUGGAUGCAUCAUGCCUGAGUGCGUUUGAUACGUACGUACGCUCAUCCACCAACGGGCCCACGACAAAACGACUCGAUCGAUCGGUGAACAUUGCUCGCGUUGCCGUACGUGCUUCGUCGGUAGUCGUGGGUGGGGUCUUGGUCACCCCGCAUGGGUAGGAGCUGACGCGUCACGCGUACCGCCGUACGUGUCGUAUCGUGUAGACGAGAAUUUUUUUUAAUGUUUUGAACUUUUAAAAACAUUAAACCAUUCCAAAACUUAUUAUUAGAAUUUGAACCUUUUUUAUCACGUCAACCUGCUAGAUACAACGAGCGUGAUAAUUUUGUUAUGCCACGCAGGAUGGCGUGGCCAGAUAAUGCUGUCACGCCAAACAGACCGACAUGACAGUGUUCCAAAAGGUUUAGAGUUUUUGAAAAUGUUUAUUUUUAAAAUUUAAAAUUUGAAAAGUUUAAAAAUAAAAAAAAAUUGUGUAGACGAUAACGACGGUCGCGCAGGCUUGGCCGAUCCCGACCCGACCAACCGGGGGCGCUGUCGCAUGUGAAGUGGGCUGCGCGCGUGGGAUUCUCAGUGGCCUUUUCUGGAGUAGCUUCUUUCGGCCCGCUUUGCUGCCAUGGGCCGAUAUGUUUAUUUCCGUCUUACUCAGAGCCCAAUUCGGGAUAUGUGGUUUCGUUUCCGCGGGCGGAAGCGGAGAGAAACGGCGCGGGCCCCGGGGAGAGAACCGGCAUUUCCCGCUGCGCGCAUUGCCGGCGAGGCGCCAAAACCCUACCGCGCGAUAAUCCUCUUCCUCUCCGCUGCGCUCCCUUCCCAGCCGGCGGCGCCAACUUUAGUAGCCGCAGGCCGCAGCCGCCCACGAACCGCCGGCGACGAGAUCCGAGAGGAGGCUGGCCGGGGCUGUCGAUGGCGUCGUGGUGCGGCGACCUGGCUGCGCCGCCCCGCCUCCUCGUCGCCCCUCGUGAGUGCCCCUCCUCCGCCCCCGGCCAUCGUUGUGCUGUCUGGUCUGUUUAGGCUCGCAUGUUUCAGGGCGGUAGUGCGAUUAGUGAUUCUAAUUCCAAAUCCCCAAUUGGAAGCAUCUGGUAGCAGUAGUUUGUUUUCGUCUUCAAUUUUCAAGAUUCCUUUGAGCUCGGUGGAUUUAUGUGGCUUGGUCGAAAUGCCAGCGGACUUAAAAAUUGUGCGAACUGAAGAUUACCGCCUGAGUUUUUUGGUUGGGCCUUGGGGGUCUUUUAAACACUGGAUUACGGAGCAAUAAGUGUAUCACAUGGAGGAGCAUCACAUGCAUAAAUGUAUAAUCAGUUAAUCACAUCCCAUUUUGUGUUUUCCUUGCAGGUCCUUCUGAUGGCAAUUGUCAAGGGAAUGUUUUGUCUCUCCGCCACCCGAGAUCAGGUGCUCUUAUUCCUCCUUGCUUCUGUUUUCUUUGUCGGUUAUUAAAUCUGCACUAGUAAUGUAGACUAAUUUGGUAGCCUGUUAGCAUCUGAAGAAUAGCCAUGCAGAAGUAGAUUAUCAGCAUUCAACAGUUUUGCAUUAACUCUUGCCUCAUCAUCAAACAGAUGAAGAAACAGGGUAUCUGUUCAUCGACGGUCAACUUCACGAGUUCAAUUGGUUUAAGGAGCGAUUUGGAUCUUGGUUCUUGGGUGAUUAUGUUUGUGAAGGUAUGGCAGACACAUAGCUAUGCAGUUGUCAUUUCUAAGAAAAACUUUGUAUUUUGCCUUUAUGGUAAGGUUUGUCUAUUAUUAUCUUGUGUGGGCUAUAGGAAGACAUUUUGAUAGGAAUUAUUGCCCUGCCUCUGAAAUCACCCAUUUAGAUUUUGUUAGCAAGUAAUUAAAAUAUGGAAUCAGACAGACAUGUUGUUAAAGGAGUGGUGCUAUUCUUGUUCUAACACAGCAACAUAAAUAACUUCCAAAUGGCACAAUCUAUUCCAGAUAAAGUUUUUGAAAAAUAUCGUACUGCGGAGAAAUUCAAUACCUGAGUUUAUUGACCUGCUGUCCUUCCUGACUUCUUGUAGAUGGCAGCCUCUACUACUGCACAGUUGUUGAUCCCAUUUUUAUUCUUCUACCAAUUUUGAAAGCUGCACGUAUGUCGGUAUGCCAAAUCAAAUCAGAAAUAUUUCUAAUAUGAGGUUCACAUUCAACAUAUUUGCCUGUUGAAAAUUUGAAAAGCUAGUCCCUCAACAGCUUUACUGUGCUGCAGAAUGGUAAAGAUCCAGGAAAAUUUAGGCAACUGGAUGAAAUAUUGUAUGUUGAAGGAUAUCCUGGAUAUCAACACCUCAUGGGUAUAGCAGGAAACCAUAUUGAUCUGGUCUGUGAAGUUAAAGGUAGAUGUUUGACUUGUAUGUUUGUUCUGAAGUUAAAUGUUAUAUGUAGUUAAAUAUUAUAGCAAACUGCUGUCAGAAUGCUGCCUACUUGUAUUUGUAGUCCGGUGAUUGUGCGGUGCAUUUUUACCGCUUCAUUACCUUGCUGAACUGAAACACUUAUUGGAUAUGGAUGUUUAUGUUUCAUCCGUGCUUUCCUGUGUGUUUUCAUGGAAGAGAAGUUUUACUUAACCAUCUCGCAUGGAUGUUUUCUUUCCUGCAGAAGUUGCUAAUGUGAAGUUCUUUAGGCUGGACGAUUCCAAGGUCUUAUCUUGGUUGUGCUGUAAGGUUAGCUUGUGUCAGUAAUUACAUCUACUAACUCGAUUUGCACUAUGCUAUUCCGCUGAUACUUAUUCUUAUCAGAAGCUAACCCACCUUUUAUCUUUACUUGUCCUUUUCAUAUUACAAAAGCAAGGAUCUAACAUGAAGUUAGGGUGGAAUGUUGCUUAUGUGGGUUAGGAAAAGAGGCAUCUUAUUGUUUUUAGACUGUUUGCCUUGAAUAAGGAUGCAACAAUCCAACAAACUGAGCACAACAUUGAGAAUGUUGAUGGGCUAAAACUUAAUUCUUCCACACCAUGUUUUAAUUUAUAUUUGUAUAUAAACUAUGUGCACCAAACAUUAGUCUUUAAGUUCACUUUGGUUUUGAAGAUGAUAAAUAAAGCAUGAAUUGGGACCCUAGUGAAUUUCCUAUAUAUUUAAGAACAUGAAUGCACAUGGUCAUUCUUGUAAACGUCCCUAAAUAGGUGUCAGAGGGUAGUGGCUGCUAUUCCUUGACUGCUGUUUGUAGCAUUCUGCCUACCUUAUGUUACAACCUUCUACAACCAUUAUAAUGUACGGUGUGUUCCAGUACUGUUUAUUUGUUGCAUAUUUCCUGCCAUUUUCCAGUUGAACAAUUUUACUUCAUAAAUUUCAUUUAACUAUGUUCUUGCAAAAAUAUAGCUAGCAUGUGUUGUGCCCACUAUAACACCACUGCUAUCUGCUGUACCAACACUUUGCCACAUGCUACAUGCAACUCAAAACAUCAUACAAUAUUUUUGCAUGAUUAACCUAGUAAUGGCUAUUGUUAUCUGCAAGAAACAAAUGCCACUUUGGGAUAUCACUUAGAUUUUUUAAAAAAUUAUGCUGCCUUGCAAAUUCAAAAUAACAGUUUGUCUUGGUAGCAUCAUGAGAACAUACCAGUUCAUGUGCCCUCAUAAUUUAUGUUUUGAUACGUCCUUUAGCUGUACUUAAUAUUCAUGCCUGUGAAUUUCGAAUCAUAUUGAUCUCACUUCACUUGUUACUCUGUAGUUUCGAAAAUACUCUUAUGAAUCUCAUAUACAGGUUCACAAUCUAAAAGAGGUUUUCCCCAAGCUAGGCAAAAAUUAUGCUGCCCAAGGAGAAAAAGAAUUAUGUAUGUUGCUGCAACUCUUUUUGUUAAGUCUAAUACAACUGUAUUAGUCUAUUAUAAGAAGGAUAUAGCUCCUUGUAAACUUAUGUUUCUGUUUAUUUUUAUGAGUGUUUUAUCAACCGAUAUCCAAAUGUACAUAAACAUUUUACCAUUGCUAACUUUCACAAUUAUAUGGUAAUAAAAACUGUUUGAAAAUGGAUCGUCAGUGUGAUUUACAUCCUAUUGGAUCACUUUUGUCCCAACCUUAAUUAGUGAAUCCACUUUGCAUUACAAAAUUGUCUGAGUAAACUUAAAGGAGAUUUUGCUUGUGGAGGUGGAUCUCCUCUAAAGAAAAGGAUAUAUCAAAUUAUUUUUAAACAUUUUAACUAAAGUUAUGUAACUUCAAUUCAAGAUAUUGCACAGGGAUUAAAUUCCUGAGUUACUUUUGAAGCACAACUCAAGAAUUUUAUGAAAAUGUAAAUCAUUGUUCUAAUGGAGCGGUUUCCAUUGUUUUGGUUACAGUGAAGGAUGCCGUCCAAAUAAUUCGCGAAUACCUGAACGACGAACCAUGGUUAACGUUACUCUGCAAGAAGUUGCAGUAAGACUUCUCCUUGCAUUAUGUUGAAGAUUUUAGUUCAGUACAGACUUUUAAUUGACUAUGCAUUUUUUUUCUGAGCGAAAUCCGAUAGACUAUGCUCACAUUGGUACAAUGCAUUCUCCACAGGUUGGAUAUCAAGGAGAUCAUUGAAGCGAACAAAACUAGCGAAGCUUCCUUCUGUGCAGAGAAUUCUCCUGUACCUUUCCACCCUGCUGAGGUAAACUCCUUGAAGAUGAUCAGGGUGUUCUACACCGGAUAGCUCAUGUGCUAUAAGCUUAUUAAUCGUGUUAACGCAGGAGAAGCUUGGAAGUAGUAGCACUAGGUCAAGCAAAGGGAGGCCAGCAAAGAAACAAAAGGCUGAGGUAGAAUCGAAGAACAUCAAAGACAUGUUCCGGAGGGUCACAAGGAAAGGAACGUGAUCCCAUAUUAUUUAUAGUAUGACUUGGUUCUGAUUUCGCCAUCGAGACCUCGCAAGGCGCUUCAUAUUAUUGAGGGAAAGCUGAGGUUUUCAGAUUAAAGCAUUGUUUAUGCUUCAGAAGCAUUCGUGCAGCUAAUGGAAUUAACUGUUUAACAAAUUUACUCCAAGUCUCAACUUUGUUAGGUUUGAAAUGUAGCAUUGCAGGCGUGUAUUUAAGUAUUUGAGCAAAGAGUCUUGUACUAUCCUACUGAUUUGUAUCGUACCAACCAAUUUCCUUGAACAUCUUGGCCUUGGGUCACUAGAGUAAUCUGAAAUGGUUGUUAAUGUUAUUUGUGAGCUUCAACACUUCCUAUUUGAGAACAUUUCUAAGUUGUUCCGGAGGCCCGGUGUCUGUUAUUAUCUCCAAAUAGUCUGUGUUACUACAGAUAGUCUACAUGUAUGUACGUGCGGAUAGGUGCUACUCCAAAUAGUCUAUACUCUAGGUAUUUUAGACAGGUAAUUCUGUACCCGGUAUUUAGAAAGUACUCGUAUGACGUAUCACGCUAGAUGGCGAAAGGCAAGUCACUACGUCUGAAAACAAAAAGGUAAAAUGACCUAGCUUUUUUGUCAAUCAACUGAUUAUGUGCUAAAUAGAGUAUAAUCACUUUGGAUGCUUAGAUUGCUCUACAUUAGUUUGCCCGUUGCACCCUCCAGAGGAAUAAUUAACUUAUUUGCCACUAUUAUGAGUGGUGAUAAAAGAUUACCAUUGAACUCACGUGUCAUAGAUACAUGAGAACUCACAUGUCAUAGACAAUGAGUGAUAAAUCUCGGAAAUACUUCUCUCCGGACGGCCGAUUCUAUGCGAGAAAUCGGAUGCCCUUUAUAUCCUUAUGUCUCUCCCACGCGCUCUUGUGCUGCCACGUGUCCCCACCACAUAUUUCGUUGCAACAAAUCACUAACAUAUUUUGGAAACCCUCUGUUAAGGGAAUCCGUUUUAUUUUUUGUUCCACUAAAAAUGUUUCACCUAGUGUACUCACAAUGUUUCACUAUGUAUGGAUCUCAUGUUGUAGUGAAUUGAAACAUUCUUUUGCAACAAAUCACCCACAUAUUAUGGAAACUCUCUAUUAAGGGAAUUUGUUUUAUUUUUUUUCUACAAAAAAUGUUUCACCUAGUAUACUUAUAAUGUUUCACUUUGUAUGGAUCAAAUGUUGCAGUGACUUGAAACAUUCUUUCGCUAUUUGCUGAAACAUUGUUUUUAUAUAAGGUGAAAUAACGCCCUAUUUAAAUGAAUGAAACAUUUUUAUCUACCCAGUGAAACAAUUCUGAUAUACUUGGUGGAACAGCGUGCAACAUUUAAAAAUAAUUCAAUAAUAAACUAUUUUUUUCAUUGGAAUAUAUCCAUGUGUGGUCUUGUUUUAAAAAUUUAAUUGUAACGAAUUUAAUAGUGCAAUCGAAUUAUGAUUUGGACAAAUAAUUUAAGAUAAAAAAUAGUUUAAAAUAGUUUUGCAUACAUACAUACUUGAUGACAUCAUACUGACAUGGGCGUCCGAUUCCUAGUCGUCUCUAAUAAAUUCUUAAUUGCCACCUCUUAAAAGUGGAAAAAAAAAAGAAAAGAAAGUUAAAUGUCCCACCAAAGGCUCCGCGCGCCGCGGCCGCACCCUUCCGACGCGGGCUGAGGCGAGCGGACUCCAGUGGAGGCAGAGACGUGGGCUGCUGCUCCGGCCCAUGGGCUUCCACCUCGAGCCUGGGCCGUCGCUGACGUCAUCAACUCCCCCCCGUCUCCCCACACACGCACUCCCCUGUCCCCUCCCCCCGCUGCUGCUAGGCCCGAUCCACUGCUCUCCCCACCGGUGGUGAGUCACCACGCUGCGUGGCAAACCCUAGUUAACCGGCGCGGCGUCCGGCGACCGUACACUCGGCGGAGGCCGCAGAGCGGCAGCGGCAGGCGGCGGUGCCGCCGAGGGCAGUCGGCUCGGCUCCCGCGGCAAAGCGGGAACGGGAGAGAGAGCAGGGCGGCACACGCGCGCGCUGAGGCUGCGCGCGGUGGGCGCGGCGUCCGGCGAUGCCCGGGCAAGAGCUAUAGGAAGGCGAAGUCGUGGGCUACAGCCCCAGUCCCCAGUGCUAAGGCAGUAAGCUGCUGCUCACUCCUAACCAUCUCCCCCUUUUUCCCUUGCUUGAUUUGUUGGGGGUACUGACCCUUACUAGUAGUUUUAGAAAUGAGAAGAUUGCUGAAACGAUUGCGGUUCUCAACCUUGCUCGCGUAGUCUCAUGCUGCUUGAGGGCUUGCCCAGGCUCCAAAAUUUCCUGGCUCCGCACUUUUUAGAGGGAUGAAUCCGAUGAAACCCAACCUGGCAUUGUCUCGUCGAUUCUCUAGUGGUAAAUAGGAGUUUACCAUAAUGACCGAGCUUGUUUGAUGAUUAUAACUUAGUGAUAUAUAGGAGUUUCCCAUAAUACCUAGUUGAUUUGCUGAUUACAAAUUAAUUUUAUGGAUUGGCUGAACAUGGGAAUGAAAAUUGGUGGCAAAUUCUUGCAAAUUCCUUACUUUCUGAUCCGCUCCAUGGUUCGUGCUUCAGUGACCCUUCCCCUCCAUCUCGGACAAGCUCAUGGACCAGGCAGCGGCGAGGAUGAUAAGUUAGGAUUUGGGGUUGGGGCGGGGGCAGUUUCCUGGGUUUGGAGGGAGGUCUGGGCAGUACUGGCACAACCAGAGUCACUGAGUCAGGAGAGGGCAGUGGGAGGGCUCAGCAGCAGGGACGAAGGGGAACGAGAAGUUCCGAGGUGGAUGACAGCACUAGCCGCCGGGUAUGGGGAAGGAGGUGGCGUAGGGGCAGCGGAUGCAAGGAAGAUGGAUCGGUGCAGUGGGAUAUGGAGGAAGGCAAAGUGGAGGGGAGGGGGUGGGGUGCAUCGUCUGUAGAGGUGGCAGCAGUUGGGGAUGGAUUUGCUGUCGGCGACCUGACGCCUCUAAGGUAGAGGGUAUGCAGUGGUGGAGAUUGGUUAGCAGGGGUGGCGUUGAGUGAUGGCUGGGGGAUGGUGUUUACAUUAUUGGAGGAGAAGAUAUGGGCCUUUGGAUCUCAAUCAAACAGUCAAAAAGCGUACCAUUUAGUGUAAAAAAAAAACUUACCAAUUAUAUAUAGUCAGCCCCAUAAUUUUAGGCACAUAUAUUGGUCAUAUAUUCAAGAUGCUGAUACCAAUUAUUUGCAUUUCCCCAUGUCAUAUUUAGUAAUUACAAGUUACGUUUAUGGUCUAUCAAUAACAGUUGUAUCAGCAAAAUUACAUGUUUAUGAUCUGUUGUCAAUUUUGUUUCGUGUACUGUAUUCCAAGAUGCUUACACUCUCGAGGGUGUUCAAUUUCUGUCUCGAUAUAGGUUUCUGAUUACCCAAGUGUAGAUGUGAUGGACACCCAUCACAGCGAUCAAUAUGCAAAGAGCAGCCUGCAGCUGCAAUUCAGGGACACCUCUGUUUCCUUUGAAAACAACAAUUCUGUUUUGGAUAAGCAUGAUAUUACAAGCCCUCAAGUUGGCAUGACUUUUGAGACAGCCGAUUUGGCAUAUCGGUUCUACUUAGAAUAUGGCUACCGUGCAGGGUUCGGGGUCUCAAAGAGGACUUCCCAUAGUGUUGAUGGGGUGAAAUACCGUGCAACAUUUGUUUGUUACAAAGGCGGCAUUGCUAGGAUCAAGCCUGGUCUCAAAGCUCGAAGGAGGCUUGUUGCAAAGACUGGUUGCAAAGCAAUGAUGGUAGUCAAGUAUAACACAACUGAAAACCAGUGGGAGGUAGUUUUUGUUGAGCUGGAGCAUAACCAUCCAUGUAAUCCUGAAAUGGUUAGAUUCAUGAUGUGCUUUAAAGAUCUCCCUGACUGGCAGAGGGAGCACCGCCCAUUCAAUGCCAAGACUAGAUUGAAUCCAAAGAUUCACUCUGGCAGAGGCAGGCCACCCAACCAAAACAAAGACUUCAUGGUGAAAAAAACCUUCUCACAAUCAAAUUAUUCCAUUGAAGCAGCAGGCAAGGCUGGAAAGCUGAGAUUUGCAGAGGGUGAUGUUGAGGCACUCUUGGUCUUCUUUGAUAAGAUGCAAGCUCAAAAUUCAAACUUUUUCUACAACUGGGACAUGGAUGAUGAAGGUCGGCUCAAGAAUGUUUGCUGGGUCGAUGCUAGAUCGAGAGCUGCAUACCAGCACUUCUGUGAUGUUGUUUGCUUUGAUACUGUUUAUUUGACAUACCAAUUUGUCAUUCCAUUGGUUGCUUUUCUUGGAAUCAACCAUCAUGGGCAAUUUGUGUUGUUGGGAUGCGGUUUACUUGGGGACGAAUCUCCAGAGACUUUUUCUUGGUUAUUCAAGAAAUGGCUAAAAUGUAUGAAUGAUAAAUCACCUGAAGCAAUUAUUACCACCCACUCAAGACCAGUGGUCAAAGCUGUUGCUGAGGUAUUUCCAAAUACUCGUCACAGAUACAAUCUUUGGCAUAUCAUGAAAGAGCUUCCUGAAAUGUCUGGAAGAGUUGAGGAUAAGGAGGCAAUUAGCCUAAGAAUGAAAAAGGUAGUCUUCGACACUAUUACAUCAACUGAUUUUGAGAGGGAAUGGGUUGAGAUGGUCAAUCAGUAUAACCUUCAUGAUAAUCAUUGGCUUACAACCUUAUUUGAAGAGAGGGCAAAAUGGGUACCAGCAUAUGUCAAGGAUACUUUCUGGGCUGGUAUAUCCACUGUUCGCCGCAGUGAGCGGUUGGAGGCCUUUUUUGAUGGAUACAUUACACCAGAGACCACAAUUAAGACAUUUAUUGAACAAUUUGAUACUGCUAUGAAGCUUAGGUCUGACCGAGAAGCGUAUGAUGAUUUUCGCUCAUUUCAGCAAAGGCCUCAAGUCUUGUCUGGUCUACUCUUUGAGGAGCAAUUUGCAAAUGUUUAUACAAUAAAUAUGUUUCAGAAGUUCCAAGAUCACUUGAAGCAGCUGAUGAACGUGACUUGCACUGAAGUCAGUAGGAAUGGAUCAAUAGUGACUUACACUGUGACCGUCAUUGGUAAGGAGAGGAAGUAUGACUACAAAGUGAUGUAUAACAGUGCUGAGAAAGAGGUGUGGUGUAUCUGCAGGUCCUUCCAGUUUAAAGGUAUUUUGUGUAGCCAUGCUCUUGCUGUCUUGAGACAGGAACUUGUGAUGCUGAUACCUUAUAAAUAUAUUCUCGAUCGCUGGAGGAAGGACUACAAAUGCCCCGAGGAAUCCAAGGAAACUCCCAUCUCACCAAAAGCGAUCAAAGCUACAGGGAAGGGCACAAAACCGGAAAAUGCCCGUGAAGAUAAAGUGGACAAUCUGUACAAGCAUGGUCACCAGUACUUUGCUGACAUUGUGGAAAUGGGAGCAACGGACCCUGAUGCAAUGGAGUAUGUUUUGUCGGUCAUGAAAGAAGCCAAAGAGAAGGUACGGAAGUUCGAGGAAUCUCGAAAAGAUAGAAGGCCUGGAGACAGUCCAGUUUCUACUGGUAAGAGAAAUGGCAAGUCUUCAAGACCAUCCAAUGAGGAUGGGGGCAAUGGCAUAUCAGAUUCAACACCUGCGACUACAACAGUGGCGACAGUCGCGGUGGCCACAUCUACAACAAUGCAGGCAACGCCUACAAUGGUGGCUAUAGCGCCUACUUCGGCAACUGUGCCCGCCGGAAUGUUUUUGGUACCAAUGCACCCACAUCCGAUGGUUUUCCCACCUUUCACCCCUGCAGUACCACCAGUGGUAGCACCUGCAGUGCCACCUCCAGCACCAGCAGCCAAUGUGGGUGAUGUGGCUUCCAACUCCACAAGGAAGAGAAAGAAAAGAAAGGGGAACAAAUGAUGUUCCUAAUACUGAUUAUGUAAGCGCUUCACUUUGCCGCUUCUCCUUUUGUGCUGUACUUUGCUUUGUGGUGUUGAUUUAUUCAGAUAAUCUCAUCGUGCCCUUACCCCGUAUUUUUUGUUCCAGGCCUAACUCAAAUUUAGUCCUACAAGCUGCACCAGGCCCUCCUGUCCAUGUGUAAUAAUGGUUUAUCAUCGUCUCCUGCUGCAGGAUGAUCUGCCCCUCUGAAUGCUUUCUGUGAAUUAUCCCCCUUGACUUGGAACUGUCCGUGCAGCUUUGGACUGUCUACUGUAAAUUGAUAUGGAAAGUAAUGUAUUAUGUAUGUAGUGCAGCUUAGGAAUGUUAGUCUCUGUUUCUGCUCAUGUGGAUUGCGACCUGGAGCAGCGCAGUACCAAGACUACCAGUAGCGUAGCAGUACCCCUUGCUGGUUGGUAGAGUACCAUUUUCUUUCCUUUCUGGAGUUUGUCACUUUAUGUAAUGAUGUAAUCACACUGAACUUUAUUGCCAACCACUAAUGCUUAGUUUCAUCUUAUGCCGUUGGCUGUUGCACUGAGCCCUGAGCAUUAUUUUCAUCGUAUGCAAGCUCACCAUUUCUUGUCAUACUGAAAAUCGAUCGUGCAUAUGGUAUGAGAAUGGUUUUUCAGUUUUCUGAAAAUUGAUCGUUCACAUGUUAUGAGAAUGGUUUUUCAGCAAGCAUAUGUAGAAUUGUAGAUUACCGAUACAAGGAGUUGACCCAGGAAGGCAGGAAUAGUAUUUCAGCAUCCGUGGUGCGUAGGAUACUUCACUUCACCCUAAGGAGUUGGCCCAGGUGACUCAAUUAUCAAGCCAUGUUUUGACUUGCCCGAUUAUACUCGUAACAGCCACAGAUACGACACUUGACGCGGCUCCAAGAACUCCUGUGUAUAUUAUUCUCCUGCAUCAAUCCUCCAGAUGAAGAAACCAACAGUCACAUACUCCAUCCGUUUUAAAAUAUUGCAAUUUAGUACCGUAUUUGACAUAACCUAACCUAUUAAUCUAGACAUCUCUAUUACAAUCUUGAUCAGAGUCGUAGUAGAUUAUAUCAAAUAAGAUACCACAUUGCUAUAUUAUAGAAAAGAUGAUGUGCUUAUUGUCUUUAAUCCUUGUUAGACUGUCUACGCAGACGUAGAUUUCCUUUUAAAUACGAGGGUAGUUUUUUAAACAAUAAACUACCUUUCAUAGAGUUCUCAUAAAAUUCUAAGCCAAAAUAUAAAUAUUGAACCUUAAUUUUAGAUUAAUCUAAAGCUUCUUUUAAUCAUUUUCUUUUUCAAGCCUUCACCUUGAAACCGCUAGAGUAAAAAUAUAAAAGUUUCAUUCUAAAUUUAUUGUUACCUUUAUUUGAAUUAUUUUAUUUUCUAUGGCAUAUCAGUCACGAAAUAAUAUUUCUAACCUCUGAUGCAUUAUUUACGUAGAAAAACUGCAAAUGUACCAUACUCACUCCGUCUAAAAUAUAAGAGAUUUUGGAUGGAUGAAACACAACAUAAUAUUACAAAUUUGGACAGAGAGCAUGUCCAAAUUCGUAGUAUUAGGAUGUGUGUCCCAUCCACCCAAAAUCUUUUAUAUUUUUAGGGUGGAGGGAGUAUAAUCCAUGUCUCGAUGACUUCAUAUGCUACCCCUGGACAGGAUGUACCCUCAUUUUUUUUUGCAUGUCACUCAAAUAAUUAUGAAAAACUUUGAGAAGAUGUAUUAAUAUGUGAUAUAUCCACAAACAUUUUCAAAUUCAACUUCUACAUUUCGCAACGAAAAAAAAACAAAUUUGACUAUGAAUAUAUGUUAAUUAGCUGUAGUUUAAUUUGUUUUUUUCGAGAUGUAAAAGUUUAAUCUGAACUUGCAUGUAUAUGGAGUGAUAUACAUUCAUAUUCGUAUCUUUUUCAUAAUUAUUUGAGUAAUAUACAACCAACAAGAGAGAACAUCCUCUCGAGGGAUUAAAAUAGUUUCCAUCCUACCAGCUUGUUAACGGGCCAAACGUCACCAUUAUGAGUCAUGACAUGGGGGAGGAAGAAGGGCCUAUUCACUUAGAUGCUAAAAAAACAUUACCAAAUUUUGGCAUUGCCGAAAUUUUGGCAACUGUGUUUGCCAAAAUUUUUGCAGGAUUUCUUAUAUAACUACCAAAACUUGGCAGCAAACUAAAUAUAACCACUUUUUAGCAAUUUUAUUAAAAUUUGAUAAGGUUAAAAAUUGACAUUGCAGUGAUCAGGCCCGAAAACUUUCGACGACGAAGCCGCACAACCUGCCUCGCCCUCGCGCCCUGCCAUGCCAUGCCAUGCCAUGAACGAGCGGGAAGCUCUAGAAGGGCCGGAAUUCAAAGCCGCGACUCCUCCCCUAAACCUGGCCAAAUGGGCCGUGCCAAGCCGGGCCGGCCCGAGCACGGCAGUACUGUAGCCGGCCCAGGCCCGGCACGGCACGCCAGCCUGUGGGCCGUGCCGGCACGGCCCGUUAUCCCGUGCCGUGUUUGGGCCGAUGCCUCAGCCCGUGGGCUGGCACGGCACGGCACGUUUACUGUAGCGUACCGGCACGGCACGGCCCAGGCAUGGCACGGCCCACCGGCCCAUUUAUUUUUCCUACGAUUUUCUAAUUUUUCCCAUAUAUUUCUCAUAUUUUUUAUUUUUUUCCACAUUUUAUCCUAUUUGUACCAUAUAUUUUAUGAUAUAUUUCCUAAAUUUUCCUCACAUUUAUCCUAUAUUUAUCAUUUUUUCCUUUAUAUUAUGUUUUUUCUGCCUUUUUCUUUUUUUCCCCUCAAAUUUCAAUUUUUAUGGGCCACAUGUACUAGUGGGCCGGCUACCAGCCCACGUGCCACUACAGUAGCCGUGCCGGCCCGGUACGGCCCAGCACCUUCUUGGGCUGUGCUUGGGCCGUGGCCUUGGCACGUGGGCCGGCACGGCACGGCCCGCUAUAGGAGCCGUGCCUAACGGCCCGUGUCCUAGUGGGCCGUGCCGUCGGCGUGCCGUGUCGUGCUGGGCCGGGCCGCCCGUUUGGCCUGCUAUAUCCUCCCCCCACCCCCACCCCUACCCGCACCCGUAACUCCCCCGCCGCGUCGUCGGCUCUCACUGACACCCUCUGGCCCACGCGAUUUCCCUCGCCCGCCGCGCCCCUAUCCGCCACGUGCCGCGUGUCGCGCCUCCCCCCUCCCGCCGCGUGCCCCCUCCCCCCGCCCACGUCAUCACGCCCACACAGAGUUAAAACUCCACCACCACCCUCGCCACCAACCUUUCCCACUGCCCCACUGCACCGCGCUCGCUCGCUUGAUAUCGAUCGAUCUCACCAUGCGGCUCUACCUGUACGUGAUCGAGGCGCGGGGCCUCCCGGAGCACGGCGGCGAUGGGGGCGGAGGGCCGUACUACGCGAGGGCGAAGGUGGGGAAGCAGAGGGCGCGGACGCGGGAGGUGGAGGCGCGCGGCGGCGGGGCGUCGGCGGCGGCGGCGGAGUGGAACGAGGAGCUGGUGCUCGAGGUGGACGGGGGCGAGGCGGUGGAGGUCGGGGUGGCGCGGCGGCGGGAGGGCGGCGGGCGCGGCGGGAGGGAGGUGGUGGGCAGGGUGAAGCUGCCGGUGCCCGCCGCCGCCGUCCCCGCGGGGAGGAGGAGAAGGACGACCGUGCCGCCGACGUGGUUCACGCUGCAGCCCAAGCACCACCGCCGCUGGAAGAAGGGCGCGGCGGAGGCGGCGGAUUGCGGUGCGUACACGCAUUCUCUAGCUUUGAUUAUCGAAGUAAAUUACGUGUGAUUCCGUCCGUACUUUGGGUUAAUCCGCUCCCUUCUCGAAUCGGUCGGCGCGCGGCGCGGCGGCCGACUUUUUGGUGAAGCUACCAGUAUCUUUGUUAGCUUUGCCAAAUGCAGCACGCAAGCUCGUAGUAAGAGGGAUUAGCAUGCUGUUAUACGGAAUGAAAACUUAGGGUGCGUUCGUUUCAUGGACAAUGAGUGGAGAUAGCACAUCGUUUUCCGCGCGCACGCUUCCCAAACUACUAAACGGUGUGUUUUUUGCAAAAAUUUUCUAUAGGAAAAUUGCUUUAAAAAACCAUAUUAAUCCAUUUUUGCAAUUUAAAAUAGUUAAUACUCAAUUAAUCACAUACUAAUGGCUCAUCUCGUUUUGCGUAUCUUCCCAAUCUUCUCGAUCCCCUAUCCCUCAAACUCACCCUAGUAGCUUUCGAAGUCAUUCGUAAUUGUUUUUUUUCAUUCCAGCGUAGUUCGACGACGUCUCUUUCACGGCUGUUCUUUUACUGAGACUCGUGCUGACCAGCAACGACAUGCUCUUUUAAUUUGCACUGUUUGCACAAUUAAUCAUGUAGCCAGCUUAGGCCUUGUUUGGUUACACAAGAAUUCAAUCCGGGUCAGGAAUAAUAAGUAUAGUAAGAAAUUUAUGAUAGAUAUAACGAGAGACCGGGAUUUAUUCUGAGUCGGGAACCAAUUUAAUCAUGAUAGAGACAAUAAGAGACCGGGAAUCAAUCCACUAGUCAAGAGGUGUGGAACUAAUCCGGAUAUUUUGUUGUACCUAAUAUGAGUAAAUUGGUUUCCGACCGGGAAUAAAUCACGGUCUCUUGUUGUACCUAUUAUAAAUUUCUUGUUAUACCUACCGUUCCCGGCCUGGAACGAAUGCUUGUGUAACUGAACAAGGGCUUAAGGUCUUCGCAGCAUCUGUCCUAAACUAGGGUGGUGUUUGGAUUCAGGGACUAAAUUUUAGUGUCAUUAGUCUACGUUUAAUACUUCUAAUUAGUGUCCAAACAUCCAAUAUGACAGGGAUUAAAAUUUAGUCCUUGGAUCCAAACAGAGCCUAGAUUUGGAUACAUACUAGUGAUCUAUGAUCAGCAAGGGACUUGAGCAGGCUACUGCGCACAUAAUUCUCGAGAGUUAUUUGAACAAAUAGUCUUAAUACGAUGCAGGAAACCAGGAUCAAAUUCAGUGUUUGCCAGACAAUUAACCAUUGUGUCUCAGUUUAUAGUAGUGCAGUGUGAGGUGUGAUCCACUGAUUCCCUUUCAGCUGGGAACGGCCUAGUUUCGGUUGUAUACACACACAUCCCCGUUUGGUGUACACAUUAACUCCUCUGCUUUUUUAAUAUAUGACACUGAUGACUAUUUGUCUUAAUAAAAAAAUUAUGCAAAAAAAAUGUGCUUAAAGUAUGAUAAAACAAGUCGCAAUAAAAUAAAUGUUAAUUACGUAUUUUUUUAAUAAGAUGAAUUGGCAAACGUAUGUCCAAAAGUUAAUGACAUCAUAUAUUGAAAACGGAGAGGGUGUUCUUCUCCUUCAGGUGAAUGUUCUGCUGAUAUGUUGUUUUUUGUAUGGUUGUGAACCAGGGAAAAUUCUUCUCACCUUUUCACUGCAUGGAGAAAACAGCGACAAUACUGUUAUCCACUCAUCACCUUGUUCGAGCUCUAGGAGCGACACUGACAUUGAAUUUGAGAGAUCAACUUAUUGGGAACAUUCAAGUUCCAACAGUGGGACGGUUGAUUCUCCCAGGAGUUUUGCAAUAGAACGAUCUUCUUUAGAAAAUUCUGACCGUUCAGCCCAAGCAAAUUCCAAUUCCAACUCUGAAGAUGAUGAUCUAACAGAGCCUAGUGCAGCAACAGCAAAGGGCACAAGUGACAUCGAACCAAUGGUUCCAGAUGCAAGCUUUGAAGAAGCUAUGGAAAUCAUGAAGUCUAAAAGCAUCCCUGACAUGCCAGAAGAUCUUAAUGGUGGUGUCAUGUUCGAUCACACUUACCUUGUGGACUCGAAGAAUUUGAACUCUCUUAUCUUUGGGCCUGAUUCUCAGUUCUCCAAAGAGUUGCGCGAGUUGCAAGGAACUAUGGACUAUGAGGAACAGCCAUGGACAUGGAACAAUAAUAAUCCUCCUAGCUUAACCAGGACAUGUCAAUACACCAAAGGUGCAACAAAAUUUAUGAAAGCCGUCAAAACUAUUGAAGAGCAAACAUAUCUUAAAGCAGAUGGCAAGAGUUAUGUAAUUAUGACUCGUGUUCGUACUCCCGAGGUUCCAUUUGGAAAUUGUUUUGAGGUUGUUAUGCUGUACAAAAUAAUUCACUACCCUGAGUUGUCGUCAAGUGAAGGAAUGUCACAUCUGACUGUAUCAUACAAUGUAGAGUUCCUUCAGAGUACCAUGAUGAAAAGUAUGAUUGAGGGAAGUGUUCGGGAUGGACUGAAAGAAAAUUUUGAAAGUUACGCAGAAAUUUUGUCUCGGCAUGUAAAAAUUGCUGAUUCUGCUGGGAUGGAUAAAGAGCGAUUAUUGGCACCGCUCCAGACUGAUCAUCAGUCAGAUAUCAGACUUGCUUACAAGUAUUUUUGCAAUUUCACAGUCAUCUCUACAGUGAUAAUGGCACUGUAUGUUCUUGUACACAUCUUUCUGUCAAGACCAGGCCCUCUUAUGGGUCUUGAGUUCAAAGGUCUUGAUUUACCUGACACGUUUGGAGAGCUGAUCAUAUCUGGCAUACUAGUUCUUCAGCUAGAACGUUUACUGAGUAUGAUAUCUCGUUUUGUAGAGGUAAGGGUACAGCGAGGUAUGUUUGUUUUCUUUGUUGUGCAUUUACUGUAUUUCUCGUGCACUAGACAUGCAAAUUAACAUAAAGUCAUAACUAUGCUAACUAUGUAUCUUCUUUUGUCACAGGAAGUGAUCACGGGAUUAAAGCAAAUGGAGAUGGUUGGUUGUUAACUGUAGCUCUGCUAGAGGCCACAAGCUUGCCGCCUGUCUCUAGCGGUUCCGUAGAUCCUUAUGUUGUGUUCAGCUGUAACGGCAUAACACGAACAAGCUCUGUGCAACUUCAGACUCAUGACCCUCAAUGGAACGGUUAGUAGAUUUCACACGUUAACUCACUAAUCUCCUAUCUUAAUUUAAUUCAUCAUCUAUUACAAACUGACAGAACAUUUCAGAGAUAAUGGAGUUUGAUGCCAUGGAAGAACCACCUGCUACGUUGGAUGUUGAGGUUUUCAAUUUUGAUGGACCAUUUGAUCUGGCAGUUUCUCUGGGACAUGCUGAAAUUAACUUCCUUAAACACACGUCAGCAGAACUAGCAGAUAUAUGGGUGCCACUGGAAGGUAAAUUAGCUCAGACUUGUCAGAGUAGGUUACAUUUGAGAAUAUUUCUGGAGAACACAAAAGGACCUGAGACAUCAAUGAGAGAGUACUUAAGUAAGAUGGAGAAGGAAGUUGGUAAGAAGGUAACUUCCGACUAACUUGUUCCUGGGUACUGACUCUUAACUAAUAAUUAAACCUCUUGAUGAUGCAGUAUUUGUAUUUAUAUUGCAGUUACAUGUUCAGUCACCUCACAGAAAUGCAACGUUCCAGAAGCUUUUUGGUUUACCACACGAAGAAUUCCUUAUAGCAGUUUAUGCGUGCUCCUUGAAACGGAAGUUGCCGUUGCAGGUAUGAUUGUUCCCUUCUCUGUGUUGAGGAUUCAGUUUGAGCACAUUGCGGUUGACAUGAUAUGAAAUCAAUCCUAGAAUUUUACUUUGAAAACAUUGUUUUACUUAAUAAUCCAAUAUCACCUUAUACUACUCUUAUGUCUUCUUUUGGACCAUUACAAUAUGAAAACAUCAGGUCAUUCACAUAUUAUAUCUGUGGAUAUUAAUAUUAGUAGUAACUUGCAGUUGCUUCUGAUGCAGGGAAGACUGUUUCUGUCAGCCAGAAUAGUUGGUUUCUAUGCCAAUCUGUUUGGACAUAAAACGAAAUUCUUCUUUCUGUGGGAAGAUGUCGAGGAAAUCGAAGAGUUAACUCCAUCUUUCACAACAGUAGGUACUCCAUCUUUGUUGUUUGUCUUGAAGAGCGGCCGGGGACUCGAUGCCAAGAAUGGUGCAAAGUCCCAAGAUAAGGAAGGCAGGUUGAAGUUUCAGUUCCAUUCGUUUGCUUCAUUUAGCAAGGCUAGCAGGUUGUUUUAUCUCUUCCUAGCUUUAUUACCAGUAUUUUUUUUUUGAUAAAGGAAGCUUUUAUUAAUCUCAGACGAUUACAUCAAGUUGAUAGAACCAUACUAAGAAAAAUAAGAUAAGGAGAAUCUAUUUGACGAGAAAACUAUCUGUUCUUCAUUGUUAGGACAAUAAUUGGACUAUGGAAAACCAAAUCAUCAGCUAUUGAACAGAGGGCUAAACUAGAAGAAGAUCAAGAAGAUGAAAACUAUGUCGAUCUUAAUGAUGUUCAAUCUGUAUUGAGCAUUGGAGAUGUGCCACUGUCAAAGGAGUAUACUUUGGAACUGCCUAUCGAUGUGAGUUUUCUGCUUCAUUAGUUCUUCUGCUGAUAGAAUUGCGUUUGUUUCUCCCCCUUUUUAGUGGAAGAGGCUAGAUAAGUUAUACAGUACUUGUGUAAACAUGGAUGUGAAUUUUCAUCCCUCGAGGGUAUGUCCUUUCAUUGCUUGCAUGUCAUAUAAAUAGUUAUAAAAAAUUGAAAAAAAAAAAACAAGAUAGAUUAACUAGUGGCGUUCUUGCAUUUAACGAUCACUUGUCAGUGUACUUCACUCCUGGGAUUCGUUUUUCUGUACAGCUGCACUGCUUGAAUAUUUUCGUUUAUACUCGAAUUUCUCCAACUUUGGUUGAAUUACAUUCAAAUCAGUUCAAAAUUCAAACACAUGUCGGUGGGAUUUUGUCCGACCUCCCAAAAUCUUGUACUUCCACAGAUAAGAUCCUAACCCAUGCUUGUCAACCAACACGCUGUUGUGCCACCACCAUCUGCAGUCUGCAGAAACCCCCGUUUUCCAUCGUCCCUUUGUACUUUGUAGUACUACAUGGUUGUCACUUGUCAGCACGCUGUUGUGCGCCACCGUUCCUUCGAUCGCUUUCUGUACUGUACUCACAAUUGUGUGUGCAUCGCAGGCGGAUCUGCUGAUGGGGGUGUUCGACGGGGGCCCCCUGGAGGCGAAGGCGAUGAGCAGGGCGGGUUGCCUCGACUACGCCGCCACCCCGUGGCAGGACGCCCGGCCCGGCGUCCUGGAGCGGCACGCCAGCUACAAGUUCAACCGCUACAUGUCCAUCUUCGGCGGCGAGGUCGUCAGCACCCAGCUCAGGCUCCCCUCCGACGACGGCGACGGCUGGACCGUCUACGACGUCAUCACGCUGCGCAACGUCCCCUUCGGCGACUUCUUCCGGGUACGCACCCAACAAAUCACAACCACAACCACACCUAUGAACUCUCACGUACUUACUACGAGUCCUCACGUUGGAUGCUAGUGCUUGCUGUAGCUAAGAUGUCGUCAUGCCACUGUUUUUUCCUCUCCUUUUUAUUUUGGUGUGGUUUGAGGAGAGUGGUUAGCUAGGCAAGUGGCCGUGAGUGAAAGGGUGGUUAUGCUGAUAGUGGUUAAUAUUAAGAUAUUUGCAUCUAUCCAGUAAAAAGUACCUCGAGAUACAAAUCGUUUAUGGUUAGAUCUAAUAAUCGGAAACGAUUUAUUACCGUACUAGUAUCUAGAUUUACUUUUUAUUGGACCGGAGAAAAUCUCUAAUAUUAAUGUAUUGUGUGCGCGAUUAAUUUGAUUAUAAUGCAGUUGCAUUUGAGGCACAACAUAUGGAGCGUGGAGGCCGCGUCGUCGGAGGCGGCGGCGAGCAGCGGGAGCCGGUGCGAGAUACUGGUGGGGAUCGAGUGGGUGAAGAGGAGCAAGUUCCAGAAGAGGAUCGCGAGGAACAUCUGCGAGAAGCUGGCGCACAGGGCGAAGGAGGUGCUCGAGGCGGCCGCCAGGGAGAUCGCCCCGGCCUUGUCGGGCUAGCGAGAAGCUGGAGGAGACGGCUGUUUUUUCUUUUUCUUCCAGCAAGGCCGCAACGGAGAAGAUCUCUGCAGAGGAGCAGAGUGCACGACUGAACUGUGUCGGCUUUUGCCUUGGCUGUAGCGUAGUAGUAUCUCCAAAACAGAACGAAACAAAUAGGAAUACGGAGAUGUAUACCAACUACAGUAUAUACGAUAUCUUCAAGAAGUACACAUGAUCCCAAAAAAGUGUACAAGUGUCGAGCCCGAACCGAGCUGUGCGUGCGCGCGCGUGACCAGCCGGCCGAAUUCCGGUGGUUUUUCCUCGUGUCGAGCCGGCACGAUGUGGUGGGAGGUGGCCAACUGUUGGUAGAUCGGGCGAUGCCGUAUUGAACAUGGGCGUGACUUCUCGUUGGAUAGACAAGAUCAUCAUCUGCGGAACGUGGGUGCAUGCGACUUCCUGGUGCUGUUGAUCUGGCCACCGCAGUACCGCACCGCUCAUGGGGAGAGUCAUGGUGGUGGCGCUCGGUUUGUAUGGAUUUCCAAGUGUACAUUCCUGAGGUGUGCAUCCCUCGGUUUCAUCUUAGGUGUACAGGCUUGAAUGCUAAUCGAGUUACUCAUCAUAAAAAUGUCUAAUUCUAUAUAAAAUGUUAUAUUUAUAGGUUUUUAUCAUUGUUAAUCACAUAACCAGUUUCUCGGCAAAAUCUAUAUGAUUAAGGCACGCUUGAAUAGAAGUUUUAUCUGAGAUAAGAAAACGAGCCUUAUAACACUUUCUCGAUCACUUUAAAAGAAUAAAUAAAUGUAUCGGAUCUCUAACACCGUGAAGACCGUAUGGAUCAGUCUGCAAUUGCAAAUGAAUUACAACUAGAAGUGAACUUGCUAACGAAACGAGAAAAUUGGCUUACGACAUUAUAAAGCUUCAAACUGUACUACAAGUCUACAACAACAUUGAAUUGUGCUAAAAAAUCGGAUGAUAUAAAUUUGAACUCUGAUUUUUUUUUCUUUUGGUACGAACAGAGACCAAUUUCCCCUCGAGCUCAGCCUCAGAGCCGGCGCUAGGCAAAGGGGAGGGCACCCAACUACUACAGUACCCAAGUCGUNCGCGCCGCCGCCGCCUCCCCCCAAAAUCGCCCAAAAUACCACCGAGCCAGACGCCACUACGCCAUAAAAGCAGCCUUCACUCUCGUCUCCUCCUCCGGCGCCGAUCCCCUCCCGAAUUCCGCCAUGGAUCCGGCGCCGAAGGCCCACCCCAUCCUCUCCUACGUGCUCUCCCGCCUCCCCACCCUCGCCAAGGCCCGCCCGGCCGGCGGCGGCGGCGACUUCGACAUCGAGCAGCCGCCCGUGCACACGCCGUCGCCGCGGACGCCCUCCACCGCGGGGGAGUUCGAGCUCGUGGAGCGUAUGCCGGGGCUGCGCCACCCGUCCGUGCUCCGCGCCAUGACCCGCGCCGUCGCCGACGUGUCGGCCGCGCGCUCCGCGCUCCAGGUCCUCGGCCCGCGGCCCGACCACGAGCUCGUCGACUCCUCCCGCGCGAUCGUCGCCGCGACCGACGCCGAGGCCGGGGGCUCGCGGCGGGUCCCCGAGGGGGACCUCGAGGCCUGCCGCGCCGUGGUGCGGCUCGAGGAGACGCACGACGCCUACGAGGCGCUGCUGCAGGAGGCCGAGGGGAGGCUCGAGGCGGUGUACCGGUCGGCGAUGGAGGGGAAGGACCUGGAGGAGCCCGACGGGAGGGACGAAUCGGCGGCGGCAGCCGCCGGGGAUGAUGCUGCGGUGCAGGAGGAGGUGAUCGCGGUGCUGAGGCAGGCCGAGGAGGGCAAGCCGGUGGAGAGCGUCCGCCUCGUGGACCGGCAGCUGCGCCACCUGCCGGAGGCGUUCGGGAGGAUCCAGGGGCUCCGCGUGCUCGAUGUCUCGCGCAAUCAGCUCGAGGUGAGAAAUCUGUUAUCUCCGCAUGCUUUAGAUCUGCUUGUUUAGAACCCUGUAACCCAAACAAUGCUUGUACUGGGUUUUGUACGCAUUUAGACAUCUGAACGGAUGGGAUUUUUCUCUUCUGUACUGUGAAAUUGUGAAUUGAUGGAUUGAAUCUUAUGUUGAAGAUGAUCAGAAAUAUAGGGCCAUAUGCAAAAUGUGUACGUGAGCGAUAAAAUGCCUGUUUUGUGGUGUUGCACACAUUCUACCAUUUGAACUGUAUGCUGAAAAUAGUUUGGGCACUGAAUUUUCGGUAGGAUUGUGUUUUUUGUGUGUGUGUGUUAUGGUAUGGUCAGUUCCUAUUAUUUUUAGAGUCCUCAAGACUGCGCAUGUACUAUUUUCUUUAUAGAUUUACUAGUACAACUUAUUUAUUGGUGAUGAAACAGUUACUAUCUUAGGCCUUAGGAUGUAAAUAGUGAAACACUGUAUGUUAGUAUUUCUUUUUGCUGUUUUUAUUUGAUUACUAAAUUAGGCUAUGGGUGGAUGAGUGCUGAAAGUUAUGGAUAUAGUGACCCACUAGUCUUGUUUUAGAGUACUGAGAGUUAGCUGUUGACCAUCUACAGUCUGAAACUCAGAAUAACUGGAUACUAGUAUGUAGUAAGUAUUGACAGAACAAAUGUAGAACUGGUAGGAGCUUGGCGUGUAUGUAAAUUCCUGAUUAGAUUGUGGAUUCACUUUCUAAUAUCAUCCUGUAUUUAAUGGUUGGCUUGGAUCAUUGGAAAAUCAUAGGUAAGAGUAGGGAAGGCUGGCUUUGUUUUGAAUUUUGGCCACUUCCUCUAUAUCCGUGUUUACAUUGAUGUUUAGAAAUUUCUUAGUUUAUUUUUGGGAUAUUAGGUUGUGCUCAUUUGAGUUUAAAAAUAGACAAACAAUUAAGCACAUACUAACUAUAAUUAUUUUCUUUGAUAAACCUUUAUACUCAGUUAUUUAAAGAUAGACAUAAACAGUUAAGCGCGUACUAAAUAUAAUUAUUUUCUUUCAUAACCCUUUUAUCCUCAGUGGCUUGCCUGGUCAUAUUUCCAUAGCGACAUACUGUACACAUUUUGUUAAGUAUGUUGUUGUUGUGUCCCUUGCUUCAUUGGUGAAUCAAUGUGAUUGUAGGUUAUUCCAGAUGCUAUAGGAGGACUUGAUCAUCUUGAAGAGCUUCGUCUUGCUUCCAAUGCCUUGAUUUCUCUUCCUGAUUCCAUUGGACUGCUAUUGAAUUUGAGGAUUCUGAAUGUGGGAAGCAACAGGCUAAGGUCAUUGCCAGAUAGCAUCUCAAAGUGCAGGUAGAUAACUUUCUUUAGCUUAACUCUUGGGUUCAGCAAAUGUUACUGUUCAAGUGACUGAUUGGUGCAACUCCAGGUCAUUAAUUGAGCUUGAUGCGAGCUACAACGGGCUCGCUUAUCUGCCAACCAACAUUGGGUAUGAGCUGGUAAAUCUGCGGAAACUCUGGGUCCAUAUGAACAAGUUGCGGUCACUUCCAUCAUCUAUCUGCGAGAUGAGAUCAUUGUACCUCCUGGAUGCACAUUUCAAUGAACUAUGUGGUCUGCCAUCUGCCAUAGGGAAACUUUCAAGUCUUGAAAUUCUGAACCUGAGCAGCAACUUUAGUGACCUGAAGGAUCUCCCUGCUUCUUUCGGUGACCUGCUGAAUCUGCGCGAGCUUGACCUCAGCAACAACCAGAUCCAUGCUCUUCCCGACAAUUUUGGUCGGCUGGAUAAGCUAGAGAAGCUCAACCUGGAGCAAAAUCCCCUUUCUAUGCCGCCAAUGGAGAUCGUGAACAAAGGCGUGGACGCGGUGAAAGAAUACAUGUUGCAGAGGUGGCUUGACAUCUUGCUCGAGGAAGAACGGAAGAGCAUCGCAGCAGCGGAGAGCCCUCAAGCACCGACCACUCCUUCGGCCUGGCUGGCACGCAGCGUCUCCUGGGUCUCCGACGUUUCCGGAAGCCUUGUGGGGUACCUCAGUGGCGAGAACAAGACGGAGAAAGAUGCCUACCUGGAUCAGCAGUACUGAAAGCGCUCACCUGUGUGGUGUUUGUGCACCGUGUACAUACUAUAAGCGUUCCAUGCUUACCAUCUCAUCUGGGAAAAUCGUUUUGUGUUCCUGGUGAGUCGAGCCAUACACUCGUGCUAGGCUUGCAUCCCCCAAAGCAGGCUUUGGGGUUUAUUUUGCCCGUUUUAACUUCCGGACGUCCUUUUCAUAGCUUCACUUGUUACAGUAUUAUAUUACUUUGUCGAAUAAUAAUGUGGAGACAAAUAUGACCGGAGAGUGCGCUCAAGAAUAUCAAUGCUUUAGAGCUUUAGGCCUCAAUGUUUCGACCUGUGCGUUGUGCUGGAAUGGAAGCGGCGGCCGUGUUAGUACAGGUUGCCGUCGCCGGCAAUUGUGAUUCACGUUUUGCUCAUCCGUUUCUUGGCAAUUGCGAUUCAUAUUUUGCUCAUCGUUUCUCGAUCUCCUUUCUGUGUAUCACGUGUUUUCAAAAUUUUGCAAAUACUGUGUUACACGUCGCUAUCGCGUACGAGAAUUCUCCCAAAACCCAAUCACUUUCAACAUACUCCCCACCAACAAAAGGGGAGAAACCGAACCAGCAGCAACGUCCACGAUAAUAGCGCAAAGAACCAGACGAGCAACACAAGUUUAAUACAUCAUAUAGCAUAAUAAACAACUAGUAGGUACGGUACUUAUUUCGAUUACACACCGAUGAUUAGAAGUCUUUAAACACCACUACUGGCACUACACCAGACCCUCUAAGGUUGCUGGCGAGUAGGGGUAGCACAGCAGCACGAACGCCGCUUUUAACUAGGUAAGCUAUUUAUAAAUAUACUACGGUCUAUAUCUUGGAUACUGCAAGGUGCUCAAUAGCUGAACACGACGAGGUCAUCACUGGCCCUUCUAGGAGGGGCAAAAAAGAUUCACGGCCACAUGCUUCCUCGCCGUCCUUGGUGAGCGCCUUGUUCAUCUCCGUUCUGAUCAGAUGCCCUGAUGGGGAAAUAAGAAGCAAAGGUUCAGAUUAACUCUUACCCGCAAUGACAAAAUAUGGUGCAUAGGAAUGAGACAUCCUGAACUUACCAGUUCGUGCAGUUCAUCAUGGAGUGCAUCCCAUUCGAGGAUGCCACAGAGUUCAUCAAUGGACUGCUCCAGGUUGUACUCGUUCCGCCUAAUUAUUUCCUUGUUCAGGUCGACUUGCCCGAAGCCCAUCUGCCCCAGCUCUCUCAGCAUGUUGUCCUCCACGGCACUGAUGUGAUCAGAUGAAGGCUCGGUAGGCAGGCAAGAAGCAGCGCGAGCAGUUGCAGAGGGCAUUCCAAUGGCAGCAGCAGGUGCAGUGGGCUCACUGAUAGGAGCAGCAGCAGCUCCGACAGGUGCAGCGGUAGUCGCACUAACAGGAGCAGGCGCAGGUCCAGAUGCAGGAAUGCUAACAGGUUUUGGCAGGGGAACGGCUUGAGGUGCAGGUCCAGGCGUGGCAGCAGGCUUCGAAGCCUUUUCAGCUCCAGCAGAUGAAGUGAGGAGAUCAGUAGCUGGCACUAGCACUGAUUCAAAUGCUCUAGGUACAGAAGGUACGGCACUUGAAACAAGCUCAGGUUCCAUCGGUUUGGUGGCUUCAUGGUAUAGUGCAUGUGCAAGAGGAUCAGUUAUGGUGCUUCCAGAGUAUUUACCCACAAUAUCUGCAGACUGAAUAUUUGCAUCAACAGAAUGCUUCCAUUCUGUGUUGCUUCCUUCUGGGGGCAUGUUCAAGUUUAUAGCAGCACUCUGCUUGUUGCUACUGGUUUUGACCGGGUGCUCCACCUGCACAUGAAUUUGGAAUCCAAAUGAUCAGAUAACAAAGGAAGUGCCAAAGCCAAUGAGGACGAAAAAGCAAUCUAUGGUGGAACAAACCUGAAUAAAAACCCAAACUCGCUGACCAAACAUCUGGCCAGUGGGUGAUGCCAAUCUCCAGUACGACACGUACCCACCAGGCUUUGCAGGUGUGACAAAAUCAACACCAACAUCGAUCUCUUGAUCAAUAGGGAAACCAUCCACCGAGAUCUGCACAUGCCGAAUCAGAGUUAACAUUUUAGUGCAAUACUGCCUAACACUCUUGACCAUUCGUUGGUAGUUAUACUAAAUACGAAAAGGGUAGGGUGUACCCCUAAUUUAACUGAGCUGUUGCGUGCAAAUAGAUGUCCACCAACCCAGGUAAGACAUGUCCCAUAUGGCCACAUGGAAGAUCCAUUGUUAUGUAUGCGCCAAAUCUUUGUAAAUGGGGUUGAUGGUGCCAUUACUGUUCCAUCAGGGACAGUAACAUCCUUAAUGAAGCGGCAAUCAUGUAGCUGUCGAAGAUGUGGAAAGAGCAUCUGGUUCUGAAAAAUGGCCAGAUGACAGUCAGUUGACACUGUUCUGGAAAUGUUUUACGAGAACUAUAUGAUCAUGAAUUUGAACAAGUUGCUGCUUUCACCUGAUUGAGGUCUCUACAUCGUCUACUCCCAAAAGAUGGUCUGUCUAUUCUGGUAUAUUCAUUCACAUUGCCCAUUCGAGAAAAACAGGUAUUGCAUAAAUCAUAAUCAUCUUUACUGCACGCAAAAAACAACAAAUCAUGUUAGAAUAAUGGCUUUUUUUCCUUCCAUUCCAAUUCAACUUACGAUGAUGAACUAGAACAACCAUUGAACUCAAAACUCACAUAUUUGACUUGUAGCGAGAACCAGCGAUAGGAGUGACCCCACAGCCAUCGCACUGUAUCCAUCUAUGCAGUGUGUGCUGCGCCAUGCUCUCGUGCUUAUCACUUAGAUCCCUGUAUGGGCACCUAUUACAGCUGCUGCCUUCAGAAUAAGGUCCAUAAAGACCGACUGGUGAGAGAUUAUCUGGCUUGGAUGUGUUACUUUUGCAGGUGCAUGGAGGGAAAUAGUGACCACCCUUUAGGCUUCUGUCAGCUUGGAGGGACUGAACUGGGUAAUGGGAGAGAUUCUCAGGCUUAGAUGUGCUACUUUUGCAGAUGCACGGAGGGUAAGAGCAACCACCCUUGAUACUGCUUUUAUCAGCUCGGAGAGACUGAAGUGGGUAACGGGGAAACAGUGGUGGAGGAGGGCAUGUCGAGUUCAAAUCACCACCAAUCUGGCCAUUAGGCCCAAAGGACUCAGAAGAAAGGCCUAGUUGUGUCCAGAAAAGAUCACUUCUUAACCCUUCACCGCAAUCUGAAGCAGGAGCAGAAUGAACAGUAGGUGCACCAUGACCAAUGCUAGUAACUUGUGGCACAGCAGAGGAUGUAACAGACUUGCCCUUACUUUGGGCAUUGGUACUUCCCUUGUUAUCAACUUUUACCCAGCCUGAAAGGGUAUCCACAUAAUAAGGAUAUCCCGAUACAUGUUCAGCUUGAGCUUUGAUGUCAUCAAGAAGCACACCCUUAAGACCAAGUGAUUUAGUUGAUCCAGAGUUAUGCAUAUCCAGAGGGUUCGAAGCUGAAACAGCCAUGAGCUCAGUGUCAUUUUUAAUAUUCAAACUUCCCAAAGUUUGUCCCCUACCACUAGAGGAGCCAGAUGAACCAUCAGCAGAACCACUGGAAGACUGCAUUUUGCUCUUUGGUGCCAUCAGUUUAGCAAGCCGGUCCAGCAAAUCAGCCAAUGAUGGCGCUGAUGAUGCAGCUUUAGAACGCAAGUCAUGUGAUAUUUUUGCAAGGACAGUGGGAACUUGUUCUGGUACAAAUUUUAAAGCUUCAUCGAUAGCUAAUUUCACCUGAGCCAAUUGAUCUUCCAGAGCAGUGGACAUUACAGAUAUGGAAUCCAAUACCUGCUGUUUUGUCUGAUGUACCCCAUCACUGCUGCUCUUCAACUCAACAUUAAUCCUAAGAGGGUUCAGUCUCUGACUAAUGGCAGCAUCACAUAAAUCACUAUCAUCAUCCAGUAUGACAACAUCCCCAUCCUCAUCAGUAUAGGUGAGUACAAACUCAGUAUCUGGAUUGAACUUAAAAGCACUCGCAAUCUUUGACCGAAGAGCAGCCAGAUUAAGAUCAAAGUGCGGACCAUUCACAAAAGCAGUGAACCGCUUAAGAGUGCCACCGAAUUUUACCUGAAACAUCAAGCAAAUUAAAAGAGAAAUAGAUAAGAAUAAUAAUCUAGUAAAAUUGCACGAGGUAAACUUAAAUAGAACAGUAAGUGGUUUGCUUUGCAGGCAAGAUGCUUAAGCAAAUGAUAACUCAAUUCUGUUCUUAUCUUAGCAGCUGAUCAAUGUUGAUUCAGUUAACAGUAGCGUCAAAACACAAUUCACGGAACCAAAUCUCAGCACCUGAUGCUACAUAAGUACCAAAAUUACAUGGCAUUAAUCAGUUAAGGACGACUGCCAAGUUAAGCCGUUGCAUGUUGAGGGAAGUGGGUUGUCUUCUACACUGAAGAGAUUUAUACAGCCAUAUCAUGCAAACCUAAACAGAUUUAUUCAACCAUAGCAUGCAAAACUGGAACAUUCAACAUACCAACAAAUUACAAAGGAACAUACAUCAAAGUGAUCAAGAUACUCUACAAUCAAAUCCCCAUAGCAAGUACUCUUGUCUAGCUAAUCAGAAAAACAAAAAGCCCUGCAAUAAUCUUGAUUUCGAAGGAGUCCUCACAAUAAUCGCCGGCGUUAAGGACUGAUAUUUCUACACUAUUUUACAAUCCCUGCAAUAAUCUUGAUUUCGAAAGAGUCCUCACAAAAAUCGCCGCGUUAAGGACCCGAUAUUUCUACACAGUUUCACAAUCGCAAACAAUACAGAAACGAUCUAAUCCUGGGCGCCCAAAAAGAUGCAAAAUCCAUCCUUUCAAGAACAACACUACCACCCGGUCGCAUCGCUCCACAACCCAGCACGGGCAACAGAACCCACUCCCCACCUCCCUGCGACAAAACCCCCAUGCGCGAGCAAACCAAGAACGCGGCAUUCCUAGCACAGAAACACCGCACCCGCGAGGAGCCGGGAAAAUAAAUUAAAAAAAGAAAGAAAAGAAAACCUCACCUUCACGACGAGAUCCCUCUCGCCCUCGCGCGCCGUCGGCGCAGCGUCCCGGCGGCGAGACAUCCCGACCAAACGAAGCCCCGCGAUGGCGAUGGUGGCGUGAGACGAAGACGACGAGGCGGAGGGGAGGAGGAGAAGGAGACGGGUUGAGUCAAGACCUCCCUUUUAAUCCGUAAGCAAAUUCCGUUUCCUUCGAUGGGAAUGGAAGGGAUUGGGAGGAGGAAAUUCACGGGCUUUCGCGGGGUUUUCUGCGUAAAUUGUACUGCGUCCUCGACGCUUUUUGGGCCCACCUGUCAGUGAGAGGCGGGUGCCUCGGUGGCGUGACAGGAUGAAAAGGGUUGGGGCGUUUUGUAAUUCUGGAAUUAGUUUAAGUGUGUGCUCGUGGUUUUGUACUAUAGUGCUUAUCUCAUUGUGGGGUCCAUUGGUCAGUGGGAUCGUAUGGAUAGGGGAUGGAAUUAUAAUAUUAUACUUGUGUAAAUAAUCCUUGUAAUAACCUAACGGACGACCUCACGAGUCACGACCAAAAUACUCCUCCUUGUGGGCUGUGGCAGCUUGCUUCACGUUCACCGUCAGCCCGUCACCGAUCUUUCUAUGACCUGUGGGCCACAGCGUGAAUCUUUGUCUUAUCCCCGUUUUGCAGCAGCAAGUCAGCAAGGACGAGUGAAUGACCAUUGAAUGCUGACGAGACCCUCGCAGUUGGGAACUUUGGGGUGCUGGGUUACCUUUACUUGUGGAUGUAAAAGUACUACGCGUCGAUGCCUCGCCUUGACACGGAUGAACUACUGACCACGGGAGGCAGCGAGAGGCCGACAGCUCGGCACCCGCCGCAUCUGCGGCGGCCAUCCGACUUCGCCGAGGCGAGCCGUCGCGCUCGCUGCGCCCGUGCCCCGGAGAUACGAGAAUUUCCUUGGCUCGGUCGCGGUCCAGCAGCACAAGCCGAAAUCCACGAUGCGACGGCGUGGAAAACCCGCAUCAGCAACACGCCUUUUCUCAGGCUCUCGUCGUGCUCGCCCCCGUCUCCGUUCCACGGAUGCCCACGACACCCCAUCCGCGCGCGUGGCGCGGCCCACUCGCGUAGUCGCGUGGAUGGCACUUCCACCGGCUCUCGCCUCUCGCGCGGCCACCACCACUCGCGACGCGGGCCGCACGGUGCCACAGCCCACGUACGUUCCCCCGCACGCACGCCACGCGAGAUCGAGCCGCGCGGCUCACGGGCCGGACGCACCCACCACGCGCGCCAACGGGCGAGCAGAGGAGAGGAGACGUGCGUCGUCGUGUGUGCCUCCGUGCGAGACGAUGUCUGAAUCUGAACACCGAUCCUUUGCAAAGGUUGGGGCAAGUUAACACGCCCGCACGCUUCGGUCGGAGCAGAAAAGGGCGAGCACUUGGACACUUUGCACAGGCAUCAGCUUGGGCGAUUAACGGAGAACAAAAAAAGCUUGGACGAUUAACACACUGCGUGGUAGCAAAGCAUGUCCGUCGCUGCGAGCCUUUGCUGCAUGUAUAUAUACACGGAUUUUUCUUUCCAGUGGGACUGGAAAAAAGGAAACAGUUCACAGGGCGUAAAGUCCUGUGAUUAAAGCGAAUACAUGCCCGUUUCUUUUCGAUAUCUUGAGUGCACAUAAUAAUUGUUUUGGUUGUUCUUCUAGAUUAGUAUACACGUACAACUGAACACGUAGAUGAAGAAAGCUUGUGGGCUUGUGGGCUAUGGCAUGAUGGUAUAUAGUCUUCUCCGGGACCUACAAAAUAACACAAAUACACACUCAACUGAGCAUAAAAUGCAAGAGGUGGAGGUGGUUGCAACUUGCAUGGAAGCAAAUGAGUGGACGGUGGCCUGUGGGGAACCAAAAGAACUUCACCGCCCAAAGUAGUUCGUCUAAGGCCGUGUUUAGUUAUUUAGACAAAAAUUUUAUAUGUAUACAGAUACACAUUUAAAAUAUUAAACGUAGACCAAUAAUAAAAUAAAUUACAGACUUCGCCUGUAAACCGCGAGACGAAUCUAUUAAGUCUAAUUAAUCCGUCAUGAUGGCAAAUGUUUAAUAUAGUACCGUAUUAUCAAAUCAUGGUAUAAUUAGGCUUAAAAUAUUUAUUUCGCAAUUUACAUGUAAACUACAUAUGUGUGUGUCCAAACAUUUAAUGCUCUAUGCAUCUGGACAAGCAGCUGGACAAGCAGCAUCACCGCACAGAGUCAAUCGUCUUAGAAUUGGACAAGCAUUUUUUUACACGAUGGAAACGGUUUACAUCCUCAGUAAGUGACGAACGAAAAAAAAAAACUAGAACCCAAUGUAUACUAAUUACAAAAUUAUUCACUGAUAUAUUUAAUUAAUAUGGUAUAAAUUAGACAGAAUUGAAUAAUCUAUUCAGGUCCUGUGACCACACGAAGGAGUACGUAGGGACACCAAUGUCUCCUACAUAUGCUACAAUGCACAAACACUUCAGUAUUUUGGUGUAGAAGUGAAAGCAUCUUGAAGGUUACUCAUGGCUAUCAAGUCUUUACCUUCCUACACAAUGAAUCUAGAGCAAAACAUGCGAUGAAUUAAGAUAAACUAUCUCGAUUUCAUUAAGCAGUCAGCUGGUGGACCUGUGAUAAGGAGAUUAAGAUGCUCGUAUCUAGAUCCGUCCUCAGUGCAGUACGGCUGAAGUUAUGUCCUCAUAGUAUUUGACAUCAACAUUUCAUCUGCCUAGGGAAUAUGAGCUCUAAUGCUCUCGAGUUUCCUUAAGUGGAAUGCCAGCCCAAGUUGUUGCAACUUGCAAUUGCAACUGCACAGCGCUUGAUCCGAGAAAUACAGAAGGUCCGAGGGCCCCUUUGAAUCGCAGGGUAGAAAAAACGGAUGAAUAGGAAAAACACAGGAUUCUGACAUGAAUUGAAGUGUAAAACUGAGGAUUGCAAACACACAGUAAAAACACAGGAAUGGUCGUUUGAUUGGAGCGCAGGAAUCGGAUGAGAGAGAUAGACUCAAAGGAAAUUUUCCAAGAGGUUGGAGCUCUUGCUAAAUUUCCUCCAAAAUCCACAUGCAAUGUGCCAUUCCAUAGGAAUUUCAUAGGAUUUGGAAAGCUUCAAUCCUUUGAAUCAAAGGGCCAAAUAGAAAAAUUUCCUAUAGGAUUUGAAUCAUAUGAAAUUCCUACAUAAAUCAUUUGAUUUAAAGGGGCCCUGAAUGUAGCUAUGCAGGGCAAUGGUCUUCUGAAUAUUGUAUUGGCUAGAACUUCAGGUCAAUACAUAGGGGAAAGUUUCAGGCAAAUUUUCAUUACCACGGCCCAUUAUUUUGUGACAACAUCAGAAGAGAAAAGGAGUAUUCUGUAGGUCAGUGCAAAAUCGAAGUACUGAUACCAUGCAAAAAGAAAAAAGAAAAAGAAAGGAAACAAAAACAGAGUUCUCGGGACUAAUUAAGUAGAAGAACUUUUAGAUUUUGAUGAUGAAUAUACUCCCCUUUUUUUAUAAGAGAACUGAUGAUGAAUGUACCUGAACUGGAGUAUUCAAACUUUUCCUCCACAUUUUUGGACCACAGUUGAUUUCCUUAUUGUUUUGUUUACAAAGAAGCACUGCAGCAAAGGCUCCCCAAAUUUAUUAAACCGCACUCAGUCCACUCAACCUUGGCCCAGCUCCGCAAUUAGUUGGACUGGAUUGCACAACUGUCAAAUCAAUGGGCUAUAAUGAAUUUGUUAUGCACCCACACACACAAAAAUAUGAAAAGAAUAUCGCCAUUUCUGAACCUGCACCUGAUAAAAACAUCUUUACAUAGUUCCAGCUUGGUUUAUGUAGUCCAUCACAAGUCCAUUUCACAUAAAUAUUCCGGAAAAAUCUGUGUUUUCUAAAAGAUAAUGAGAAUCCCGCCAUUUCAGCCUUUCACUCAACAGGAGCUAGAACCUAUUAUUAUUUAUCACAUUACAUCGUAUGUCGACAAAAUCCACAAAAUAACAAGAUAACCAAACAUUUCAACUCAAGGAAAGAGAUAACAUAAUCCGGAAAAUCUCUCGUUCACAAGUUGAAUCGACUAGGACUGAAACCCCACUCAGUGACAGGUAAUAUCUUCUACCGAAUGCUGCACAAAAGAGCCAAGUAAACGGAGUGGAUUCUAAACUCGAAGGAGAUGAAACAAUAUUGUUUUAAAAAAAAUCUACAAGAUAAAUUUAUAUGUGUUAAAUCACUCCAUAAACAUGAAAGCUCAAAUUUAACUUAUGCUCCCUUAGAUUAAGUUUUUUUAGAACGGAUGAAAUACAAGUUAAAAAAAAAUCUAACUGCGAAAUUCAGCAAAUUUUUACUGAAUUUUGCUCUCCUCUUCUCACCUCUCACUUGUCAUCCCUAAAACUCUCCUGGUCCCCGCCUCCCGCACCACGCCGUCUCCGAUCAAGAUUCUUCCCUGAUCCCCUUGCUGCUGCUGCCAUCAAAUCCUUGGACAUUUCCAGUUGCAAAUUUAGACUCUUCCCCCGCGAUUCCCAGCACUCCCAAGUCCCAUCCUUCCCGCUGCCCCAUCCCAUCCCACUAUCUCCCUAACCACUGUGAUUUAACCACCGAGGAGGCGGCAAGAAUCGUGUCCAGCUCCGCACCGUUGUUAGGCGGGAGUGGAGUGGACUGGUUAUCGUCCACGCAAGACGACGACGACGACGACGACGGCCGGAGCUCGCCGGAGCAUCGGUGUCAGAGAUGAGGGUCAUGAAGCUCGGAAAUAGGCCGGACACCUUCUUCUCGUCAGGCCCCGUCAGGUAGUUUUGUAGUUUUGUUCUUGUUCAUCGACUGUUACUUCGAUCGUUUGGUUGUCGUGUGAAUCGUUUUUUGUUUGAUCGGUGUUGGUGUUGGUUGCAGGUCGGUCUCCACGGAUUUGGCCACUGACAUGCAGAUUCUUGUGGAUGGUUGCCUGUUUCGUCUCCACAAGGUAAGCUGCAAAGAUUUUCUUGUGGUUUGCGUCGAUCAAGAACUGAAUUUUUUUUCUCUGUUUUUUUUUUGGUCUGUUGGAUGGAACAGUUUCCUUUGCUUUCCAAGUGCAUGUGGCUGCAAGCGCUGUGCGUGGAGUCCGGCGACGGCGGCGGCGCCGUCGAGCUGCCGGCUUUCCCGGGCGGCGCGGAGGCGUUCGAGGCGUGCGCCAAGUUCUGCUACGGCGUGGCCGUCACGAUCGGGCCGCACAACGUCGUCGCCGUCCGCUGCGCCGCCGCGCGGCUCGGCAUGUCCGAGGCCGCCGACCGCGGCAACCUCGCCGCGAAGCUCGACGCCUUCCUCUCCUCCUGCCUCCUCCGCCGCUGGAAGGACGCGCUCGCCGUGCUCCACUCCACGCGCCGCUACGCCGCGCUCUGCGAGGAGCUCGGCGUCACGUCACGCUGCGUCGACGCCGUCGCGGCCCUCGCCGUCGGCGAUGCCUCCGGCGCCGUUCCGGCCGGUUCGUCUUCGUCGUCGCCGCCGUGGUGGGCGCGUGACAUCUCCGAGCUCGGGGUUGACCUCUACUGGCGCGUCAUGGUGGCCGUCAAGGCGACCGGCACCGUGCACGCGAAGGCCAUUGGCGACACGCUCAAAGCCUACGCGCGUCGGUGGCUGCCGAUCGCCGCCAAGAACCACCACGCGGCAGAGCGAACCGCCGGCGGCGGCGGCGGCGGCGCGGCCAAUGCCGAGCGGGCCACCAAGAACCACCGCCUCCUCGUCGAGAAGAUAGUGAGCUUGCUCCCGGCGGAGAGGAACGCCGUCUCCUGCGGCUUCUUGCUGAAGCUUCUCAAGGCGGCGAACAUCCUAGGCGCUUCUCCGGCGUCAAAGGCAGAGCUCACGAGGAGGGUGGCGUCGCAGCUGGAAGACGCCAACGUGAGCGACCUCCUGAUACCGGCGCCGCCGCCGUGCGCGGGCGGGGUGCUGUACGACGUGGACGCCGUGGUGACCAUACUCGAGGAAUUCGCGCUGCGGCAAGCGGCGGCGUCGGGGAGCCCGAAGGGCAGCCCGGCGCGCGCGGGCAGGCACCGGCGAUCGAUGUCGGCCGAGAGCGGUGAGCUCGAGGGGGCGCGCCGUUCGACGUCCAUGGCGGCGGUGUCGCACGGCGCGAUGGUCCGGGUGGGGAGGCUGGUGGACGGGUUCUUGGCGAUGGUGGCCACAAAGGACGCCCGCACGCCGCUCGACAAGAUGAUCGCCGUCGCCGAGGCCGUGCCGGACUUCGCGCGGCCGGAGCACGACGAUCUAUACCGAGCCAUCGACACAUAUCUCAGGGUGUGCAUGCGCGCGACACUUGAUCACGCCGACAUUGCCUCGCCAUGACUAAUCUUAGAAUUCUUGAUCUCUCUCUCACCGUGUGCCUUUGCUUCUGUGCCACGUGUAGGCGCACCCGGAGAUGGACAAGAGCUCGAGGAAGAAGCUGUGCAGGGUGCUCAACUGCAGGAAGCUCUCGGAGAAGGCUUCCAUGCACGCGGCGCAGAACGAGCUGCUCCCCCUCCGCGUCGUCGUGCAGGUGCUCUUCUUCGAGAACGCGCGCGCCGCCGGACUCUCGUCCGGGCACGGCAACCGCGUCGCCGCGCGCUUUCCCGGCGACGGCGGCGACGUCAGUGCGCUGCUUGGCACUGGCAGGCCAAGAACGACGGAGGAGAACGGCAAGGACGGGCAGAGCCCCGCCGCCGCCGGGAGCGUGGCGGCGGACGGCGACUGGAGCGUGGAGGGGCUGAGGCGCGCGGCGUCGAGGGUGGCGACGCUGAAGAUGAGGCUGGAGGAGGAGGACGGCGAGGACGCCGGCGACGAGGCGUUCGUGCAUAGGACGCGCGCGGGGUUGGCACGGAGCGCGUCGUCGCGUGUCACGGCGGCGGCGGGGAGGUCCAAGCGGAUGCUGAGCAGGCUAUGGCCGACGAGCAGAACCUUCACCUAAGGGGCAUCAAGACACUUGAGCAAAGCUGAUCCGUACAUACCGUGUACAAAUAUGCUUGAAUUUGUAAGUAAAAUUUGUUCCCUCGAGAUUUGAUUUUGUUCCAACUAGUUCUUGAAGUUUGGGGAAGUUGUGUGCACAGAUAUGACUGCGUGUACACUCCCUCCAUUUUUUUAAAAAAAACAUUUUGUAAGGACGAAUAUGAACAAGGGUUUAUCCAAAUUAAUCCCUAAAAAUUAAUUUGUUUUGGACAGAGCGUGUACAUAGUUGGUACAGAGACACAUGAAGCUAUCCUUCAACUGUUAAAAAAGACUUAUUGCUCUUUUGUUGCAACACACUACACACCCAACUCACAUCCUUAUUAGCUACUGCAGAGACGGAAAGUUAUACUUUCAUCUUAAACGAAACUCUUAAAGUUUAUACUCUCCUAAUGCAAGAUACAGAACGCGGCUAACUUAGGUCCUGAUUGACUGGCUACAGAGGCAGAGUUGCAGAGACAGGAGAGGCCACCAGUGGGAAGCGGAUUCUCUCCCGUAACUUUCCUUGACAUGGUCACUGACAUAUGGGCCUGCGAGCGCUGGCGCUCACAUGCUAGUCACCACAUUCCUCUAACUUUACGUUAGAGCAUCCCAAUCUCGACGAGUGACUUGGCCUGUCUUGUGUACGUCAAUACACUAAAGUUAGUGUAUCUUAAGCAAAUUUUGAAAUAAGAAAAAACUAAUUCUAUUGACCCCCUCAAACAUAUAUAUGUAUUGAGUUUUUAUGACUCCGUCAGUGGCUGGCCGCGGCUGAACAGUCGCAACAUUUUUUCUGUCUUUGGUCUUGAUCGACUCGGAUGAUUGCAGCUGCAGCACAGCCGCCACAAAAUUUUGUCUCAGGUCCAGGUCACCUGGUUCUGGUUGGCGGGUGCUGUAGGCGCUGCGCAGGAAGCACAAGCGUGCAGGGCAUUAGACAACGCCUGUGUUUGAUGGCAAAAUUUCCGCUAUUUUUUUAAUGGCAAAACAUCCUUGCCAUCUAGGGAGAAAAAGAAAAUUUUCGUAUCUUAAAGCAAAACGUAGUGCUAAAACCAUGGUUUGAUACGGAAAACACGUAGCGCUAGCGACUGAUAUCCACCACCAACAACAUCUUCUUGGCCGCUUGCACAAGGUGGUACGCGCGACCGACACGUGUGUCACAAUCUCAGGCUGACAUAUGACCAUAUUUUCAACAUGCGCAACGUUAUCAAUGAUCAUAGGCCAAAGGCCAGUCGUAAUCCGUCGCUCCAAGGAUUGGCCAUGUUUUAGCACAGGAGCAUAGGACAGGAGUGCACGGUCGGCCAGUCGCUGCCUCACUCCAGUGCGAGAGGGAGAUGGACAAGCACACUGCACACAGCCGUGGUCCUCCUCUUGUCACUUUUUAGGGUAAGUUUAGUUCACGCUAAAAUUAAAAGUUUGGUUGAAAUUAAAAUGAUGUGAUGAAAAAGUUAAAAAUUUAUUUGUAUAGAAAAGUUUUGAUGUGAUGGAAAAGUUAAAAGUUUAAAGAAAAUGUUUGGUACUAAACUCAGCCUUAAUAGGUUUAUCCCGCAUUCUCAGAAAAAAUCGUUGUUCCAAACGCCGAAACAAUUUCGAUGUGAGGGUGAGGCUACGAUAAGACUACAGAGCUGUGUGGUAUCCACUCACCAGGGAAUCAAAAAAAUCUCGCGGUGUCAAAUCAAAUGAACCUGAUGAAAUCGAAACUGCUGUUACAAAUUGUUGUAGCUGUAGCCUGAGCAAAGAAAAUACUCCCUCCGUCCUGGAAAAAAUAAAUCUAGAACUGGAUGUGAUAUAUUGUAGUACAAUAAAUCUAGACAGAGGUACGUCCAGAUUCAUAGUACUAGAAUGUGUCACAUAUAAUACUAGGUUAGUUUUUUAUCGGACGAAGGGAGUAGUAUGGCAAACCGGGAGCAGCGGCUGUAGACUUAGGCAAUGACCAACGCAUGGUAUAACCCCGUAAAAAUGUGAUGUUAAGCGGGUUGAAACUACACUUAUGAUAUCCCUCACACAGUGCGAGCCAUGCCCUAUCUUAUUUUCGCGAUACAGUACCUGUUAGACAGUCGCAUUUUACAUUUAAACCUUGGAUUAUUUUUAUUUGCAUAUACGUCCAAUAUUUGCAGUAUACCUCUAAAAAUCACAAUCAUAUAUAAGGGCCCACCCCUCCCUCUUCUACCACCUUUCUCCUUCCCCGGCGGCGCGACCUCCCCUCUCCCGUGGCCUCUCCCCUCUCUCUCGUCGGAGCCGCCGCCUCUCUCCUCAGCGCCUCAAGCAGUGGCGGUAGAUCAAGCACAAUGGCGGCGGAUGGAGGCGCAAGAGGUAGGGAUCAAGGCGGUGCCGGCAAAUCGAAGCAACAACGGCGCAGUUUCCCGAGUAUGCCCUUCUCUCCAGUCCACCCCCUCGCCAUCUUCUUCCCCUGCGCGGGGUGACGCCUCUCCCCAACGCGGCUCCUUGCCCGUUCCUUGCCCAAAGCUGAUGAAACUACACGGCCCUCUAUUGGGCAUCGUGACGCUCUGCGAGGGUGCGGUCCGGGCCGAGCUAGCAGACAUAUUUGGCUUUGGGAGGGGUGAGACCACACUCCAGUGUGGAGCAUUGGCCGUGGCCUUACAGAGAUCCUCCUCAAGAGACGCGGUUACGUGAGCCCACCGCUCUCAGGCCCACAUGCAGAGGCGAAGCUACAAGUACAUGUAAAUGUAAUAUGUAGAGUCAGCUGACUCCAUAGGUUUUUGCAAAACAGCUAAAAAGCUAUUGAUAUUUAUGUUGAAAUAAUAUAAAACUUAAAUAUAUAUAUAUAUAUAUAUAUAGCUUUAACCUCAUAGGUUUUAGUUGCUAGCUCUGUCACUACCCACAUGUCAGUAACACAUUGAGGAUUUGCUUCCGGAGCAGCGGGAUAAAAUACGAUGGUAACAGCUCUGCUAUUGCGGCUUUAUCAAAUUGGUUCCUAUCUAGAACCACUCCAUAAACCGGCUAAAUUUAAGAAAAUCAAACAAAUUUUUUUAUUAUUUUGACAAAAUGUCUGAGAAUUUCAGUGGUUUUGGCCGGUAAUCGAGGAGACGAGGAAGACAACCAUGUACGCGCAAGACGACGUUGGCGAAAAUUUAUUCCUGUGCUCGUCGUCGGUUGACGGGGUCACGAUCACUGGCGGGGCCACAGGGAGCGAACGACCUCGGCGUAGCACGCGACGACGGCGGCCAGUGCCAGCACGAGCAGCGCCAAGCCGACGGCGGCCGGGGCGCUCUCGGCCGCCCAGCACGCCAUGCUCACCGGCAGCGCCAUCGCGAACGGCCACAGCAGCAGCACCCGCGCCCGCGCCCCCGGCGCGCCGGCGAUGCGCCGGGGCUUGCCCUCCUCCUCCGGGAGCGCGCACAGCGCGAGCAGCGACGUGAAGACGCCGAAGCUGACCACCUGCGACGCGAGGACGGCGAGGAGGACGUACUCGUCCCGCGCCGCGAGCUGCGCGGCGAAGGCGGCGCCCGCCGCGAGGACGACCAGCGCCAGCGCCCCCGUCGCCAAGGGCGGCGACGCGGUGGUGCCGCAGUCGCAGCCCGACGACGGCUUCUCGUCUGCCGCCGCCGCGGACAGCAGCGGCUGCUGCUUCUCCACGUCGGCGACCGACCCCAUCUCUGAUUUUGCUUCCAUUUUACGCACAAUGGAUGAUUGGAUGCUAUGCUAGCUUAGCUGCACUGACAAAUCCGUGAAAUAAUGCAAUUACAUAGCUGGCUAUAUAGUCUCAAUAGUAAAAUGAAACAAAUUCAUUUUAAAAAGCAGAUAAGCUCAGCAGCGUAAGAACCAAGAAAAUCACAUAAAUAUUAAGCCGGAGCUUUGAUCAACCAGCGGGCUUUACAAUGCUGCAACUGCAAGAGCGUACAUACUUCUGAGUAUCUUAGGCGGCCGCUGGAAAUUAAUUAAGGAAAUAAUGACGUCAUAAUUAGUAAGCACUAUAAAUUGUGGCUCCAAACGACUAACCAAUAGUAUAAAUUAACAAGAGGAACAUUGUUAUGGUUUUGGAACAGAACGGUCUCUGCUGUACAGUUUCAAUGACCAAACACUCUGCACUCUUACAAAGAAAAGGACAAGCUAGAUAAACCUAUCGCUCUGUGGUUCACUGUGACAGUGAAUCAGUGAUGAUAUGCAUCAUGAUACAUAAAUAAUUACCAACAUAGAGUAUGACAAUGAAACAUCAAAAUCGACAAUGAUGAAAAGCACCUCAGGAAGUAACUAAGCACAUGCCAACAAAGGCCCUCUUUACUCUAUGCAAUAAAAAUGAUCUUCAGUGCUACCUCUUCAGAUGAUACUUGCAGUAGUAAUGGAAACCAGGACCACACAAAGUGCAGACACUGUGAUGCUGUCAAUGACAAGUAAGCUGGCCAGGGUGAUUAACUUUAUCCAGUCUCCACUUUGCUGGGCAGGACAGAUCAUUAAGAUGCGUUAUGCUUAGCCUUAGCCGUUAGUGACAAGUCACAAGCUGUCUAAUCUUAUUGUUAUCAGAUUAAUAAAGAUAGUAUGACAAUGAGAAAACCAAAUAAACAGAGUGAGUUCUGAUAUAGCCAAGCCGAAUCUUGAGAGUUCUAGAUUGGAAUGUUUGUUGUCGGGAAUCUUCAAAACAGCAUGUGUUUCCUUCUUGUCAAAAUUACAGGCAUACGUCCACAGAUGAACUGAGAAAAGAUGGACGUCUACAACUUGGGCAAGAACAACGGGGAGACAAAAUGUGAGUGCCACCUGAUCCUCAUCGCCAGAUACGCCAGGCUUCAAAAUGAUUAUGUUGCACUCCAGUCAGAAAAUGGCCAGGCAAUUUAACAUGAUAUUGCACACAUGGCAGAGGUUGAGCAAGUCGUUCAAGCAUUUGAUUUUCCUCCUUUUUUGAAGGCAUGAAGUAUUUGAACUGAUCUGCUCUAUCUGCCCAAAAUGCCUCUCUGCUUAAUAGAUGGCUCAUACUUUCGCAGCAUCUGCUGCAGCCAGUCGCUCAUCAUCAAUGGCACGCUCGUCUUCAGUGGUAAGACCCUCAAUCAGUGAGAUGUAUGUGCUGUCAUCAGGGGUGAUGCCAUUCUCCACCAUCUCCUUCACCAUGUUCUCAGCGUCAUCUCCCUGGCCAUUCUUACAGAGCCCCUGUAUCAGCGCAUUAUAUGUCAAAAGCGUUGGAUUGAACCCCUUAUUCAUCAUCUCAUUCCGAAUCCUCAGAGCAUCCUUGACAUCACCCUUCAUGCUGUAGCCACUGAUCAGCGUGUUAUAAGUGACAAGGUCUGGCUGGAUUCCCCUCUCUGUCAUCUCAUCAAUGAGCUUGCGCGCUUCAUCAACACGUCCCAGUAGACACAGCCCCCUCAUUAGCGUAUUGUAGGUCACAUCAUCUGGUGCGAUCCUUUUCUUCUCCAUCUCACCCAUUAUCUCGAAAGCUCGAUCGAUGUUGCCAGAAGUGGAGUGACUAUUGAUCAGAGCAUUGUACAAGACAAGGUCAGGCCUAAUGCCUCUCCUUACAGCCUCAUCAAACAGCUUAUCUGUCUCCUGAACUUGCCCCUUCUUAGACAAGGCAUAUAUCAAUGCCGUAUAGGUCACUACUGUCGCACGGACCCCUCUCCUGGACAUAUUCUCAAAAAUCUCUAGUGCUUUCUUCACGUUGCCCUCUUUGCAAUGCCCGUUUAUCAAUAUAUUGUACGUGAACACAUCCGGCGCAAGACCCUUUCCACCCAUCUCCUCGACCAACUCAUAUGCCUCUGUUCCACGCCCAUCCAUGAACAAGGCGUGCACGAGUAAAUUGUAGGUCGCGACUGUCAUUGCGACCCCUCUCUCCACCAUUCUAUCACGGUAAAGGAGCGCAGUAUCCAGCUUACCCUGGUCACAGUAUCCACCAAUCAAGGCGUUGUACAUCACAGCUUCCGGUUUAACCUCUCCCUUGGUCAGCAUUUCGUCGAACACCUUCACUGCCUCAUCGACCCGGCCAACCUUACACCAGCCAGAGAUCACCGUGCCGUAGGUGUACUGGUUGGGCGCGAUUCCUCCGCGUUCUCGCAUCUCCCGCAUAAUAUCCAGCGCCGCCUGGACGCGGCCCCGGGAGCAGAACCCGGCGAUGACGGUGUUGUAGGUGACGGCGUUCGGGCGGGGCAUCUGGCGGAGGAGCUCGAGCGCGCGGGCGGGCUUCCCGGCGGAGCAGAGGUGGCGGAGCAUGAUGUUGAAGGUGGUGGUGCAGAGCGGGAGGCGGAGGCGGAACAUGUCGGCGAAGAGGGCGAAGGCCGGGGCGGAGGGGAGGGCGGAGAGGAGCGGGUGGAGCGAGGCGGUCGAGAUGGGGAGGGAUAGGGACUUCAUCCGCGAGUAGAGGCGGAGGGAGGUGGCGUGGGGGCGCACGGCGGCGGAGGCGGUGAGCAGGAGGUUGGGCAGCGAGGACGGCGCGCCGUCGAGGUGCGGGAGCACGGCGAGCGGCGAGAGCGCCUUGUCCGCGGACAGCACCGACUUGAAGAGCGCGAGCGCCGCCGCCGACGUCGGCGAGGCGCGGGCGGCCGCCGCGACGGCGGCGGCGGCGGAGGUGGGCGGCGCCAUGUGGAAUUGGGGACUUCGGAGGAGGGUUUUUCGUGAGUUUUCUACAGAGUUGGGCAAUGGUAUUGAUUUUUCUCUCAGCAGAUCGUCUACCAAAAGGCGGUCCCACAUGCAGAGGUACAGAAACUGAACAAGACUUCAAAAAGAAAGAAAAAAUUGAACAAGACAGAGAGAAAGAAAGAAGAAAAUAAACUGGAAAAUGUCAUGCAGCGGCUUACAUGUUACAACAACGCAUAAACAUGGUUCAAACGUUACAACACAUAAACAAGGUUCAAAGGUUACAACACAUAAACAUGUUCUCACAGAACAUUUUCAGGUUGAGAUGCUACAUUUUUUUUCUUUUUUUUUUUUUUACGGGGAAGAGAGACUACUAUACUUACUGCUCGGCUACAUAGAGCUGGUGUUAAUACGCAAAUCCAUAUACAAAAUUUUCGGAGAUCAGUUAUAUGAAGGGUUGACCACUCCAAAUUUCGUCACUCUUAUAAAAAGCGCUGCAGCUCUAAAAGAGUGUUGCAGCUCACUAGAGUGGCGAACCCUAGACCCUAAACCCUGAAGGCGUCUUCCUGCAGCACCGCUGCUUCCCACAACUCCUCAGAGCAUCACUUACGUGUGAUCCCCAUCCACCCAGCCGAAGCUUUCCUGCGACCCGAAUUGAAAAUCCUAUUGCAAGAAAUUCAAUUCAGGAAAGGCAAAUCAGAUUUUGUUCUUAACCGUAACAAAAUAUAAGUCAGAAAAAGAAAGGAGUAUUACGAGCAAAGCACACUUACUUCCCAGCUGAAAAGGUCCGUUUCGUCCGUGUAAAGAAAAGGCAGCGUGUCAUCAAGAGUUGGGACGGGGUCCUCCGGAAACUCGCAGCGCUGCAGCAGAUCUUCGUUGAAGUCCCCGGCUGUUGACGCUCCAGCAGAACACCCUGCACGGUUUCCAGCUUCUACCAUGGGCCGGAGAGUGGAUGUGCUGCAUUCCCCCUCCUGUGUAAAAUUCAGCAAUGCAACAGCAUGAAGUAUUGUCAAAAAAAAAGAAAAAAAGAAAGAGCAAUUAAUUUGUUUGCCCUAUCCUCAUUAUCAGUAGCAUGGCUUACCUGAUCAUGUGAAAUGGUGCCAUUCUGCUCCGUGUCACACGGGCUGUUCAUCAGGCAGCGAGGCAGCGGAGGGUUCGUUAUGGGUGUAAUGGGAUCACUUCUUAUGGUCAGUGCAUCAGAUGCUUCUUCAGUAACAGAGUCCAUUUCAGGCGUGCCAGUUUGCUUGGAGGAUAAUUGGUAGAAUACCUUGGAAACAACAAGCUCUCCGUCCUCCCCGCCUUCUUCCACACCAAGAUUAUAUUGAUGCAUAACCCAAUUAGCUUGUACUAUCUUGUUCUUUUUGGAGCCUUUGUAAAGAACCAGUAUUUUCUUCCAUCCUUUUAAGACACCGUUAUGGUAAAUCUGUUGGAUUUUCCAGUUUUGUGCCAUCUUAUGUUCUCGUCAGAAGCAGCAUGGCCGGUGUGGCUGAUCUUUCUACGCUUGCGCUGACCAGAACCAUAUGCGUUUGAUAUUCUGUGGAAGAAAUGGCUGCUGGUGCCGUCCAGCUUGAUACCUGACAGAAUUACAGAGGAAUGUAUGACACAUGAGCUAACUAAUUACUACUAGUUCAAAAGGCCUGAUAACAACUUAAAAUAUAUAAUCCAGUACCGGGGAGAUUUUCAGGAUGUGUAUAGCAGAUUCCUUCCACCUUUUCUAGAGUUGGGAUGAAGUGAUCAAUAAGACCCUGAGGCCCUGGAUUUCCCAGGUUAAUUUUUCUUUCUAAAUGUUCAAGUACUUCAAGAUCAGAUGGAUCAAAUUUAACACCGUCAGGGAAUUCUGGCCACUGUAAAGUAACCUGCAAUGAGAUUUUUUAUUUAGCACCAACAAGAAAUGCAUAGAAAAUGUGAAACUUACCCUACUGAUAUUUCUGCUUAAAGCCAACCUCGUCAUACCCAAGGCAAGGGAGCCACAAGCUUUGUGGAUUUUAUAUUGAAAUUGUGACACGUGGGAGCCAGGACAAUAGGAAUAAAGUGUAGCACACAGCACAGUAAUGAGCAAAACACCUUUUUUAGUGAAUAAUGAAUGAUCAUAAAUCGAUUUAGCCGGAAAAAAAACAUAAAUAAUAGUUACUCCUAAUCAUAGUAUUAGUAAAUUACUAAUUUACCCCCAAUAUACCGGUAGUAUAAUACUACCAGUAGACUGAUAGUAUAAUACUACCAGUAGAGAGCACCAGAGCAUCGCUCUUUGGAAGUAAUGUUGUCUAGUGUUGAUUUUCUACACACGAAACUUUAAUGGCAAAACAUCAUCAGAGUAUCAGACAACUGAACUAAAAAGUUAAAUCAAGCAUUCAUAAGUACAAUAGGUAGCUGAACUUACAUCGCUAUUAUCAAUGUGACAUUUGCAGUUUGGGCAUUCCCUCCAUGCUUCUGGAACCAAUUCUCCAAGUUUACAACUCAGAAGCUGAGUUGCAUUUCUUAUUUUUGUAGCAAUUACCUUUCCACCAGCUAUAAUCCAUGGCCUGCAGUAAAAGGCAGAAGUGAGACAUGUUCAUCAUAACAAAAAGUCCCAACUUAUCUCAAGGACAAUCUAUCGCCUUGUCAUUCACCAAAAAGUUCAGAUUUUAAGGUUAAUCAGCUUAACAUAGUAUAAUUGUGCUAAGUUACAGAUAUGGAAAGACUUCUUCUACAUAUACGGAACUUAGUCUGAACUUCUAGAUAUAGUGACACGCACUAAUUGGUUCAACAGAAUUAAUAGCAACUAAUCAUGAAUAUAACAGGGGUUAACAUAAUUAAUUAACAAACCGUACUUCGUACAGUUACUACCUUGUGCCUUGUGCAUUUACUACAACAAAAAUGGUAGGAGUAAGAUUAAAAUUAACAGCUAUCUAAUUCAGAUGUGUCCUAGGCCUGCAUGAUUCCAAAUGUUGAGCACAUGGAUGGUAGCACACUAACUAGUACUUAGUCUAGUACUACUUUUGGUCUCCACAUCAUUCGUCAUGCAAUGCUGUUGUUGGAAAUUCAAAGAUUGACAUAUCUCCACUCUGUUUGACUUUCCAUGAGUUCCAUUCCCUCAUUCCCUGCUUUCUGCUAUAGAUUGCUCUGUUUCAAGAAACCAAAUGUAAAUGGACAGAGCAAUCUAUAGCAGCGAAUGGCUAUAUGCCUCAAAAUUUUAAUGGUUUAACUGCAAUCCACUUUGGAUCUGCUUACUUCCCUAAACUGUUGCCACAUUACUCUCCAUUAUGAUUGGCUAGGCAAGGGUCCAAAAGAACAGGGUAAUUCACCAUAGGCUCCACAGCUCAUUUACUCACUGAUCCAGUGUUCUAGGAGUACUACAAACGUAUCGAAAUCUGGAAGCUGAGCCCUUCACCUUAGCAGCUGCAACUGUAACAAGCCUGACCAUCAGCAACAAUAAGCCUUCACUUAGCAGCUAGAAUGCUGAAAAAUCCACCCAAACCGGACAUUCAGAGUUUCAGACAGCGUAAGGUUUCAUCCAAAAUCACAUUCUGACAGCGUAAAAUCUUCUGUCCAUCGAUUCUGAACGCCAUUCCUGCACCAUCACCCAGACCGGUGGCAAUCCAAUCGGCAAUCAGAUGACACGAAUCCGAAAUCUUCCCCUCUGUUAGCAACGAGCAGCUGUGAACGAUCGGAAGACGACACAUGACCCAGUCUCCAUAGAACAGAAGCAGAGUCUUCCUCCUCUGCUUGUUUCUUGGUUGCUUCCAGCGUAAGAUUCCCCCUCAAACCUCAGUAACCUGCAAAAACCCCCACCCCCGCAUGCACCAUCCGAGACCGCUAUAUCCACCGAUCUCAUGCAUUCCGGCCACGAUUCCAUCACGCCACCAGUAACCAGCUCGAUCUCCACUCGAGCCACACACAAGAAUCCAAAGCGAUCGAUCCCCCCACCCCUUCCAAAAACCCCAACACCAGAAUCCACCUCUCACCGAUCAGACCAACCACCACUGCAUUACACCUCCUCAGGUCAACCCGGAACCACGAGCCAGCUGGCGGAGGCGAAAUCCCCAAAUCGAUCCGCUCAUCAGACACGGAAAAGAGAAGAGAGAGAGGAUUAAAAAAAAAAACUAGCCCUUGCGAACGAACAGAAGAAAAGCGAAGGAAGAAAACCACCCCCAAGAAAAAGGAACCGAUUAAACCAAACCAGGCCACACCCCGAUCGAUCGGAGAAACCCCCACCCCCGAUGCUCACCUUGCCAUGGGUGCGGCGCUGCGACGGGAGCUUGGGCUGGGAGGUAGAGAGCAUCCGAGGGGGGAGAGAGGAGGAGAAGCGAGAGGAGAGGAGGAACUUCUUGGCAAGUGAGGCAGAGGCCAGAGGGGGGAGUGGCCAAGGAAGCCGGGGGUAUAAAUAGGGGAGCUUGCGCGAGCCAGCCUCGUUGGUGGGUUCGCGUCUGGAAAGGGUUGGGGUUUCUUUGGCUUUACCCAUCGUCCGACGAAAUCCAAACCAAAACCAUCCAUCCUGUUCGCUUGGCGGGAAACCGGGCUCGGGUGCGGCGCGGUGCGGACGUGCGGUGCGGCUAGCCCGCUACUGCCUUACUGUCGCCUCUCAUUCAGCCAUUCUCAUCUCUAAUUCUACUGUACUCUCUCAAGCUGCCUACCACUACCUACCAGUGAAUGUUUCUUCAGGAUGUGUUACGGCCGAAGCAGCUGCAGCUGCUACUAGCACUCUUUUGGUACUGUAGCGCGGUUCGAUGUUUUGCAGCCACAACCAUUGCUACUACUCCUACUACCAAUCACUCCCAUUGAAUUUUCGUGUUAAAAAUCUCUGCCCACACUUUGUACAGAAUCCAUGUAAUCUUUCCACACAGGGACAUGAAUAUUACUGUGCCACUACUAGUCGUUCCCAUCAGACAGACACGAAUAACGCUCAUCAGCACUCUCCUACAGGCGCACGUAUGCGGUAUACUAGUAUAGUACUACUAUGCGUCUAUGCGGCGAGUGUUCCACGCUUCCUUGCACCGGACAAAAGCCCCCGCCCGCCUUGGCCAUUGGCUAGGAUCAGGCACACCCGCGGUCGUGGCCCAAUGGCAAUGGCCGGAUGCAGGAGUGAGUGGGGCCCACGCGCGCCUUGUCCUUUUUGGUUCCUGGGAUGCCGCCACGUCCACGACCCACUGGUGGCGCGCCGCGCGCUCACUCUCAUCGCCCUGUUUUUCUUCCUCUCCAAGCCAAAGCACGCAGCCCCACACUCCCGCGAGGGAGGGACCCAGCAGAAACGGAAACUCGCACUCGCGCUUGGUGGCACGGCGAGAGCUCUCUCACGUCUCAGCAGCCCCAGCCCCGAGGCCCCGAGCGAAGGGAAGGGAAAGGGAGGGGAGUAGUACGCGCUGCGCUGUAGCCGCGUGCUGCAGCUGGUCGGGAAGGGGAGUAGCCGCGAGCUGCAGGGAAGGGGAGUAUGCGCUGCGCUGUAGCUUGGCUGUCUUGGCUCGGCUCGGGCGUUGGCUACUUGACUUGACUCGCGCAGUGCUACUACGGUCUACAGUCUACUGCGGGCUUUGUGUCGAAGGCCCCUGCGCGCGUGGACGUGGUCGAUCCAGGCGUCCGUUGGAUCUCGCGGUGGAUGGGUGGUGCGGAUCGGAGAGAUCGGACCACGCACCGCUCGCUCGUUUUGGGCCCAUGCACGACCACGUACGCCAUGUUCAGAGGAUGAUUGGAAUCAGCUGUGUACCGUACUGUAUGUCACAAGGAGGCGGCGCAGUGACUUUGUGACCCACCGGCAACUAGCGAUACGUAUUGUUGCAUGUGCCAGAAGCCCAGAUUAUUCAGUGCAUAUACGGAGCAGCGUAUACGUCUUAAGUGCAGGCCUGUCGCUUGUGUGGGCCUGCUUGGGCCAAAUGGAGGGCCCAAGUCGACUCUCUUUCACGAUGAGAUAAGCCUAUGUUUUCUGCCCAUACAAAAGCUCUGAAAAAAAUGCAUCUUUAUUGCCGCGACAUAGGUCAUAGUACAUGUGUAUGUUUUAUUGCCGCGACCGCGCGACGAGCUGGUAAAUCCUCUACAGAAGUACGCGUACGACUUCUACUGUUGCGACUUCUGCGCAAGUUCAUACCACUGCCAAGCUGCAAAAUCUACUCUACUUUCUAGUGCUCCUAUUGCACUUUGUCGUCGUAGUAGUACGUUUACUUAUCUAGAUCGAUAUGCCAGCUCAUCGUCCUAAUGAAACAUGUAGGGCUCCUUUGAAUCACAUGAUUAAAAAAAAGAGGAAUAGAAAAAACACAUUAUUCUGAUAGAAAUGCAAGUGUAAAACAAUUAAUUGCAAAACACAGAAAUUACCGUUUGAUUGGGCUGCACGAAAAACUUAGGAAUCAGAUGAGAGAGAUAAACUUAGAGGAAAUUUUCCAAGAGAUUAGAGAGCAUGUUAAAUUUCCUAUGUUUUUCCUCUAAGGCCCCCUUUGAUUCAAAGGAAAUUCAUAGAAAUUUUAGAGGAUUUCAUUCCUAUAGGAAUUUUUCCUAUAAAGCCCUUUAAAUCAAAGGAAUAAACCCUAUGGAAUCCUAUGAAAUUCCUAUGGAAUGCCUCUUCUCAUACAAGUUUUGGAGGAAUGUUAACAAGAGGUAGAACCUCAUGGAAGAAAUCCUUUGAGUCUUUAUCUCUACUCAAAUUUCUGUGUUUUUCCUGUGGUCCAAUCAAACGGUCAUUCCUAUGUUUUUCCUGUGUUUUGCAAUCCUCUAUUUUACACUUAUAUUCCUGUCAGAAUCCUAUGUUUUUCCUAUUCCUCCGUUUUUUUAUUCCUGUGAUUCAAAGGGGCCCUAAAAUCGUAGAAAUACGAAAGUUUCCACCGUUUUUUCUUUUCUCGUUCCUACGAAUCAGAGGCAUAAAUAGUGUAUGAUUUCAAUUUCUUUGUUUUUUCUUCAUUUUUCCUCAAUUCAAAGGGGCAGUAGUAUUUUCUAUAUAGUUUAUAAUGAAGGUAAUAUCUCGCUGCAGUAAAUGAACAGAGGAAGGCUCCUACGGCCAGAGCAAAAUCCAACGGCGAGAAGUCCCACAGGUGAUCCAACGGAGUAGUAGUACGGGGACAUGCCCUGAUGCACUGUUCUGAUGAUUGGACGUCCGGGCUCUCCAACGACGAGCCCGUACAUUCCGCCGCGUACUGAUACAGUGUCGUCUCCACCGCCCAUGGCCGGAAAUCGCGAGACCAAAUGAUGGCGUAGCCUGCGAUGAGAUCUCGUCGACUUGACGGGUUGACGAGACGACGAGAAGAUGGCACGCAACGCUAUCGCCCACCGCCGAUCCCUCGAGCGGUGUCCGGGUUUCCGACAGGCGCAAACGACUCACGACACCACGGCCAGUCGCGAGUCAGGUCAAGGGUCAGGUCAAGGGCCUCGCAUGCUGAUCAAUCGAUCGGUUUUGAUUGGACUGAUUCUGAUAUGCGAGAUUACUCAAAUUUGCUGCUCGGCACAUCGAUUCGUCGCAAGCUCCCAACAUUCGCAAUUCAUCGGAGGAUUUUUCGAAGGAAUUCUAUGAAAAAAUAAAUUAAUUUAUGUGAAAAAUCUCUGUAAAGUUCCCGUGCUCGAAGGAAACCUGAUAUGUGGCCUCAAGCCCUCAACUGUGUUUCCUGGUCAGUGGACUCUCGGCGGGUCUACCAAAAAGGGAAAGGAAGAACAGCGACAAAUAACCAUUUUGUGGCUGGCCAACGGAAAAAACAACUGGCUACACGAGUAGUAGUAGUAUCCAUCUCAAACCUCUUGUUGAUUUGAGGCAACCAGAGCACAAUAGAACACCGAUUUGCUAUACCAAGUACGGAGUACCAAUAAUAGGGUAGUGAUCAGAGAAUGUUUCACUGACCGCUUCGCCCAACUGCCCAAGUCCUCCAAGCCUAUCUAUAGUUCUAUACGCAAUAUACCUUGCCCACCGAUAAUAGAAGCAUCCACCUGUCGAUCCAGCCAGGCCGGGCCUGCAGACAGCGAGCUGUUUGAACCUAGCAAUUCACUACCAACCAGCUGCUAAACCACUUGGAGAACAGGUCAAGAGACGGUAGAUUAGACGCACAAGAAGGAAUAACUUAGCUCAACUUGGGCAUUGGGUUGUGUACUUGUGUGUGAUAUUGCCUCGGAUUGACCACAGGACACAUACCAGACAAGCGCUCAAGUCAAUGAUGGAUGAAGAAACAGAAGAAGUGCUCACGCAAUCAUGCGGCAAUUUCCAACGACGGAGCAACGGAAGCCAGAGUUUUUGGUCAACCAGAAAUUGGAUGCAGCCAUCAAAGAAAGGAACAGAACACCAACGCGAAAAAGAAAGAGAGAAUAAAAGCAUGUGUGGAUUAUCUGCAGGGUAAUGCUAGUUCUACAGCAUAUAAAUCUGAAAUCUCACUUGAUUUUGCAAUCUACAGCAGUUCUCAGUUUAUGUAUCAAUCAGGGAAGUAAUAUGAAUGACAGGUGAACUUGUGGUGGCUACCACAGGGUAAUGAGCUCCUCUGGGAAGGUAACCAUGCCACGACCGAGCAUACACUAUGCUGUAGCCUGUAGGGUCGUCCGGUGUUAGAUUGCACAGUGAAGGAUGAUGAAAUCAUCCAUAGCCACUCAUCCCAAGCAAUCAUCCAGCUAAGUUAGCCAAUCAUAUCAGAUGCAACCGUCACGGCCAGCCAAUCUCGGAGGUGGAGAACAUGGCAGUGACAGGCCUGCACAUCAGAUUGAAGAGUGUAGAUCAUCAAAAUCUACCCACUUUCUCUCCUGCAGUACCCUGGGAGAAGGUAUCUGUACCGAUCAACAUUCUGUAGCAGAUAGCUAGGAAGAUGAACAGCAGAAAAUGUGCUUGGAAUCGGCCCCAACUUGGCAAUGAUCUCUUGGAACGUGUACUCUUCAGGAAGCAUGUCAAAAAGAUCCGCCCCUCUGCAUAUAACAUCUUGAAUCCUUUCAGGGUUCAGGAAGUACUUAAAUCUAAUCCGAUCGACAUGGCUGUAAGCUUGCAUUUUGAAGGCAAAAUCACUAAUGUAGCGAAAGCAAAAACUGCAGUGCCACCCUGAAUCAGCAAGAAGCUCAUCUGUCUGCCGGAAGUGUGCAUAUCUUGUCUUCCCAGACCUGUACCUGUGUAUCGAUGCCCUCCAACUUUUGUCAUCCAGGAAAAAUUCAAAUGAGUAGAGGUAAUUCCUAAGCUGAAGAUGAAGGAUCUCAGGAAUGUCGUCGCACCAUCUCAGGAGAUCAAUUGUGUGGCCACUUGGGAUUUCAUCAACAUCUGACAUGAUCAACAGGUCAUCAUCUUCUAUUUUUGCAAUCUUAAUAAGCUGGUCCAGGGCAACCCUCUGAUAUGACUCCUCAACAAAUGGGUUUUCUCCCUUCACGAACCUUCCCCCAAUCAUACCAUAUGUCAGCCGUGAUUCAGCAAAUCCAAAUCGAUGACGAUUUUCCUUGAAGUGCAGGGGCUUUUUCAAUCCAGUGAAGGUUGAGUUCGACUCAAGCAGCACAAACUCUGAGACAUAGGGGCUUAGUUCAUUCCAACGUAUUUCAAGAAUAUCGAGCUCAUUGCUGAAUAGUACAGCAUCGAAGACACGUCGUGGGGUCUCCCGGACUUUCCACCCAUGCAACUUGCAGAGUUUCGCCAUGGUGACAUUCUCAUGGUAGUAAUGAGGGAUAGUUUUGAAGGGCUUGGGAGGAGACUCCCAUAUUGGCCUGAGGAAGUAUGUGACCUUCUGACCAUGAGCAUAUAUCAUUAAAAUUAGAAUUGGCACUCCUAUCAAUAGGGCCAAUAGUGCUCUGAAAUCAAAUCCCCGAAGUGCACAUCUCAGCCUCGACAUGGUCAGAACUGCCUUUGACGCAGGCUGGAAAUGAAUUCACAAAGAAAAUAAGAAAUCAAACGAGCAGUAGUGGACAUAAAAGAGUUAUGAAAGAAAUAAGAACAGCAACCAUCUGCAUGCCAACUGCUCCUCCACAAAAACUAUUUAAAAUUUCAGUAUGUGCAUAUAUUAGCAAUAUUUAUUCCUAACGCGGGAGCAAAGUGGGCAAUAAGGCCAUAAUCAAAGCCUGCUUGCCAAAAAGAUAUAACCUCAUGAAGCAUUCGCUAAACAUUAGCUUUUCAAAAUACAGGUCUUGUUACAGUCAGCAAAGGCAGCAUCUGAAAUUCACCGGUAACUCAGAAUUCCACUACAACCGCAACAAAGUAGCAAAGGACAAAUGAGAGACCUAAUGCCACAGCUAAAAGCACAGAUGCAAAAAGCCAAAGACAAUUUCGCUCGUGAAGAUCAGCAAAGCCAUGUAAAAAAUAGGCAACAGGAACCUGGAACAAUAGGUAAUCGCAAUGCCCAGCUAUAACCAAAUUAAACUAGCUUCAUUAACCAAUAACACGCACCAGCCAUCACAGAAGCCGGUAAGAUACCUAACCCAAAUUAUGCAGCUUUAAUGGGUAAACCAAAAGGGGUAGGCAUCCCAAAUUCCACAAGCUUGCAAGAGCCCGAAGCUUUCGCCGCACAAAGCCACGAUCCAAGCAAGAAAGAGGGGAAGUCCCAACCUCAUCGAAAGAAAGAUUCUCCACAGUUCGAAAAUGCCAGCACGAAACACGCGGUUCGGCCACGUCGCGAGAUUCUACCACCAAAAAGUCGUUACUCGUUAAGAAUCCGGACUCCAUAUCGCCACCCACACCUACCUAAUCCCCCCCAUCGCCCGCAACGGGGCAGAUCGAGCGCUGCAGAUAAGCAUGGGAAAGCAAACCGCCCCCAAAUCCGAGCAACAUCGCAUCCAAAACUCGGAGCAUAUGGCAAUCAGCUUCCACAAAAUCGGCCCGCGUGCGGAGACGGCGACAGCGAGAGCGCGCGCGCUCGCCGCCGCAGACCGAACGCGCGGCGCGCGUCUAGGGGAAUCGAAGGAACCGACGCCCGCGACAAGCGGAGCAUGUCUGGACCGACGGGGCCAUGGGGAGGGAAGGGGGAAGGGAGAAGGGGGGGUAGUAAUGGCUCACCUCGCCGCACACGCCGUCGCAGAUGCCGUCGGUCUUCUUGUGGCCGUAGGGCCCGGUCUCCGGCAUGGCAGGCGCGGCCUCGCGCCAGCAAAGCCCCACCACCACCACCAGAGCAAACGAAUCCGAGCAGGAGAGAAGGUCCUCUCCAAUGGCGAGGAGGGCGGGGCGCCUCCCGUGGCCCGGGGGUCGCCGGCGAUCGCCGGUGGCGGCGGCGGCGGUGGUUGGGUGGGGGCCUUGUUCCGAUCUCGCCCUCGGAGGGAGGGGGAGGCGGACGCUUCUGGGCGUUGCCCGUUACGGUGGUGGCGAGUUGUGUAAUUAGCGGGGGAGUCGCGGGGGGUCGUGGGCGCAAAAGCGUGGGGGCGCGUUUUGGAACCGCCUAAUUAUAGCCGUUCGCGUGGUGGCCGUGGCCUCUGCCUGCCUGCGCCUCCCUCAUAUCCAUCGCCCCGGUGGUGGGCGGUGCGUGCGUGGCGCGGUGCGGUGCGAGCUGGGCAGUUUUGUCCUCACGCACGCUUGGGUAUUUUUCUAGGGACAUAAAUUAAGGGGAGGCCAAUUAAGCGUAUUGUAUAUCCGUGCCAUAGUCCUGAACUCUGUGUAGACUCUAAUGAAAAUGGGAGGCUUUGCCCCUCUUGAUAAAAAAAAAGUAUAUCCGUGCCAUAAUACUUAACUAUUUUCUCCGUCCCAUAAAAAACAAACCUAAUACUAGAUGUGACACAUCCUAAUACUACGAAUUUAGAUAUAUAUAUAUAUGUCAGGAUUCAUAAUAUUAUAAUAUGUCACAUUUGUUACUAGAUUUGUUUUUUAUAGGACGGAGGGAGUACGUUCUUUAUUGCAUAAUAAGUUCAUUUAUGCUCAUUUUAUUUAUUUUAAAAUAAGUUAAUUUUUGAGUAAUUAUUGCAUUAUAAAGUUUGUGAGAGUGAAAAAUAAAUAUAUAGUAGACAAAAUGAUGAAUAGUUGUAUUAGGAUUUGAUAAUGUAGAGGUAUUGUAUUUUUUUUAUUUUGUAUUGGUAUGUGUGGGGGUGAAAAAUGAACUCAGUUUGAGACAUAUGUAGUACUCCCUCCGUCUUUUAAUAUGUGACACCGUUGACUUUUUCUCACAUAUUUGACCAUUCGUCUUAUUCAAAAAAAUUUAUACAAAUGUAUAAGAUAUAAAUCACACUUAAAAUAAUAUGAGUGAUAAAACAACUCAUAACAAAAUAAAUUAUAAUUACGUAAAUUUUUUGAAUAAGACGAAUGGUCAAACAUGUGAGAAAAAUUCAACGGCGUCAUCUAUUAAAAAACGGAGGUAGUAUAUAUCUAACCCAUAUACCAAGGAGAAAUAUAGUCAGAGAAUACUUAUAAGAUAUGUGUAAUUAUACACUACAUUUUCAACACAAAAUAAAUAUUUAAUAUUAUAUUUAAGAAAAUUAAUUUGAUAUUGUAGAUGUUAGUUUUUUCUAUCAACUUAAUCAAACCUAGAAAAAUUUGGCAAAGAAAAUUAAAGCGACUUAUAAUAUGAAACGGAAAGAUACCUUGCAAAAUAUAAUCAAUGUUAUAUCAUGAUCUUUUUUGAUCAUAAUAAAUACACACAUCAUACUUAUACACAUGCUGAACCCUCACCCUUAUUAAAAAAAACUUUAAUAAAACAGUACCGCAAAUAAGUUCGUACUCCAUUUGUCCUAAAAAUAAUCAAAUCAUAGUUAUGAAUAUGGACAAGUGCUUAUUCAGGUUUAUAGCGAGCAUUUGAGUUUUUUUAGACAGAGGUGUAGGUAAUAAGAUUAAAUUUUAGUGGAUAAAGUUGUAUACCUAUGGUUUCUCCUGAUCAGCAUACCAUAGUACUUUCUUAGGUUAAUAUUAGAUAUUACUUGGCCAUGCAAAUGACCUGUAUUUUGGACAGCUAAUCUUAAAUAUGAGGUGUGUCUUUGUAACUAUAAUAUGCCAGGUUACAUUUGUACUCCGUAUUAGCUAAUCAUGUAAGGUUUAUAUAGUUUUGAGUGUAUUUUGAGACGACGUCUAUAAAUAACAUUCUUAGCAAAGAAAAAUCUUUCCUCACAAAGAAAAAGGCCUUCUACUUUUACUGUUAUGACAUGAAUGGUUGCCAAACGAGCUACCUCAAGCUUCGGAAUCCAACUCACCUCAAAGUAUUUGCAGUACAACUCAUCAUCUUUCCUGCAAAGGAUAAGAUAAAGAACCGCAAACAUCACGAGAAAAGGAUAUGAUAUAUAUAUGCAAUUAUGAGAGGCCACCCAGGUGAGAUGCCAACGUACAAAACGGAUUGAUCUUUCCAUCUAUAUUUUGUUUCUUCUCCUAACCAAUGCAUCAUCUACGCUACAAAAAAAAAAAAAGGCUCUUUUAUCACUUUCAUCAGCUAGAACAAACCAUCGUAUACACGACGACUCCACCUAUCUCGGCAGCAUCACAUUCGGAGGGCAUCUUUCCCCCAAAGCGCCCGCGAAAACAUGCGUGUUCCCAACACAACUCUCCAAAGAUGAAUUGAUCACCUGAUUCCCUUUUGGCACAAAAUUCCUCUACCACAGUAUCGGCAAAUCUGUCUCGUUCAACGCUUGCUUUUGCUUACUAGGCCGCUAUUGCAAUCGCUACGUUCUCAUCCACUAUGCACAGUAGCACCAUGCUCCUACUACUGCUGUCCUAGCCACUACAACUGAUUACUCUCUCUAUCCCAGAAUAUAGCAAUCUAAAAUCGAAUGAGACGUAUUCUAAUACUACGAAUUUAAAUAUGAGGUAUAUCCAGAUUCGUAUUCCAUCUAAUUUUAGUAUGCUACAUUCUGAACGGAAGGAGUAAGUUUUAGAAGUGAUCUUAAACUAAUUUAGGUGCUUUUGUAGAAGCCAUAAUCUGCUUUGCUUAAUCGUUUUUUUCACUUCUAAUAAACCUUAGCCAUAAUCUGCUGUUGCGUCGGCCUCGUCAUAGCCGCCCCCCCUCCCCCCCCACGUUGCAGCAAACAUCCUCCCCUACCCCUCCCCCUAGUGCCCUCUUCCCUCCACGAUCCAAACCUGGUGCUCUCCCAUUGUUCUUGGGUUUGCUGGUGCUAUUCUCAUAUCAAAACCUUCUCAUUUCCGGCAUGCUCAACAAUUGGUCCAGGUGUUUGUUCCAGGAACUGUGCUCCUCCAGCAGCUUGGCUGGUCUAUGUCCCAUGCCCUCCGGCGAGGUCGCGGUUGAUUCUCUUUCAUCUGCAAGUUCCCCCUUGGCCAUUACCCUUUUGUCUACCUCCUGCUCGUUUCCACCCCUUUCCUUGAGAUGUCCUCGACCGCAAGGUUCAGCGGCACUCCCUCCUUUAAGGCUUCCUUCCCUUGAAGGGCGUUGGAGUGCGUUGAUCUAACAAGCAAUUUGAUCAAGUUUGAUUGAAGAAGACUCAUUGCGGGUGGCCUUUGGCUGCAUCUUUCAGUGUCCCUCCCUCCUAUGGGGCUUCCUUCCCCCAAAGGGCGUCGGCGGGCUUGGAUCCAAAAAGCAAAAAGACCAAGUUAGCUUCUUGAUGGCUUCAUGCGGGUGGCCUUGGACUUCCACAGCUUUUCGUUGGCUUUUCUUCUAUUCCGGCAUGCAUGUGGCUGUGUGAGGAAAUGGAUGUUGACAAGCUAGGGUGUUAGCUUUAGGUUUUGGUGUUUGGUUUGGGUAAUUUUGCAGGUGUUGCUCGUCAAUUGUUAUCUUCUGUGAGGUUUUUUUUCUUUAUCUGUUUUCUCCUCUUUGUAUUCCCCGUGUAUUCUAUUCUCCUAUCCUCCAGGGCCCUUGCGUUUGCGUAGGUGAAGCCUGCCCUGUAUAAGAUCAUUUGGCUCAAUAUAUUCAGGUGGGGACUCUCUCCCCCCGGUGAUUUAGUCAAAAAAAAAUAAUACUUUGUUGCAAGCACACAAAAAAUUUAUUUUAAACAUAGCAAGAUGUCGUCGUGAUAGGAUACUGGUUGCAAGACGAUGUCUAGUGUCUUCCUGUUUUAUUAUCAAGCAUGGGUCUGUUUUUUUAACCCUGAAAAGGAUGGCCACACCCUAUCAGUGAUCGCACCCGCGAAAGCGAGGAGCACGAGGAGCGCGCGCGCGCGGCCGUUUUCUUCCCUGAAACAGCGUGCGCGGGUCGGAGCGAGAUGCGAGGGGCGUCCACGCAGUGCAGACGCAUGCAGGCCGCGGUUCUCUCGGCUAAAAAACUACUCGUAGUACUCCAGUACUACGAGUUCUCCGCCGCGGCGAUUUGUUUCGUGCGUCGCGUGCGGCGUGGCAAGCCAAAAAGCCGCUGGACUUCGCGAGGGGCACGGCGGGGCGGGGCACCGGCCAAUCGAGCCAACACGUCGUUGCCGUAUGCACGCCGCGGCUUGGAAAUUCCGGCGGAAACCGAUGGUUUUGUUCGACCCGUUUGGCGUUUAGGCGGGCGUCGCCCCCUUCUUUUAUUUGUUUUUGAGUAGAGUGCACGGACGGUCCUUAAACAUUAUGUCUGUGUGACAUGCCACAUCAGCGUCACGUAGGAUCCUGAAGGGGCUGUGGCUAUUUGGGAUUUAGAUGACACAUUAUGACAAGUUCUGAGACUUGGAUAUGCAUUUUGAGAGUUUAAGAACCUAGAUGACACACCGCUACAAGUUUAAGGACCGCCCAUGCACUUUAUACUUUGUUUUUUUUCCGUUCCAAUGAUGGAGCCGACGAGUUUCUCCGUCUCAAAAUAAGUUCUAUUCCACAUAUAUCAAUAUAAAAAAAAUUAAAAUACCACUAUGUUAUUAAAUCACAAUGUAAUUAGUUUUUUAUCUACUUCUAAUAUAUUUAUUUUCUAAUUUCAUAAACUCCGAUGUAAUAAUUACUUAAAAUAAAUAAAUUUUAAAACAAAUGGAAUGGAAAAAUUGAUGUAUUUUGAGACGGAGGAUUAUCCAAGACUUAUCAUUGCAUAUUUGUGUUAAUUAUUUAAUGUGUGCGUAUCACUGUAUCAGCUGAGCGGAGGGCGCAGUCGAUCGAUCGACUUGACCGGUUGACUUGCAAAGAAGCACAUUAUAUAAGUAUAUACUACUUCUUGUACAGUUCGGUUGGUCCAUGAAGCAUGCAAAGUAACAGUGGAAAAAAGGCCAUGGAAAAUGCGUCGUCCACUGAUGAGAGAUCAGUCCGUGUCAAGUUGCUAGCUGCUGGUCAUUUUCGCGACAUGAAACGAGAAAGAAAGGGCGGCAUCGCUAGUGGCCCAUCGAAAAAAUACAAAUGGACAGGCACCUCUCGGUGUUUUAGUGCGUUUAGUGGCUCAGGGGCAAAGACCGUGUGAACAAGAAUCGCCCUAGACUUACUUUGAUUAGACGGCGAUCUGUACCGAUCCACCACAGCUUCCUCUGCCGCAUGCUGAGCUGAAACUAAUAUGUUGGGGGCGAAUUCGACACACAAGAAUUUCCAUAGAAUUUCAGUAAUUACUUUAAAUUCUACAAAAUAUAUUACAGGAACCGUCAUCAUCGAUAUAGACCUUAGUAGCUAAAUGCGAAAGAAUAUCCAAAUAUGACAAGACAUAUAUAAACAUGAUAUUUAUUGAUGAGUUUUCAGUUGAAACAUAUGUAAUAUCCGGACACCGAUUAUAAACGCACCCUCUUAAUCCAUUAUAAUCCUCGACCGGCUAGGCCACUGACCUAGUCGUUUCUCUCCUAUGUUAUUGUUACUAUGCGGUUAUAUAGCUUAUGUCACUUUAUUUAAGACUGAGAGUAUAGGAUAAGAGAGCAACUAUAUUUCUAUUCUAAAACCUAUUACAACUCCAAGCUAUACUUUGUAACCAACUUUAUACACGUAUUCAAUACAAAAACUAACAAAUUUCACUUGACGAAUAUGCCACAUCAAUCUAAACUUGUUCGUGCGUGAACUUCCAUAUACCUUACUUGAGUUUAUUCAUUUUUGCUACCCACGUUGAGCUCUUCCAUGAGCCUAUACCAAGCCCGUCAUCUUGAAGAAAUCGACCUGGAUCUCCUCUUUCGCCGCCUCACGCCAACGAACCUCCGUGCACAUGCCUUCCCAACCAUCUCCGAUGUAUUCUACUCUGCCGCCUCCUCUAGCCUAGAGCAAGAUCGUGUUGAGCCCUCUGCCACUUGCACAUCACCCACACUAGGGUCAUGCACCUUUUACACUAAUUCUUGUUGCUUUAGAUCAUCACCGCACAAGAAAUCUAAGGUUUGGUAUCUCCUUUUUCUUCGGUGAUUUGCAAUCCCGUGGUUACUCUGGUUGAAUUCCAUCAACUUCUAGGAUCUAGUUGUGGCUUUCGCUACUAUUGUUGCUUCAUCUCAAGCUCGCAACCCAAUUAAUCUAUCCGCAAGACGAAGCCGACAAAUUGCCAUGUCAUUUUCAUUGCCGCCAAAUGACCCAAGCGUCAUGUCUGUCUAUCUCCCUAUUAAAUACAACUCAUUGAAAAGACGUCUAGGCAACCCAUCCGGAGUGUUCAACUAUACCGAUCGAUUUGUCGAUUGCUUUCAGCCUUCAAUCAACCCGCUUGAAGUGUCCAGCACCUUGAAUCACCGAUUGCUCUAGUCACCAAUCAACAUGAGAAUCAUAUCGUCUUCUUGUUGAUUGCAGGUCAUCGAAUGGUCCGAGCUACCUGUUUGAAGUGUUCAACACCACUGGUUAAAACAUUGACCGACACCAUGCUCCACCUUGCACCAAUGUCCCUCCCUAGUCAUUAUGUGCAGAUUGCACGGUGUGGAGCACCUUCAUCGCACAUCUCUCCCAUGGAUCUUUCAUCAUAGCUAGGCUCUGAUAUCACUUGUUAUAAAAAUUAGCAUGACAUUGGCCUCGUUUCCAAACACGAAAUAACACCAUAACAGACCCAAUCAUGAUGACCACACCAAGACAUGAUAGUUAUUGACGAGGUUUAGCCGGAUUCUACGUCCUCGAGGCAUCAGUUACAUGCAUUCCUCUUUGAUCUAACAUAAUUACAACUAGCAUGGUGGCCCGCGCAGCUUGCGCGGCUAUCAUCAUUAUAUUUUCUCACAUAUAAUAGCAUAUAUGUUUUCUCAAUAUAUUGUUCAAAUAUAUUAAAUUGACAAUAUAAUUUUAAAUUUUGCAAUAACUUUACGAAACUACUAAUGGGUAAUAUUCAUAUUGUAUUUUAUAUACGUGUUAGUUAUUAAUUAUUUUAAUAUCAAUUUUUAAUUAUUUGUAAAUUAUAUAUAUUCCUAUAUGCACUCUAGACUCGUCUUUUAAUAUAUAUUUUUUAAUUCCGAAUUUUCUGUAAACUGUAUUUCUAUAUAGACUCUAUGCUCUUCUUCCAAUAUUAUUUAUUUUUAUUUCUGAAUUUUUAUUAUUUUUAAUUGUAUUUCUAUGUGGACUCUAAACUUAUCUUUCAAUAUUCUUUAAUUUUUAAUUUCGAAUUUCAGUUACUUCUAAAUUGCAUUCCUAUAUUGACUUUAAACUCUUCUUCCCAUGUUUUUCUUAAUAUCGAAUUUUAGUUAUUUGUAAAUUGUAUUUUUAUACGGACUCUAAACUCUACUUUAAUUUUAUUAUGUUUAUUCCAAAUUUUAGUUAGUUUUAAAUUCCUAUAUGGACUCUAUACUCUAAUUCUAAUAUUCUAUUUUUUUUAAUUCCGAAUUUCUAUUUUUUUUCUUAAUUGUAUUUCUAUAUAGACUCUAUAUUCUAUUUCUAAUAUUCCUUAUUUUUUAAUUCCGAAUUUCUUUUUUUUCUUAAUUGUAUUUCUAUAUAGACUCUAUACUCUAUUUCUAAUAUUCCUUAUUUUUAAUUCCGAAUUUCUAUUAUUUCCUAAUUGUAUUUCUAUAUGGACUCUAUACUCUACUUCUAAUAUUCUUUAUUUUAAAUUCUGAAUUUCAGUUAUUUCCUAAUUGUAUUUUUAUAUGGACUCUAGUCUCCUCUUCUAAUAUUCCUUAUUUUUUAAUUCCGAAUUUCAACUAUUUCUAAAUUGUAUUUCUAUAUGGACUCUAGUCUCCUCUUCUAAUAUUCAUUUUUUUAAUUCCGAAAUUCAGCUUUUUCUAAAUUGUAUUUCUAUAUGAACUCUGUUUUUUAUUUUUCUCCGAUUAAUGUGAGAAUUUCUAGACCAUAAGAGCGAACGUGAAGGCUCCUUUUUCUAUUCCUUUAAUAAUAUAAUAGAUAUAUUGGGUCUGAAAGUCCCUUAACCAGCUAGACCAUCGGUCAAUCAUUCCCUUCCCUAUGCUACUAUUGUCAUGCGGUUAUACCGGGGUAGGGGUGAAAACAGAGCGGAUUCGGACGGAUAGUAGUUAUACCAUAUCUUAAACCAUUUUUUAAAGCGAAUGUAGAGCGGGUGUGGAUGAUGUGCGGAUGCGGAUACGAAGCGGAUUAUUUCGGACGUUGGAUUUGGUACUGAGUCUGUGCGGACUCGGUUCGGAAACGGACAAAAAGUUGUCGGAUGUUAAAUUUGUAUUCAAUCCAUACAACAAGAGGGCAUCAAUACAAUUAGCCGCAAUACGAUGGCAAAACAACAUCUGAACAUGAUCUCAGCUCUCUAGGAAAACCAAUCAAAACACAACAAUAAUAUAAUUUUGCUUAAUUGGUAAAGUACAGCUUGUAUAAUAUAACACAUCCAGCAAAUUGUCAAUUGCUUAAGGGCUCAAAUAAUCCAAGAUACAUAGCACGACAGACGACGGCAAGAAGCAGCAAUGGGGACACGGAACGACAGACGAUGGGGAUGGCGUUGGCGACGGGCCGACGUUGGCGCCUGGCGACGGGGAUGGUGCUGGUGACGGUGGCGCCUAGGCGCUGGCGCUGGCGACGGGCCGACCGCCGACGGUGGAUGGUGGCGAUGGGGACGACAGGAGGAGGCGACGGGCCGAUGGAGGACGCGCUGACGCAGGGGAGUGGGGACGGCAGGCGACGGUGCCAGCAAUGCCAGAGGCGGCGCGCUAGAAGGAGGAGCGGUGGCGGCGCUAGCAGCCUGCAACGGCGCAUGUGUGGAGUUGGAGAAAUCGAGAGACGCGUGAGAAGAUGAGAGUCAGAAAGAUUUGGGGGAUGGUUGGAUUAGGUUAUGAUAGAUGGGCCACUCGAUGGAAAAUGGGCUAAAUUGAGUAGUUGUGUGGCAUGAAAAUUGUGGAUUAUCCGCCAAAUAGUACAUCGGAUCGGAUAAUCCGAUUAAAAUAUCGAAUAAUCCGCAUCCGUCGGAUAUCGUUGAUACCACAUCCGGCUCCGCAUCCGCAUCCGCCGGAUAUCUAAAAACCCUUACCAUAUCCUCACUUCGGACGGACUCGAAGCGGAUCGGAUCGGAUAAUAUCCGCUCCAUUUUCACCCCUAUACCGGGGUGUCUCUUUAAUUAAUUUAAGAGAGGAUCUAGAAUAAGAGUCUAGCUCUACUUUUACGCUAAAGACCUAUUACGACUCUAAGUCUCACUCUGUACUGAUUUUGCUAGAUAUCUAUUUUGGGAUGGAUGUCAACUAACACUGAUGGGGACUGAGCUUGUAAGAUGUGUGGGUGCAGGAAUUGUUGCACGGGAUAAUGUUAGAGAUAAGGAUAAUAGACAUAUAUUCAACUUCAACAAUUGCUAUGAAAUUUCUCCAUUCUAAAAGAGGCCCAAGACAUUUUUGAAUUAUCGGGAAGGAGUUUUCAAAUGAUACAAUAAUACGUGAUAAAGAAUCAAUUUGCUAACAGUAUUCCUACAUAAGCUAGCUAAACGAGAACGAUGGAAGAGUAUGGGCAGAACUGCAUAAGUACGUAAGACGGAAUACAGCAUAUAUGGUGCCUUGUGGUUGUGGUGAUGUCAAUGUGAUCCUGUGAUGCGAAUAUGAGCAUGACGGCAUUUUCGUCAGCCACCUAUGAAGUAUGAACUCUCCUAGUUCGUCUUGAAAGAGCAUAAGACUUACGCAAUCAUUGCAUUAAGGAGGAGAAAGCUAAGGAUGAACUCAAAGCAAAUGGAACCUAGUUAAGGUGAGACAAACUAAACCAAGUAACUAAUUGGAGUCUAAUUUAUACUAGUACAUCUGUACAUGUCAAGACUCAAGACACAUCAUUCAGGUCAGGUAGAUAUCUGCUGGACAGUUGGCCAAAACAUGACACAUCAAAGUAUCAAACACCAUUGCCAGAUCAAUCAUGCCAUGGUUAGGUUUAUGCUAGUUAUCCAGAACACGCAAUAUUUUUUGUUUGUGAGCUGAUACCUGCCUGAGAUAAGAUGAUGAGAAACAAGUUAAGCCAAUUCUAAGCAGGUUCUAUCUACACACCCACAUGGACAUGUACACCAUGAAGUCCACAUGGAGGCUGUCCAUUACAAGCCCUUGAAAUUAAUAUUUUUGUCAUCUUUUUUCUCUCCUACCAACUCUUGUGUCAUUUGUCUAUUGCCUUGCCUGCUAAUCUUUAAUCAGGUCUCUCCCAAUGACAUCUUAGGAGGCUACUAUCGGUUCGCUUAUGCUUAUGCUUAUCAGCCAAAAUUUAAAUUUUCAUCCUUAAAUUUGGAGUUGAUUUUGAGGUUUUUUCAUCGAAGUUUAUUUUUCAGCCUUUGCUUUUAGAUCGCUAAGAACGUGUAUAUAAAAGUUUUAUCCACAAAUUGUUUUUCGUUUAUAAAUAUGCCGUUUCGCUUAUUCCACCAAUAAGCGAAACGAUGGCAGCUCUUAGUUGGUUAAAGGAGUUGCAAUUAAUGUGUGCAAUUACUUGUAGGUUGCGAUUCCGUGCUCUGGUUAUGCCGAAGCGUACAAGCAUUUUGGCUGUAAUAUGCUGGGAACAUUGCUGUCCUGGCUCUGAGCUAGUAGCUCUUUCAAUCCACCUCAAGAAAAGCAUUACUUUAAUUAAGGCAAUUAAUUAAUGCCUAAGUCAUUUUGAACAUAUAGGACAUACUUUAUGAGUAAAAAAUAAUAAAAACAAAUAGGCUACUCCUUUAUGUGUAGGUAAAAAAAUAUUAUUAAAUCUCAAUUUAGAAUACAGGAAUUUCAUUUGCGAUUUAAAUUUGUUCUCUUGCGAUUUCUUUUAGCCGUUUAGAGAUAAGUGUCACGUAGGCAGAUAACUGCUUUUAACAACCGCAAUCCGUAUCAUUUAUCAACCACCAAUUCAUCAUCAAAGAGUUGAAGAUUGUUCGCAUCUAAAUUGUUGUUUACUCCGCAUUAUUCUCUCUAUCAUGUCAUCAGAUAUAGUAUAUAAUUAUUGGUCAAUUUGCAUCGAACAUUAUAAACAAAUCCAUCUCAUAGUUCUUUCCGAUGUCUAUUUUAUAUCCAUUGGCGAGGCUACACAUAGUUAAAAAUUUAAUCAACUCUUUGAAGAAACGAACUGGCCGGUUAAUUAAAUUUUUAACUAAACCGGCCAAACGAUGAAACUUGGCAUAAAUUUACUGGGUGAUUCAUCGCUUCGUUGGACUUGUGCUGCUGCCUCAAUGUCUGAAUUGUUGUCUUCUCUUCGGACAGCGAUGGCUAGAUUGAAAUUUUCGUUUCGUUAAUUUUUUGUUUGGCUCGUGGUAGAAUCCAAAGGGCGGAUUUUCCCUUCAGAGAAAUUGUGUCUUAACGCGAUUUGGACUUUGUAAGGGCACUUUUAACAAGCAGAGUUCAAAAAAGUUUAAAGUUCUGGUUUGGAUUGUGUGAAAUCAUUGUCAUGAUUAAUAUUUGUGACGAACAAUUGGCUUUGCAAAAUGAUUUAUUCGGUGAAUUGGUUUGGAAAGAUGUGUGGAUGUUAGUGUGAGUGCGUGUGACUAAUGUGGGUUAGGUUGUGAUAUCUGUGCCAAAAAUCGGUUGUUUUGUCUGAUUGUGUGAAGGUGACUUGAGGUCAACCUUGGUCAAUGAUGAGGACCGGGACUAUGUUUAGGGAGGAACAGAGGUCUAGUGCGGUCGGGAUACUAUGUGAGAAGGUGACUAGAGUCAGAAAUCUUGGAGGUCAACUUCGGUCAACGGUGGGGAUCGGCACUAAACUCGGGGAGGAGUUGAGAUCCAGACGGUCAAGGAUACCGGGUGACGAAGUUUGAUAUGAGAUGGCAUACGGUGGAUGGACAUUAUAUGGGAGAGAUCUUCGCAACGGGCUUCACGAGGUGUGCGUGCAAGCGUCGGUGUUCGCGAAGGGAAUUGAAAAGUUGGAGUAUAUGGUGCUACAGUACACGAGGUACUGUAGUGUGCAGGUAUGCAUGCAUGUACGGUGCUGUAUAUGUACGUGUGCAUGACCGGUUGGCCGAGCAACAGCAGAGCGGCUCGGUGGGCUUCGGUGGCUGUUGGCGGCAUGCCAAGUCGGCCCAGGAGAAGCAAGGGCCCAGCUGGCAGCGAGUCGGAGACGGUCACGCGUGGACGUCAGCUUGGGAGCAAAUCAGUUUUGGAUUUCUGGUGUGGCCGGUUGUUUGCUGCACGUUUGGAAAUUGUAAAACGUAUGGAAAUUGAGAGAUUGAGUCCUGUUGUGAAUUGGAGUUCAACACCUAUUUUGAGUAGGAGGUUUUUAUGUAUAAAUAGAGAGGGAGGGGGUGGCCUCCCGGUAUCGGUUUUAGUAAUCCGAGUUUGAGAGAUUAGAUAAGGUUUCGUGAGAAACUUUUGAGGGGUGCUGUGGCUGCACCUUGUAAACAAUAUACUUGAGCAAUAAAGAUCAUAUUCAAUCAUCAAGGCAUCGACGAUCUAUUCCGGUGUCGUAAGUUUUAUGUUUAUGUUUGGUUUUAGCAUUAACUUGUGAUUAUUCGUUUUGCUGCGAUUUUGUCCAAGUUAAUCCAUCCAAAAUCUUUCUAAUACUUCAUAGAUCAGAUUUGAAAAGUUUCGUUGAUUGGUUCUUGUUAGAUUUGAAUUUGCUUAAGUUUUAGGUUUAGUUCAGAUUUGCUGAAAUUCUGAGACAGCUGAAUUUCGAGGGUGUUUUCUCUUAAACCGUUUAUUAGUUUGCAAAUCCCUCCAGUGGAGUUGUUUCUUGGUUUGUAUAGUUUAUUAUGUAAAGUUUGCAACUCGAUCCAACGGUUGGUUUAAGAGAAAUCGUGUUUUUACCGAAGCUCUGUCGUGCUGUUUUUAGUCUGAUGGUCAAACCGCGAGAGGAACAGCGGUCAAACCGAUUAGAGUUCGGUCAGAUCGAUCCUAGUAGGUCGGAUAGACCGCCAAACAUGUGUUCCAUUGGCUUUUGAGGUUGGGGUGUGUUUUGAUCUAUUAAGAUUCGAUUAUUUGACUUCCGCUGACGAAAUCUACCAUUCACCCCCCCUCUGGUAGGCUUGGUUACUUGUGUUCGAUCCUACAGAUUGUUCCUCGAACCAGCGCUCGCGGUUAGAGGGGUUCUUCUUUUUCUCCCUGCUCUAGCCCCUAGUGUGCAGGAUAAAUUUUCACUAAGUAAGAGUUUCUAUAUAGGAUAGAUAUAGGAUGUACGUGCGCACAUCACAGGGACGGAAGUAGCAGGGGGCUUGAACACCCCCUAAGGCCAUGUUCGAUUGGGCCGAGAACGGCCGGGGUCACGGCCCAACCCCCGUGGAUCAACCUGGCGAGGAAGCAAUCCCAGCCCAUGGGAAAAGUUGCGUUCGGUUAAGCCCAGACGAUGAUUUUAACCCGGCCCACCACAGGGUUCCCCUAUUGUCCAGGCCCAAGAAAAAAUCACCUAGUGCGGAGGCUUGGAAAAAACACUUAGAGAGGCGGCACAACGAGAGGAGGCGCUGCGGCAUGACUCGGACGCGACGACGACGACACGCUCUCUCCUCGGGCAGCUGUCUCCUCCGGUGGCCACAUGUUAAUGACCAAAUUUGGUAAAUUAUGCAUCAGCUGAAGCGGAUUUGGAAGGAAAUUGACAAUCACAGAAACAGAGCAAGAAUCAGCAUCGAAUUGCGUCGGCUAUGGUGUGCAUCGGCUAAUUCCGAAUCGGAUAAGGGAAGCCGAUGUAGCCGAUUCCAACAAAGUGAUGUUGGAAUCAUUGUCGGAUUUUGUUGGUGUGCUUCAUGAGGAUUGCCACCUAUGGAUUAAGUCUGAAAAAGGCAAUUAUGUCUAUUAAUUAAAAAAUAGUUUGUUAGUUUCUUUUAUCUUUAGGAAAGUGUGUUUAGUGUCCGAUAAUGACUUUAAGUUUUCCAUUUAUCUUUAGGAUAGUUUCUUUCUUCUCCUAUAAGGACUAGUAUCUACCCAUGGGUAUAAAUAUGUACACCCAGGGUCAUUAUAAUAUCAAUCUUUCGAUCAAUGCAACUCUCGACGCAUCACCACCCUCUUUACCGAGGUUUUUACUUAUCAACCGGCGGAAGUUGGCACAUGAUGCGGGGCUGCAUCGGUUCAGUUCGAUCUCCGGUGAAGCGGUAAGUCCUACGUUCCGCCGGCCCAGGUAAAUAUAUCGGUUACGUCAGCGUCGUCCAAGGCUGCAUCAGUACAUUUGACCUCUUGGAUUGCUCUGGUUUGGUUGAUAUAUUUGCCUACCUGAUAUCUCAAUUCUAUCUCUGAUUGCAUUGUGUUUAGAGACGCAUCGGUUUAGUUGGAACUGUCUCGGUUAGGUCCGAUCUUCUGUCUUAGCCGAUAUAUCUCUACAAUCACAAUGUCGUUCUAAAUAGAUUUAUUAUAUCCAUCACAUUAGACAGAUCUAUCGGCUUAUCGAGUAUUAGAUUAUCAUACAAUCUCGUGCUGCAUCGGUUGUGUCCGACCUACUAGAUUGUUGUUGAUAAUAUAAGUCUUGUUAAGCCAAUAGGUUCAUGCUAGUGUUUUAUCGGGGUGCUAGCCGAUAAGUUAUCUGGACGUUGCAUCGGCUUAUAAGGAUCACAUAUACAUAUGAGCUGGAUUUAGCCGAUCACAACAAAGAGUUUACUGAUUUAUCUAAUCUUGUGGAUUCUAUGACAUCGGACCUCCAGCCGAUGUAUUAUUUAACCUUCGGAUCAGUACGUGUUCUAUCAUAUCAUAUUGUUAGCCGAUUGGUUUCUACUGGAUAAUAUCAUUAUAUAUUUUAUUACAUCUUCAUCAGCCGAUUGCCUCCAUAUUGUUAUUUAUAUAAUGUCGGAAUCUACAUUGGAUAUAUAGCCGAUAGCUCAAAACCCUAUCAAUAUCGGCUGGUAUCGGCAUCGGCUGGAUUACUCCAUCAGCUUGUCAGCCGAUCGACUCAUUGAUCUACUGUUUACAUAUCUUGUCAGUUGCAGGAUCAAACUGACUGGCACGUCCGCAUCUCAUCAAUCUUUGGACCUGCACUGGAGCUAAGCAGAUCUCCCAGGCCAGUGUUUGUUUUUUGCAUCAACACCACCUUCUCCCAAGUCCCCUUCCCCUCUCCCCUCCUCUUCUAGGGUUAGGGCUUCUCACGUGCGCGCUGCUGCUGCGGCAGCGACAACGCACGGUGGUGGCAGGUGUGGCGAGGACGCUGCUGCAUCACACCCCCUCGCCAUGGCUCCGUUGAAGCUCCGCCGCUGCGGCAAGGAGAAGUAGGAGGACACGGACGUGGUGACCGCUUCGAGUGUUCUUUCUUCCACUGGUUUCUUUAUUUGUUCUUCUUUCUCCCCUUUGAUCUGUUACCUAGAUUUCCAGAUUUCCUCCUCCCUUAGUUCUUGGAGGUCCUUAAAUAUGAUUGUUUGAUUCUCAUUAUGGCAUACAUUUACUAUUAUUUGUAUGCAACUUUGGCUUUUCUGAGGCCGUGCAAAAAGACUAGCAAUAUUUGCAUAUUUGUUUCCGACUCUUGCUUCCAUAUGCCGCUUCUUCUUCGCGAUCAAAGUCAUAAGACUAUCUAUGUUGGGGGGAGUAGCUUUGACCUUGCCCGGAGAGGACAAAGGCUCCCAUUUUCUCCCACCAAUCUUGCUCUCGAUGAGCUCACAAGCGGAGGCUCCGAGGAGCCACCGCAGGGCCCUCGGAAGCCGCCCCAAGGGGAAGGGGGCGCUUCAGAGGCUUCGUCAGGCUUCGGGGAACGUGACCCCGAAGGGGGACCCCGGAGGCAACAGCCAGGAUAACAUCGCAGAGAGCCUUAAUCUCGCAUUUUAGGCGGCCAACUACCUUUGAUACUGUUGGCUCAACACCCUAGGUGAAGGCCAAGGUACAUCGUUAUCACGCCUCAGCCUCGAGCAGUGCACCCCGGGAAACAUGGGGUCCCCCGGGAAUGCUGGCUUAAUGGGCGCAGUCCCAUACGAUGUCCCUUGGAGAGUUACCAGACCGCCCUUGAGCGGGGGCCACUUGUCAACCUCCAUCCUUGAGUUAAGCCCAGAAGGUCUAUCUCUGUAAUUUCCCUUACCAAUGUAAGACUACAUAAAGAUGUAAUACGCCCCCCCCGGGGGGGAGGGGGAGAGGGGGGCAAAUGAAAUAAUAGAUAAAAACCACAUCCCUUCUUCCCUUGUGCUUGAACCCCUUUGGAUUUUAUUCCAACAUUGGCGCCGUCCAUGGGGAUCGAGCAAAGAGAGAACAAAGCAGUGCAAGUGAAGGAUGCCUUCAAAGCAUGCAACGAAGCAGAAGGACACCACGGCAGCCACGCGACUGUGUAGGGCAACGCGCCCCCUGGUUUGGCUGGGUGAACUAGUGAUCGCCCCUCCGGCUGACGCCGACGGUAGCGCCACCGGGAGUGGCACCAAACUUGAGCCCGAGACCCUCUGCGAUGCGGCCGUAGAACCUAUCCCACAGGUGGCGCCGGCGGGUGAUCUAGCUACGGACAUUCGCGCUCCGGGGGCGCCGACGCGCGGAUAUCCGUGAAUUAGGUUUUUCGGACCUGUCGUGGACGGUUUUGGCAAUAUGAUGGGUGAAUAUUUCUGAUAUUGCGGUUUAGAGAUAUAAAUUAAACCCGACGUAAAGAUGAAGGGAUAGAAGGUGAACUUAUUCCUUCUUUUUCCUUGAACGUAGGCUAAACUUUUUGAUUUUUUAUUGCCUAGGCGCCUAGCCCCUGUUCUCUCCGGAUUGGGCCGAAAGCCAGCCCACUAUCCCUACUCCCGCAGGCCUGUAAUCCUCAAUUUGGGCCGCAUUCUUGUUAGCAAAGACCCGACCCAAGUAUAGAAUCUAGGGUUUAUAACAAGACCGAAGGAAGGACGAACAUACAGAUUCCUAUCCUCUCUCGCCAUGACAACAAUGUCGUCGAGGCUCGCAUCUCGCGCCGCCCGCUUAGCUGCGGUGGCGGCAUCUCGCGCCGCCCGCUUAGCUGCGGCGUCCGCAUCUCGUACCGGGGCCGGGGACCCCUCAGCGCGGGCCACCGCCACUGCCGCAUCUCGCGCCGCUCGCUUAGCUGCGGCGGCCGCAUCUCAUGCCGGAGGCCCCACAGCGCGCGCGAUUGCGGCUGCCGUAUCUCGCGCCGCCCGCUCAAUCUCCUCGAAGCUCCUUGACGACGACAUCGCUGCCCGCCUCUCCUUCCGCUACAGCACCGAGCCCCCAGGUAAACCUUAACACCCAAUCCCGCUCUCUUCAUGGUCUCCCAGCAAAUGAGAAUUUUCAGAAUAUGCCACUCAAUUUGCACCACCUUCAGGAUUUGCCAUUAAUCCAUGUUUGGCGAACAAAAUUGCAUAACACCGUAAUCUCGAGAGAAUUUGUAUUUAAAAGAUAAUGCAGAUGAAUUCCUAAUCCCCGUGCCUGAGAAUUUCAGAAUAUGCCACUCAAUUCACACCACCUUCAGAAUUUGCCACUCAAUUUGCAACUUUUUCAAAACAUGCCACUAAGGACUCUAAUUGUUUCAUCCCCACCAAGCACGGGAAUUGUUUCAUUCCGUGUCACUCCGUCUCUCUGAAGUUACGCGUCGUCGCCCGUCCGUAUCGUGCCGUCCGUUGCGUCAUCUUGCCGCCGCCAGCGUGGGGAGGAAGGCCGCCGGCGUGGGUGAGGAGCUUGGCCGGUGUUGGGGAGGAAGAGCUCGCCAUUCCGGUGCAGGGAGGAAGAGCUCGCUAGCAUGAACGGUGUAGAAGCUUGCCGACAUGGGGAGGAGAGCUCUGCCGGUGCGGGAGGAAGAGCUCGUGGGCAUGGGAAGGAGGAGCUGCCGGCGUUGGAAAGGAAGAGCCACCGGUGUUGGGAAGGAAUAACUCGCGCGGGAAGGAAGAGUUCACCGGCAUGUACGGGGAAGAAACUUGUCGGCGUGGAGAGGAGGAGCUCUGCCGGCAUGGGGAGGAAGAGCUCACCGGCGUUGGGGAGGAGGACCCGCCGGCGUGGGGAGGGAGAACUUGCCGGCGUGGAGGAGGAGCUCAUUGGCGGCGCCCAGAUGACUCAAACGGACGUCGUGACACGGGCGGGCGACGGCGCUCGGCUUCGGAGGGCGGAGUGGCACGGGAUGAAACAAUUCGCGUCCUUAGUGGCAUGUUCUGAAAAUGUUGGAAAUUGAGUGGCAAAUUCUGAAGGUGGUGCGAAUUGAGUGGCAUAUUCUGAAAAUAAACAGCCAACCAUGGAUUUAGUAACAGACUAAUAUUCGUGUCAUCAAAACAAUGUUGGCAUUUAUUGUGUUUAGUUUUUACACCAUUAUCACGUGUGAUAUCUCUCAGCUUGAAAGCUCAACUUUUCUACCAAUAAAAAUUUUGGCUGGAACCUCUUGAGCCAAAGGCUGGGAUCUAAUUCCAUUAUCUGAAACAUCAUAUAAAUUCUUCUUUGUGCUUGCGAAAAAUCAAAUUUGUUCACACUACUAACUUUUGCGAAUUGAAUUGUGAUAGAUGAUGGUAAGUGCGUUACAGCCAAGGACCUCGAGUCAGAUCAAGCCGUAUGGGCCUUAUAUGAGCGCUGGUGCAAGUCAUACAACAAGAAGCGUGACCAUGCUGAGAUGAUUCGCCGGUUCGACAUAUUCAAGCUGAAAGCAUCGCUUGUGCACAGCUGGAACAAUUAUGUUCAUGAAGACAAAGAGGAAUUAGCUCGUGCAAAAAAGAGAAGGGAUUUAGGCAAACCUGUCGAUCCUUGGUACCUACAAGAGGAAUUAGGCCCAUCCGCCGAUGGGGGAGACACUGUUAACCAAUACUGGCGGGGCAUGUUGAAGGAAAAUGACCAAGGGAUGGAUCUGCCUGACAUCCAAGGAGGAAAAAAAAUGAGCACUGAAGAUUGAACAUGUUACAUAAGAGCGAUUUAAUUUGCUUAUGGAAAUCCCUUACCCUCAAGGAGUUGAACUUAGCUCCCCAUAUAAAUCAACUGUAAUAAUAAGUUAUGAUUUGCCGUUCCAUGUGUAGUCUAUGCUUAUGUCGUACCAUCUUAUCUAAGUGGUCAUGAAUUCCAUAUGCUUCCGCCUGUGGGAAGUUUGUGUAUUUUAGCCUUUUGGGUUUACGGGCACAAGUGUUCAAACAGAUCAAGAUCAAGUGUGAAGAUGGUAUAUAUGUCAGUUGUUUGUACAUUAAUUCGUUGAGCAAUAGGACGAAAGUAAAGGUGAGUAUUGUCUUGUCUAAAAAAUUCAACAUUUUCACCAUUAUCAUUCAUGCAUUGUUUGUUUAUAUAUAUAUAAAAACGGAAAAGAAGGAAGGGGAACAGGAAGAGGUGCGCUAGGAAAUUGGCAAUAAACUAAUAAAGAGGAAAUUUAUUCCAUAUUCUCAAUUUGUCUGUCUAAAAAAUUCAACAUUUUCACCAUUAUCAUUCAUGCAUUGUUUGUUUAUAUGUAUAUAGAAAAGAAGGAAGGGGGAACAGGAAGAGGUGCGCUAGGAAAUUGGUAUAUAUAUAAAGAGUACUGCUUCCAAUUUCCUCUUUAUUAGUUUAUACAGGAAGAGGUGCGCUAGGACCUUUAUAAACUAAUACAUCAAUCUUACUUGAAUACAUAUAAAGAGGAUGGAACUAAAGUUGUUAUUUAGAUUAGUUGGCUUAUUGAACAAACAGCUGUUUAUUACCUGUGUAAACAAUUACUUAGAUAUUUUCGCCGGGUCAAUUACUUAGAUAUUGAUCAUAUGGCUUUUAAUUUAGUUUAUCUAGAAAAAUAUUUUUGCAACUUACUUGUUAGGUUGUUUGGCAAUUCGUUGAGUUCGACAUGCGCAGUCUUGAUUUUUUUUUAAAACACAACACACUUUGUUAAACCACAGCGUUUAGGGGAAUUGAAUUCCCCAAUACAUCGCCCAGGAUAAACAUAAGAGUUGGACCAUAUUUAACAAGAGAGAGGUCAACUGAAAAAAAGAAGCAAACUUUAUAAUGAAACUAAGCAGCAAUGAAGGAGCAAAUCGAUAGGGUACUGUGGCAGGGCCGCGACAAUUGCAUCCAAGGGCCUCUAUUGAUAUGUACUCCGCUUGACGAACUGGUAAACCCCUUCGGCUGCCUCCACGGAAACGACACAUAUGAGAGGUUUGGUGCGAAGCCGUAGAUUUUGGUGUGAACAUCACCGGACUCCACAAAAGAUUUCCACGGGGUUCAUCAUUGAAUCUGACAAGCUUGGACUGCAAACCUGCAAACCAAAGUUGCAAAUCCAAUCUGGGCUCAACCCGAACGAUAAAUCCUGCAUGGUUAUUGCUGCCAAGAGAUAAAGAGGAAGAAUUUCCCCAAAUCCAGCCAACCAAAGACUUAAUCCAAAGAUGGUGGCGAAGAACAUGCUGUCUUGGUAACUCGAUGGAGAAGGUUGAAGAAAAGGAGAUCAUCCGAGUCGCAUCCACGCCGCCAUUGCAGGACACAUCCGCACCACCGACGCCGUCGCGGACUGCAACGGCGCAGCCGUCGCCGCCGCGGGGUGCAUCGGCGCAGCUUUCGCCGCCGGGGGCCACAUCCGCGCUGCCGUCGCCGCCGAGGGCAGCAACGGCAUGGCCGCCGCCGCCGCGGGCCGCAUCCGCGUGGCCGCCGCCGCCGCGAGCCGCAUCCGUGAGGCCGCCGCCGCAGCUGACCGAAACCGAGUCGCCGCCGCCGCCACAGACUGCAUCCGAGCCCCUGUCGCCGCCGCAGGUCGCAUCCGAGCCGCCGCCACCACCGCAGGCCAGAUCCGCGUCGCUGCCGUCGUCUCGGAUCGAUUCUGCGUCGCCAUCGCCGUCACGAGCUGCAUCCGCGUCGAAUCCGCCUCCAUCUCCAACUUCCAUACCACACCAACGAGGAGGAAACGGGAAGAACCCGACCUAACGAGACUAGCCCGGCUACUUAGCUAUACUAGGGGAGGGGGGACGACCCCUCUCCCUCCCGCCGCCGGCGACGAGGCCGCCGGAAUCGAGGAGGAAGAGGGGUCGAGAGAGGGGAUUUACUGUAGCAAGUGAGGUUUCGAGAGAGAGCGCUCGUGAGUCGUGAGAGGUUUCCGCAGCCUUGAUUUCUAGUUACACGCGCAGCCUCAAGGCACCAUCUGAUUCUUUUCAGAUUUCAGACAACUCGAAUAACUUCAAAUUUCAGAUUCUUGCCUAUAAUUCUUUUGCAAUGUAAAGAAUUUCAAUAAGUGCUGUAGGGCCAAUUGUACAAAUACCAUGGCUUGCUGAACUAGGAGAACCUAUCUCAAUCUCUAUGCCAUGGUCGGAAUUGUGUAUCAACGCAGGAAAAAGAAGGGGAAGGAGAUGGCGCACAGCUGUGAUUGUGCCGAACCGUGAACAGUACCGCGCAGAUCAGCGUUUCCGUUAGCGUGACAGGGGAGUUAGUUUCCUUUAAAUCAGUAAAUUGUUAGUUACAAGAGUAAGCCUAUAAGAGGGCAUCCAUUCGGAUAUUUUGGAUCCAUUUUUACUAUAUCUCACUCGAAAGAUUUUUUCUUAUCUCUCACUCGAUUUUCUCACUUAAAUUUACAGUCCAUUUUCUUGUAAGUUACAUUGUAAUUUAUGAAACUUACACUGUAACUUGUAACUUUUGUAAGUUACACUGUAAUUUUUGAAUCUUCGCAUGUAAAUUUUAAAUUUUGUAUUGGAUUUGGUCUUUUUAUUGAGGAUAUGGUAAUUUAGUGUCCAUUAUGGUGUUUCUUAAUUGCUUUUUGCUUUUUAUUAUAUCUAUCGGAUUUUAAUCUAAAGAUUAAAAAUCUGUGUGAUACGAUCAUAAAAAUCUUUCGAAAGACGUAUAGGUACUCCCUUUUUGGAUAUGCAAUAGAUUAAUCUUCAUCUCAUCUCCUGUUUCUCUCUUCUCAUCCCGUGUUCUCUCCGGCGAUCCACGACGGAUCGCCGUUCGCGCAAACUACCCAAACCUCGUCCACCCACAACUCACACAUAUCCCAUCCGUUCACUAUUGGCGCAUAACAACUUGUUAUCAGAGACUGUGGUUCAGGACGACACAUCCAGCGAUAAGCAGCCGCUGCUCGAGCCGACGGAUGCCGUUGCCAAGCUGCAGGACACCAUGUCCGACGUGCUCACCGGCUUGGGGUUGUUGGCGUCCAAAAGCGAUCUUGCUGACCUUCGUCGUUCGGUGGCCGUCGUGACAUCGCGUCUCACGUCCCUGGAACAGCAACCAGGGGUGGCCUCGUCUUCAACAACUCCGCUUCAACCUCGCCUCGGCGGCUCGGCGGCGCGGGCAUGUUGCCCAACCCGUCCCAACCCAAUCUGAACGUUGGCGCGGCAGAGCUGGCGGCGGGCACGGGGACAGGCGCGGGAACGGGCACCGGAGGCGGCAGCGUUCCCCGUUUCUACAAGCUCGAGUUUCCCAUUCGACGGCAAAGAAGAUCCUCUCAACUGGCUGCAACAUUGCGAGCAGUUCUUCCGCCACAAUCCGCUCGGAGAACUCAAACGUCUUUCCCAGACGGGGACCGUGGCGGCAUAUCAGGAGAAAUUCCUGGCGCUCGCAAGCUGCGUCCAAGAUCCCCUGUCGGAAGGGCAACAGGUGCAGGCUUGCAAUGGAUAACACCAACGCGGGCUGCUGCUCAACAAUCACCAGCAUGUGAGUCCGUCGCUGCCAGGUGCCAGUCAAACCCAUCUUCUCUCAUCGCCCACGCCCCUAUACCUCCUGUCCAACUGCAGCAUUGUUCGCUGUCCAUCUAAAGUCUUACAGCUAUUCACCAUACGGUUUUGCUGCAUUACGGUUCUUUGUGUUGCGUUGUGCAGUUCGGUUGGAGCUGGAGGACGACCAAGGCACAACAGAGAAUGCAUAUCCGAGCCAAAAUUAUAUAUCAGAAACACCAAAAAUGGUGGUACAGUAGUUUUUUUUUUUCUGUUCUCCACUCAACCAGUUUGGUUGGACCUAACUGACUGCAACUCAAAGAAGACCGACAGUUCGACGGACGGACACAAGAUGAGUCUCCCACUGCUAACUUUUACAUGGCAGACCUAACAAGAUAUUGUUCGUAUUCUGUAUGGAUUAUAUGCAAAAAGAAUGCUUUUAUGGAUAUGUACUCCGGUUUUGCCAUUCAAUCAAGGAUGCCGUUUCGCUUUCCUUUUUAUCCUGGGCAAAUCUUCUCUGCUACCCUGCUGGUACCUGCCAUCCAUACAACACGACCAUACAUAAAUCACAAUGCAACAAGUCUCAUCUCACAUAAAUCACAAUGCAGCAAGUCUCUCACAGAAGAUUAUCAGGUUAAUAUGUUAUUUGUCUGAAUUGGAAUUGACGAGAUACAACUUACAGAUUAGUUGAAGCUUCAGGGGACUUGCGCACCUGACGCUGUGAGGUUGUUGGGCGUGCUCGCAUCAGCAGCACAAGUGAUCUCAUUGAGAGGAUUGCUGAAAACAUAGAAAUGGGCAGAUCAAGCAAUUAAUUGUUAGUGGAUCAACACAUCAACAAAUAUCAGUUCUGGUUGACAAAUUCUGAUAAACUAAUCGCUGACAAAUGCAGAAAGUGCAUAUAGAAAGCACUACAAGAUGUUACUAUAUUGCAGGCAGCAUAAGUGACAACAAGAAUUCUGGUAACUCAAGGAUGGUAAAAUUACCCAAAUAAUAAAGCAUUGUCCUUAAGGAGGGAUAGAAUUGGACCUGCUUUAUGCAAAAUGCCGAUCGCUACAUAUGAAAAACAAGGCCCAGAUUCUGCUGUGGUAAAUAACAACAAAAAUGAAGCACAAAACCAUACAAUCUACCUAACCCAAAUUCUGGUAACUCAAAAGCACAAGUACCAAUAGCUAAGCAGAUGACAUAUUAAGAACAAGCUAUACCAUAUAAUCUACCUAACCCAAAUUCUGGUAACUCAAAAGCACAAGUACCAAUAGCUAAGCAGAUGACAUAUUAAGAACAAGCUAUCUAUCUCUCUAUACUCAUUCGGUAAAGGCAAGAUAUACUGAAAAAAUAAAGUCUUAUCCUUAAUGACUUAUGAUUGGCUGAUUAGUCUCAACAGUAACAUGCAAAAUUUGCCACUAAGGCACUGACCUCAUAAAUCUUGACAUGGCAUCAGCUACCUGAAGACAGUGAAUUCCUUCCUCGGUCAUAAACUCUGGAAGUUCACAUAUGUUUUUUUCUAUAUUCAAGUCAAUUUUGAUAUCAUUAGAGUUAAAAAAAAAAACUGGCAUCCAUUUGACAAAAUAUAUGAACAAGGGCAUUACUGAAGUUUGCAUCAGACAGGUUGUCGAUGGUUGGGCAAGUGCAGCUCAGAUCAUCCCUCUCCACUGAGGCGUAUACAGCUAUCUCGAUGGUGUCUAAGUGGGGAUCUAGAUGAAAAAAACACAGAUUAGUCACAUUUAAGGCUAAUGCAUUGCUCAUUGAAGUUUUUUUUUUUUUUUGAGCAAGGACCAAGGCCCCCAUUUCUAUUACCAGAAAUGGAUACAAGCUACAAGGUUCUUACAGAAAAGAAAGGGAAGAAAAGCAGCUAAAACAUUUGCUCAUUGAAGUAUAUCAUAUAAUUACUUACGAGUCCAGUUCAUUGUCCUGGAUAGACCUUUCAUCUGGUCUUUCCUAAGAAUACGGUUUGAUUUUGAUCUGUUCGCGCCAGUCUGUAUGAUUUGACAGUUACUCUGAUCAUUUGGGCCUCCUAAAUAAAUUAGGUAGAUCUUCAGAAUUAUGGCAAUAUAUAUGUUAUACUAAAAAACGUAAGGUUUAACGUAUAAGAAGAAAAUUACUCUUGGAGUGUGGCUGUAUAUGAUCAAAUUCGUAGCCACAACAACCAUGUUUGCCAUUUAGCGCCUUCAGGACAGGAUUUCCGUUGGCAUCCAGCCGCCAACGAUCACCAGAUCGUCCAAUCACCUUGGGAGCAUUAUUCCAGCAAGCUUCUCUUACAUCUGCGCUGAAUGAACGAGGUUUUGCAGGUGCUGAUGCACGUAGAGCACGGGAAAACUUGGACACAAGACGGGAAAACAGACCCAUGUCCUGCAGUUAACAUAGCAAUAGCAUAAAUAAUCCCUUGUGGAUCACUCCAUAGAUUUAUCAAUUUAGACAGGUUUGUAAAACUGACUCAUAAUAUUUGAUAACACAUCUAUCGGUAUCUGUAUUGAAUAGCCAUAGAAUUCAUAUCACAACAUCUAAAAUACACAUCAAUACACAAACGUGCAUCACCACUGACCCAUUAGAGAUAUGAGUCGCUAAGUAGAAGAUGUAAUGUCAAAUUAGCUACAUCUGCAGAAAAAUAAGUGCAGGUCUAACAAGCCAAUUUAGCAGUUAAAUUAUGUGAACUGUCCAUUACAAACAUAUCAAACAACAGGACAUAUUGGUAUGCCAGUAUCGCGCACCAGCAAGUUAAACGUGCCCUCAGCAUUAACAUAUCAUCUUCCACAAACAAAAAACACAAUCCAGGUUGCAGUGCUGCACUACACUCACUAUCUGGAGGAACCCAACUCCGUGAAAUACAGCAGAAUGCUACACUAACAUAACAUACUGUAACACUUACGGCAGACAACCGUAAUUUAGAAAGGAAAAAAAAUCGGACAGAGUUCAGGAUCCAAUCCGAAUGGGACAAUAUGCAAUUUCCGUAACAACUGAUGCGAGAACCCCAAUAAUGAUAAUUUCCCGGUACUAGGUUGCAACAUUGGUAAAGUCAGAAGCGAUCACUAGGGAAAUGCACAAACCCUGUAAAUCCAACUCCCAAACCCUAUAAAAUCUCGCACGAUCAAGGGAGACAAAACGCGCGGAAACGUUGCAGCACACGGGAAUCGGGAGGCCGGUAGCCCAGCAACUUACCAAAGUCGAACCCAAAUCGGUGACAAAGCCUUGGACUUCCUGGAGCUCCGUUCGCGUUCGCUCGCAGCAGCAGGCCUCCGGCGAACCGCGGAGAGGAACCCGCGCGCGGGGACGAAUACUCUCUCCUUCUCCGACGCCGCCGUGCGCCGUCGGAGCCAAGCUGAUCAGAGAACACCACGGAUCAAUUAGCAGGUAGCAAUGAGGAGGGGGAGGAGAGAAGGGGAGGGGACUUGCCUGAUGGGGAGAAAAGUUCGCCCCUCCUGCGCGGCGGACGGCGGUGAGAUCGUCUCCCCAAUUUCUUUUCCCCGCCCUAGCUCGAGAGUCGAGAGCAAAUGGGGUCGCCUAAAUUUUGAAAUUCAAAGUGGUGGGGGUGGGGGCCACAUACAGGCAUACUACGAGGAGAGGCGCGUGAAGCUGAAAGCAGCCCGGCCCACCGAACCCAGGUUCAUUUUUUCGAGUGGAGUAAGUUCACUUUGAGUCCCUCAAAUCUCUAAUACCGAAUUCUGGGAGGAUUCGCGUGUAAAAAAUACCGAAUUCUGGGAGGAUUCGCGGUAAAAAAGCCCCGCCACAUGGCCACCCGCGUGGUUCCAACUUCCCCCCCCCCCCCCUCCGACAGUCGUACGAUCAGGUUUUAUUAGCAAAAUGUUAAACUCCACCAAUGAUACCGACCCAGACACCCAGUCCGGCUUGCGCGCUGGAUAAUCUAUCCCGUGGAUUUNUCCCAUAGGGACAUGUAUUCUUUUUAAAGAAAUUACUUUAAUACUAAUAAAAUCUAUGGAAAUAUCAUAUAUGGAAAAAAAUCAUUCAAAGGGGUACCUGGGUUUAUGGUUUGUAUAAUACCUUCGGAGAAUUAUAGCAUGACAGUAUACGCAAACAAACGGUCACUGGUGGAGAAACCAUCUUUCGUCGGUCGGCCGAAUUCCAUAAUAGUCCCGGAUGCAAUAAAAACCGGAGCUAAAGAUGAUCUUUAGUCCCGGUUAAAAAGGGUAACUGGCAUAUUUGAUUUUUAAUCCUGGUUGGUAACACCAAUCGGGACUAAAGAUGAUAUUUAGUCCCGGUUCAAAUGCUGUUAGGGCCUGUCAGGCCCCCCCGGAUCUUUAGUCCCGGUUGGUACCAACCGGGACUAAAGAUCGUAACUUACCAACCGGGACUAAAGAUCUCGGGGAUCUUUAGCCCCGGUUGGAAAUACCAACUGGGACUAAAGUCCCACCCCUAUAUAUAUGUCUUUUUCCUCCUCCAGCUGCCCGAGCAAGCUUCAAAAUUUCUUCAAAAAAGAAGGGAGGUCAUGCCAAAAUUUCUAGUGAAUUUAUUUUGGUGAUUACAUACAAAUAGGAGGUGCCUAAAAGGUUUGCAACUUCAUCCUCCAAUGUUUUUCUUUGUCAUAUUACAUUUGGAGCUAUGUUUUGCACACUUUUUUGUCUCCAAAAUUUAGUUGUAAGUUGAUGAGAGAGAAAAUUUGUGUGGGGGAAGAAAGAACAUAUAGAAAUUUAGUUGAUUUGGUAAAGAAGGUUUUAUAAAAUAGUUGAGAAGGAAAAUAUAGUGAAAGUUAGUCUUAAAUAAUAGAAAACAAACUAAAAUGAAAAUUAAAAGAAGCAAAACACAUUAAAAUUUGUUUAAAACUUUAGAAAUAGUAAAUAAGAAUUAUUUAGUGUAAUAUUUUAUGAUUUUUGUAUGAAUAAAGAUAUGUCAUUAUUGUAUGACUGUUGAAAGAGUUUGUAAUUAUCUUAUAAUUAUUGUAUGACUGUCAUUAUUGUAAGAAUAAUUAUUUAUGUACGAUUUUUUUUCGACUCAUGUAGAUGGAUCGUCAAUGGAUGUACGAUGGCCGGCGGUCCAAAGAGUUUAUUGACGGCGUGCAUUAUUUUUUUGAGAGUGGCCGAAGCUAACAGGCAAAAGGGUUUUAUUUGUUGUCCAUGCAAUAAGUGUAAAAAUCAGAAGGAGUAUUCUGCAUCCAGGACUAUUAAUUUCCACUUGUUUGAGUUGGGGUUCAUGCCAAGCUAUAACUGUUGGACAUCCCACGGAGAGCAAGGGGUUGAAAUGGAAGAAGAUGAAGUGGAAGACGACAAUAUUCCAGACUUUGAUCAGUACAGUGGAUUUGAAGGAAAUCAAACGGGCGAGAAGAAAAUGGAUGCUGAUGGUAACGACGUUGCAGAUGAUCUUGGUCAGAUGUUGCAGGACGCCAAGGAGGACUGCGAAAGUGAAAAGGGGGCCCAUAAAUUGGACAAGAUGUUAGAGGACCACAGAACGUCGUUGUACCCAGGUUGCGAGCAGGGGCACAAAAAGUUGGAUACCACUCUGGAGUUCUUGCAAUGGAAGGCAAAAAAUAGUGUUAGUGACAAGGCAUUUGGCGAUUUAUUGACUCGUCAAGAACAUUCUUCCGGAGGGAAACAAAUUGCCCGAGACAACGUACGAGGCUAAGAAGAUAGUCUGCCCUUUAGGACUGGAAGUUCAGAAGAUUCACGCAUGUCCGAAUGAUUGUAUCCUAUAUCGUGGUGAGGAGUACAAGAACCUAGAAGCAUGCCCUGUUUGCAAAGCACUAUGGUACAAGAUUAGACGAGAUGAUCCAGGAGAAGUUGACGGGCAAUUAACAAAGAAGAGAAUUCCUGCUAAGGUGAUGUGGUAUUUCCCUAUAAUACCACGGCUAAGGCGUUUGUUUAGGAACAAGGGGAAUGUGUAACACUCUGAAAAUUCGAAUGACAAAAUCAAAACUCUAAAAAUACAGAUUUUCAAAAACUUUUUAAAUUAAUUGCAUCAUGUCGAUCUUAUUCGUCUAUUUCAUCUGGAUUUGAUCUCGAAGAUUAUUAAUCAUGAGUAAAGAAUAGUUAAUUAGGAAUAAACCUUAAAAACAAAUUGGUAAAAUAAAUACAAAAUAAAUAUUAGGUGGGAUAGAAAUAAAUAAAAUAUUAUCGCGACUAUAUUUGGAUCAAUUAAAUUUGAAUACGAUGGAAUAAGAAUUAACCCUAAUUAAAACUCAAAUAAAUUACAUGAAAAUAAAAUAUGAGUAAUAUUAAUCUAGGGUGAAUUCAUUAGUUGAGAUAAUACACAUAUUGAGUAAACUUCAUUUAUGCAAGAUUUAGAAAUUAUAGAAUCAAAUUCAUAUAGAAAAUAAUAUAAAAUUGGGAAAAAUAGGAAAAAGACACUAUUCAUUAGCUUCUAGGUGUUCGACGAGGCUCCCUAGCCCCUUCCCCUCCCCUGCCAUGCGCGCCUCGCGCCCCGAGCCGUCGCCGUCGCCGCCUGCCGCCGUGCCGCUGUCGCCUGCCGCGCCGCGCGCCGCUCGGCCGUCACCGUCGCAUCCCUCCUCGUGCCGCGCGCCACCGCUGCCGCCCCGUCACCUCCCGUCCCGUCGCCGCGCGCGUCCCAUCGUCGCUCCGAGCCGCGCGCCGCCGCUGCCGAGCCGUCCCCAUCGCCAUCCCGCUGCCGCGCCGCUCGCCCGUCGNNNNNNNNNNNNNNNNNNNNNNNNNNNNNNNNNNNNNNNNNNNNNNNNNNNNNNNNNNNNNNNNNNNNNNNNNNNNNNNNNNNNNNNNNNNNNNNNNNNNNNNNNNNNNNNNNNNNNNNNNNNNNNNNNNNNNNNNNNNNNNNNNNNNNNNNNNNNNNNNNNNNNNNNNNNNNNNNNNNNNNNNNNNNNNNNNNNNNNNNGUCUCCCCCCCCCCCCCCCCCGCGUCCACCGCCGCCGCCGCUCGGGUAGGAGGGAGAGCCGAGAGAGAGAGAUAGAGCCGAGAGAGAGAGCCGAGAGGGAGAGGAAGAGAGAAAAAGAAAGAGAGGAAAGAAAAGAGAAGGAAAAGAGAGAAAAAGAGAAAAGAAAAGAAAAAGGAAAGGGAGAAAAAGGAAAAGGAAAAAUAAAUAGAAAGAUUUGGAAGAAAAUUAGGGAGGUUAAUAGUUUAGAAAAUUUAAAAUAAUUAGAAUUUAAUUAUAGAAUAAUCAUGGUCCUAGAAUUGCAAAAUUUAAUUAUUCUUGGUAAUUUCCAAAAGAAAUCAAUUCGCAGUAGUAGUUUAGAUAUAAUUAACAAUUAGAUGAAUCUUUAUAGACUACUAUAGAUCAUUUUUGGAUAAUCUUUUAAGUAAUCGAUUCACGGUAGAAAUUCGGACUUAAUCGCUAGGAAUUUUAGACGUAUAUUAUAUUUAAUCAUUUAGUCAUAGACUAAAUUAAAACGUAUAAUAUUAUAAGAUAAUUUUAGGAUUCCGUCCGACAUUUAGCUCGCGAUAGAAAUUUCUAACCUAUUAUAUGGAUAUAAUGCUCGGGUAGAUUAAAUUAAAAACUUAUGACAACAAAAUAUUUAUACCCGCAAAAUAGUUUAAAUCAAAAUUGGGUUUGCCGUAGCGGAUAGUAAAGUUAAUAAAAAGGAAACGACUUUCGCAUUCGACUGUCAUUUGGAUUUAUUCGGAUUCUCAUUUGAAUUCUAACCGAAUUCAAAUCAAUUCUUGCACGUAACUAUAGAGCCCGAGGGAGUUGCGGAUCCAAGCGAAGGCCAAGACCCGCAAGACCUUGAGCAAGGCAAGUCAUCACUAUUCCUUGAACAUGUUGAUCCCAAUUGCGAAAUUGUUUGGUUUACAAAUAAAAUUGCAUGCAAUGAUGAACAUCCUACUUGUGAUUAUGCCAUGCCUUGAUUAUUGUUUACCCUUAAAUCUUUGUAACCAUGUUUACGUAUGAGUCCCUAGUCAACUAUGACAAUUGCUUAGAAACGCUAUACUAGAAUCAUGCAUACUCAUAUUUAUCAAAUGCUAUAUGCUUGGGCAAUUACCUUUGGGAAGGUAAUUGAGAUGCGGCAUGUGGAGACAUGUGCGCCACAUUGCCAUGAUGUUGAUGACAUGAUUUGUGAAAGAAGAAAUAAAAUUAAACAAUUGUUUUCGACUGGGGCGGACGGAGGAUUUGGGUGGUAUCUGGGAAAGGCUAGUACCGUCCCCGGUCAAUUAAGGACCGAGCCAUGAAGUUAAGCAUGAAACGACCCCCGUACAACCGUACUUCUCGAAUGGGUAUAGACCUAGCGGAUUAGAUAGCCGAGCGGAGGCAGUAUCCCUGCAUAGAUGGUUCACCCCUGAGUGAGGCAGGUGCGCUACGGUGGGACAGCCGUUGAGGUAGGGCCGAGAGGCGUGCCCUACAUCGGUGUCGCCAUUGGUAGGACUGCCAUGAGUGUGUGAGAGAGAGAGAACUUAACUUGAACCAUAAUUUAAUAUGUGUGUGAGACUUCUCUUUCCCGGGAGCGCCAGAACUCCUCUCACUGCUAGAAACAUGGACGCCUAGAGUGCAUGAGGAUUUAAGUUCAUGGAGCGGGUACUGCCAAUGCGAGGUUAUCGAAAAGCUUUGCCGUGACGCGUCUCAUGUGUUGGGACGAGGCUCAUGUGUUGGGCAGUCGCGGAGUGCGGGUAAAGUGUACAUCCACUGCAGUGUGAGUAAACCAAAUCUAUUCGAAUAGCCGUGCUCGCGGUUAUUGAGCACCGGGACAUGUAUUACACUUGGCUAGACUCUAAAUUCUUUAACUUGUGUGGGAUGGGAUAUUGCAUGAUGAUUUUUAUGCUGGUGGAGCCACUUCCUGAGAGGCGGGAAUGUGGACGUCCUCAGAAAACCAUAACGACUCAAUGGCGGGAAGCUAUCCUUGGGAUCACAAUGGAUGGUGGACAGAACCGUCAUUGUUUAAUAUGAACACUGGUAUUAAAACUGGAUCAGUUUAUGCUAGGUCUUAGGCUUGUAAAAAAAAUUACAAAAUUUGCUUUGCGCAAAAGAACCAUAGCCAUCCUCUGAAUUCCUAUGUCAUGUGCAUCAUUGCUGUGGUGGCUUGCUGAGUACGGUUGGUACUCAUCCUUGCAAAUAUAAAAUUUAUCAGAAGCGGGAGAUGAAGCCUCAGAGGAUCCCUAUGCCUACUAUCAGGAGGGAGAUGAAGACGAUGGCGUCUAGUAGGUCUUAGUACGGUCGUUGCCUGUGGCAAUGGCAUGCCGCUGCCUGAAUUCCGCUGCCUUAUCUAUUUCUGCUUUUGGAUGUAUUCCGGACCGCUCGGUCCGAUGAUUUAAGACUAUGUCUGCGGGCCUAUGAUGUAAUAAUUCGUAUUAGAUACUCGUGUAUGUGCACUUGGUAUUCCAGCUAUGAAUUCGUGUGUACCAAACUACUUGAUCCAGGGAAAUGGUACUGUUUACACGAUUGAUUCCUGUUAUAAAAACGGGGGUCGACAGAAUGCUAGAAUGAUGCGAUGGCACGCUGAAGAGCGUCAACAGGAUGGGAUGCUGAGACACCCCGCCGAUGGUUCGCGGUGGCGAAACAUCGACAGAAAAUUUAAAGACUUUGGAAAGGACGCACGAAACAUACAGUUUGGUUUUAGUACGGAUGGCAUGAAUCCUUUUGGAGAGAUGAGCAGCGGCCAUAGCACUUGGCCCGUUACGAUGUGUAUCUACAACCUCACCCCGUGGCUAUGCAUGAAGAGGAAGUACAUAAUAAUGCCGAUUAUAAUUCAAGGCCCCAAGCAACCUGGUAACGACAUCGAUAUGUACCUAAGACCACUGGUCAAAGAUCUUAAACUGUUGUGGAAGAAGGAAGGUGUCCCCGUGUGGGAUGAGGACAAACAGGAGGAGUUUAACCUACGAGCGCUGUUGUUCGUAACCAUCAACGAUUGGCCUGCACUUAGCAACCUAUCCGGGCAGUCCAACAAGGGGUACAAGGCUUGCACUCACUGUAUGGAUGAAACAGAAAGUACGUAUCUUAAGCACUGUAGGAAGGUUGUAUACAUGGGUCAUCGUCGAUUCCUUGCAGCAAACCACCCGGUACGGAAGAAAGGCAAGCACUUCGAACAUAAGGCUGAACACCGUACGAAGCCUAAACAUCGCAACGGGAAAACAGUGUUUGCUAUGGUUAAAGAUCUUAAAGUAGUGUUUGGAAAGGGUCCUGGAAGCCAGCCGAUAGAGAGCGGAGAUGGUCACGCGGCGAUGUGGAAAAAGAACUCUAUAUUUUGGGAGUUACCCUAUUGGAAAUUCUUGGACGUCCGCCACGCAAUCGACGUGAUGCACCUCACUAAGAACCUUUGCGUAAACCUUCUUGGCUUCCUAGGUGUAUACGGAAAGUCGAAAGAUACACUGGAAGCACGUAAUGAUCUGAAGCAUAUGGAACAACGCAGCGACCUUCACCCGGAACCUAAAGGAGAAAGGAAGCCAUUACUUGAGUCCAGCCAGCUACACUCUUAGCAAGGCAGAGAAGGAAAGUAUGUUUGAUUGCUUGGAGAGCAUAAAGGUACCGUCUGGAUACUCCACGAAUAUCAAGCGAAUAAUAAGCAUGAAGGAGAAGAAGUUCACAAACCUAAAGUCUCAUGACUGUCACGUGUUGAUGACACAACUGCUACUAGUUGUAAUAAGGGGUAUCCUUCCAGACAAUGUCCGGGCAACAAUAACGAAGCUAUGUGCAUUCAUGAACGCAAUUUCGCAGAAGGUCAUCGAUCCGGAUAGAUUAGAAGCCCUUCAGAAUGAUGUGGUGCAAUGUCUUGUCAGUUUUGAGUUGAUAUUUCCACCUUCAUUUUUCAAUAUAAUGACGCAUCUGCUUUGUCACCUUGUCAAAGAGAUCAGUAUUAUCAGGCCUGUGUACCUACACAACAUGUUUCCUUUCGAGAGGUACAUGGGCGUUUUGAAGAAGUAUGUUCGUAACCGUGCUCGUCCAGAGGCAAGCAUCGCCAAGGGUUAUGGAACAGAGGAGGUCAUCGAAUUUUGCGUAGAAUUUAUUGAAGACCUUCACCCAAUCGGGGUACCUGAAUCACGCCAUGAAGGGAGACUACGGGGAAAGGGAACUCUCGGAAGGAAAGCAAUAAUGACGAUAGACAACAAUUUAUUCCGUAAAGCCCAUUUCACGGUUCUGCAACAAUCUUCAUUGGUAGCUCCUUACAUCGAGGAGCACUUGGCUCUAGUUCGCGCCAGGAACAUCGAUAAGUCCGAUGCAUGGAUUACACGGCAUCACAUUGAUACUUUCCCCGCGUGGCUACGACAACAUCUCAUGGGUAACGAGUCGAUCAACCAACAACUUGCCUUCCUGGCGAGGGGACCGUCUGGGUCGAUCGCAACAUUCCAGGGAUAUGAGAUCAAUGGGUACACAUUCUACACGAGAGCCCAAGACAUGAAGAGCACGAACCAAAACAGCGCUGUUCGUGUCGAUGCCAUGGGACACGAUGGAACAACUAGCACGUAUUACGGUGCCAUCGAGGCCAUAUGGGAACUUGACUAUGGUCCUCCGAAGGUCCCUCUGUUCCGGUGCCAAUGGAUUAGGUUGACUGGUGGAGGCGUAAUGAUUGAUGACAGUGGGAUGACAACGGUUGACCUUAAGAAGGUUGGAUACUCGGACGAACCUUUUGUCCUUGCCAAUGAUGUAACGCAAAUCUUUUACGUGAAGGACACGUCUAGCAAAGGAAAGAAGGGCAGAGGGCCUGACGAGCCUAAGCGUCACGUGGUUCUCCCAGGCAAAAGAAAAAUCGUCGGAGUUGAGGACAAGACUAACGAGGAUUACGAUCAGUUGGAUGGGCAACCCCCUUUCACGGUGACGAUUGACCCUAGCAUCCUUCUAUCAACUGAAGACACCCCUUACUCACGUAGCGAUCACAAGGAGGGAACAAUAGUGAGGAGAAAGUACGUGCGGUCAACCGUCAGCGCCGAUGUAUUGCCGUAAUUAUUGUGUACACAAUGUAAACUAUUUUGGAUGUAUUGAUUAAAUCAAUUGAUGUAUGGCAUAUGUUAAUUACGCACGAUUAUUUGAGGUUUUAACAAGUUUAAAUCAUGUAUAUGCUAGUUAUAUGCGAUAAUUACAAUUUUUAAAUUUUUUAAAUCAUGCAUGUGGCAUUUAUAUAUGUUAAUUAGAGUUUUUAACAAUUAAUUCAAUAUCAUUCAUAUGCUAAUUAUAUAUGACUAUUCGAAUUUUUAAAAUUUUCAAAUCAUGCAUGUGGCAUUCACAUAUGUUAAUUAGAGUUCUUAACAAUUAAUUUAAUAUCCUAAUUAUAUAUGAUUAUUACAAUUUUUAUUAAUUUUAAAUCAUGCCGUAUGUAUAUACAUAUGUUAAUUAGAGUUUUUAACAAUUUAAUAUCAUUCAUAUGCUAAGUAUAUAUGAUUAUUAGAAUUUUUAUUAAUUUUAAAACGUAAUAUUUGCUUAUUACGUUUUAUCCACUUAAUUUAUUACAGACAGUACUAAUUUUCCGUAGUGAUUGUCAUUAAUUUUUGUACUUUAAAUAAAUUUAAUGCAUUAUUUUCUAUUUUAGAAACACAUAUGUAAUGGAAAAUAAUACUCAGUGCGCUUAUCAGUAGUCCCGGUUCUUAACCCUAACCGGGUUUAAAAAAUUUUUGGAAAUAGCGGGAAAAGAUCUUUACUCCCGGUUGUUCUCAUCAACCAGGAAUAAAGAUCUAGGGGUAUAUAUAUUCCCGACGCGCGCCCUCGUCUUCUCCACCAACACUUAGAAGUUUUUGCCCGAUCGAUCUCUCUCGGCUUCUCCUUCGCCGCCACUGCCAAGGGCAUCCCCGCGCCGACGCCGCCGCCGUAUCUCGCCGUCGUCUCGCACUCGUCGUCGUCGCCGCCGCAUCUCUGGGGUGAGAGCCGACGCCGCCUCCCUCUCAUCAGCUCUCUCUCUCUC